GUGGUCCAAGUUUUUAGAAGAUAAAAAAGCUGUGGGCAACGAUCAACCACCAUUUUACUGUACAUGAAAGAAUAUACUGUUCAAGUGACAUAUAUAUAUAUAUAUAUAAAUAUAUAUGCUUUUCUUUUUGUGAAUUGUGAUGGAUGAUGAUGAUGAUGAUUAAUUUCAUAUAUAUGAUGGUAACUUUUAAUUAAUUAAGCAAAUUAAUCAUGGCUGGAAAUGACAGACUCACACAUCAAACCUAUCACAAAAUAUAUGCAUAUGUAAGCCACUCAUACAGACAGUAAUAAUUAUGUGAAACAAAGACAAGGAAAAAAAGUCAUGGGUGCAUUGCAUUUUUUUCUCAAUUGGGUUUCCUCUAAAGUAAAUAUGUACUCAAAAUCACUUAACCCAUCCAACUCUCAACUCAACUCAACUCAACUCAACCUAACCAAUCAUUUUCCUUGACUGGUAUCAGAAAAUUUCAAACAUUUGUGUUUAUUGGUCGAGACCGCGCUUCUUAAGGUGGUCCGGAGACUAGCCUAAAAUUACCCACGUCCUCUGCUGUAUGUAUGCAGCACUAUAAAUAAAUGUGUUUUCCACCAAAAAAAGUCUCUCCUUGCAGUAGUGUCUGUAGGAUUCUGAGUUUGUUGGGAGCCCCAUGAAGGAGACACUCAGAUACUUGGCAGGAAUUGCAGGCCCAAGUGGUUAUGGCUCAAAAUCAACUGCUGAGCAAGUUUCUCAAGAUUGUUGUUCCUCAGUUCCUUCUCAUCUCACUGCCAUAAUCACUGGUUAGUUAAAAGUUUUCACAUGAACAUUUCAUUCUUUUUGGCAAUUUGCAUGGAAUAAAGUUAUUCAUUUGAAUAAGAAUUCUACGAUUUGUUAAAGGAGCAACGUCAGGCAUUGGAGCUGAGACAGCAAGAGUACUGGCAAAGAGAGGGGUGAGGAUCGUCAUCCCGGCGAGAGAUUUAGGGAAGGCAGCUGAAGUGAAGGAUGAAAUUCAAAGAGAGAGCCCAAAGGCUGAGGUUAUAAUAUUGGAGAUUGAUCUCAGCUCACUUGCUUCUGUCAACAGAUUCUGCUCUGAGUUCUUGGCUCUGAGGCUACCCCUCAACAUCCUCAUGUAAAGUUUUCUUCAUGUACUUUUUAUCUUCUUAGCUUCUUUACUCAACUUGUUGCUUUUAUGAUGCAUGAAAUCUUUGAUUUGCAGAAACAAUGGUGGAGUAUUUUCUCAAGCUUUGGAGUAUUCUGAAGACAAAAUUGAGAUGACAUUUGCUACAAACUACUUGGGUAUGUUUUUUCUAUUUUCUAUAUUCUACCCAUCUGAUAUCCUUAACCAGGAAAAAAAAAAAAAAAGUUUCACAUGCAAACGAUGAACAGCUCAAUUGCUUUAGAACAAAUUUUGGGCUCUCCCAAAAGAUGACAAGAAAAAUUGGGCCAUUUUUAUGUCCUAUAGUGUGUGCAAUGGACCACCAGACCAGACACGAUCUUUAAUAUUGGUCACAUACAUACACAUCACUGUUUUUGUUGUUGUCCAUUGCAGAAGCCUAUUUGGGCAACGCAUGGCCAUUCAAAUCAUUUUGUUUUUUUGGGGGGAUGAAGAAGAAUUGAAGAUGUCGAUUUAAUUUAAUUUGGGUUUUGAUGAUAAAACCUUUUUUGAUUUCUUUUGCAGGACAUCAUUUUUUGACAGAAACGCUGUUAGAUAAAAUGGUGGAAACAGCGGCCCAGACUGGCAUCCGAGGAAGAAUAAUCAAUGUUUCUUCUGUGAUCCACAGCUGGGUCAAGAGGGAUGGUUUCUGCUUCAAUCAAUUGCUCAACCCAAAGAAGUAUAAAAUCACACUAUUUCUCCUGAUCAAGCCAUUAGUAAACUGUGAAUAUUGUUGUUAAUAUUUUUGUUCAUGCAGUUAUAAUGGCACAAGAGCAUAUGCACAGUCCAAAUUGGCUAACAUAUUGCAUGUUAAGGAACUGGCAAGACACCUGAAGGUAGUCUCAUUUCUUCUUAUUUACCUUUUCGUCGAAGAAUUUUUGUAUGCGCCGGUUGCAUAUAGCGAUCUCUACCACACUAAUCUUCUUCUUAUUAAAAAUUUACAGGCAAGAAAUGCGAGAGUAAGCGUCAAUGCGGUGCACCCGGGGAUCGUGAAGACCGGAAUUAUAAGAGCUCACAAGGGCUUCAUCACAGGCAUGGAUUCUUUCCUUUGAUUUAAAUUGGCCUGUGAAUUAAUAAUGUUGCAGUUUGUGAAAUGAAAUCUAAUUUCUUGGAACCCUUUUUAUUUCCAUGCAGAUUCUGUGUUCUUCAUAGCAUCCAAGUUACUAAAAUCAACAUCCCAGGUUUGUAACGGAGUAAUAAAGCAUGCAUUUUUAUUCUUAAUUUUUUUUAAUAUAAAAUAAAAAUUUGUUUGUUGAAGUUUGCUGGAAUUCGUUUUUACAGGGAGCUUCGACCACAUGCUAUGUUGCUUUGAGCCCAGAAGUAGAAGGGGUAAGUGGGAAAUACUUUGCAGACUGCAAUGAGAGUGACUGCUCGAACCUAGCAAAUGAUGAAUCUGAAGCUCGUAAGUUGUGGAAGCAGACCCGUCUGCUAAUCCAUAGACUACUGUAUCAACCAACAGCUUAGAAAAUGUGUAUUUAUUUUUUUCUCUGCCAUUAAAGCCAUGUAUAUAAAGUGUAUUUAUAUACACAAAAGGUAGAUAGAGAGGCCUACUUCACAAUAAACUCCAGGGUAAUUUAAUAACUGAAAGAACUUGGAUACCUAUUUUCACUGUUUAUAAUACAACAAAUCUGAAAUUCGAAAUUCGGUUCUUCGAUACAACUCUGCCUGCCUUUUAUAUUACCAAAAAUACAAGCGUCUGCGAUGUAAAUUCUAACAGCAUAUACAAUUAAAAUACAUGAUUGGCAUAUUUUAAUUGUCAUAAGAAUAAUUUUCUUAUAAUUGGCGUGUGAAAUACAUGAUCACAACCAAUUAAAAGGAGAUACAAGAAGACCUGAGUCUCAUGAGAAGGUGAAACUACUACAACCAAACAAAUUCUGAAGAGAAACAAAGAUGUAUAACCCAUUUGCUGUACUGCAGAGAAGUAAUAACACACAAUACAUGAAACGAUGACAAAUCUUAUAUCAAAAUAUAAGAUAUGAUUAAAUACAAUUGAAAUGCACGCAUACACUUGCAUAGUAUUUUGGGAUUACAAAAGCCUUACAUUCAAUCACGCAUCAGUGGCUCAGUUCAAUGAAGAGUACAUGAGUAAACCAAAUCCAGCAACAAGGUGCUGCUGUCACGUUGGGCUGCAACACUUCAUCGAUGAAGUUGUUUCUUUCUGUUAACUUAAGUUAUCUAAAUACGGAGAAAUCAAGUUUCCUGACUCCCAUGUCAAACUUGAAUGCCGUCAGCAUCCUUAGUUGUGAAUUAUGAUUACUCUGAGGAGUUUAGAGCAUGUGAUGCACAUUUGCUCAAACUAAAGAUGACCGACAGCCUCUUUCCAUCGUCAUUUCUUGACCUAUCAUGGAAUUCAAAAGAUUUCAUUCAAAAAAAAAUUCUACAAGAAACUAUUGUAGAAUGGUAUAGUAUACAGGUGUGAGCCAUGUACACAAUAGCAAACAAAAGUGAUAAGAAAGCAAAAACCUAUAAAACCUAAAGAAGGAAAUACCUUAAAACGUGGAGACCGACGCACAGACGAUGCAGACCUAGGAGAUAGUAGUGCAUAUUUACUCCCCUUUCCAUGGUUAGGUUUCUUGAAUUGACUAUUAUCUUCUCCAUAUUGAAUUUGGAGCUCACCAAUCUUGGCCACAGAUUCACUUCUCUCAGUUGACACUGAAAAAGCUGGAGCAGACCCAGAAAUCGAGGAAGAGUCUUGAGGAAGAACAGUGGUUAAUCCUGUUGAAUCAUAAUGGACACAUUACGUCAGAAACAAUGGGUAACAGAGUGGUCUAAUCCUCAAACUUCUAUCAAAUGUCAACUGAAAACACAAUGUUUCGUAAGUGGACGAGAGUCAGGCAGAAACUGUUAAAUUUUUUUUAUUAUAAUUACUAAGAAAAUUGACUAACUAUGUUUUACAAUAAAAUAUGGGACCCCUAUUAGAGGGUGUCCCCUUUCUAGCAUGCAAGACUCAGGAAAGAUGCAAGAGAGAAGUUCUACCUUGAGCUGCAGCUUCUUGAAACUUCAGUCUCAUAUCUCUGACAAAUUUAAAUAAUCCAUUGGUUCUGUUCAAUUCACGAAUCAACUCUUUGAUCUCAUUCAAGUGCGGAUCACAAUCUAACACUAAGGAUUACAAGAAAUGAAUAUCAGAUAUACAUUAAACAUCAAACUAUAACCCAUAAAUAAGUGCAAAGCUUACAUGUGUAAGUAUCAUUUGCAUGGCGGACAGUGAAAGAGAACUCCUGAUUUGGAUUUUUUGAACAAAUGUUCUUGAAUGUGAAUUUUACCCCUAAUGACAGAAGGUUGUAAGUCAUUCUCCACAUAUAGAUACACACAAAAAUGUUGCACAAGCAAAUGAUGUCAAUUACCAUGUCCGCCUUCAAUAUGAAAACCAAGAAUCCUAUUAUACCACGAGAUGGCCUCUUGAAUUUCAUCCUUACUGUCUUGGUUAAACUCUUCUUCAGAUUCUGCCAAAGUUUUGAUGUUACUAAAAGUAUUUUUUUUUUUUAAAGGAAAUAUGGCGCAAAAGAAGUUGUCAACACAAUUAUACAUUCCUUUCCUGCAAAAUGCAGUCUCCCUCCAUUAAGCCACAGAGCGAUCAAAUAAAUAACAAAAGUUAAACUAUUGAUAAGUAUUUAAAUCGAUAUAAGGCUAUAAGCAAAAGGCAACAAUGACUCCAAUCACUGAAACAAUUAAGGAACUUACCGGUAGAUUGCUGAGAAAGAAUUGCAGCAUAUUCAUCCCUCGUAUCCCUUCGAUCUUGCACUGUUCUUUUAAUUUCUUCAAUCCUAGCUUUCCUAGCAGCAAUGGCGUCCAUCAAUGCCAUCCGCUUAGCCUCUUUACGGGUCUUCACUACAAAAAUUUUAAUAAAAAAAAUACUAACACGGUUAAUUUGAAAUAAAUAAUCAUUAAAAAAAACAAAGAUUUCAGCUAAUUAUAGUAAGGGCAGCAAUGGCAAUGGAAAUGAAUGCAUAUCAUGAAUGUUGAGUUGAAGAUUAGCUUCAGGGAUAUUACUACUAAAUAAUAAUCAGUGUCAUUAACUUUGAAAUUUCAAAUUCAAAUUUAUCACUUACAGAAGCAAAAUAGAAGCAGAGAUAGAUACCUGCUAGGGCUUUAAACAAUUCAUCCUCAGCUUCCCUCAACUUAGCUUUAGCCUCUCCUACUUUACCUGUAAUUGUUGGAAAGAAAUUAGAUUUCAGUCAAAUUGAGAUUCACAAUAAUGUGGAGCGGCAGCCCUCUCGUGGAUCCAAUCUGAAACCCUAAUUUUGCACGAACCAUACAUUGCCUAAAAACUCAAAUUACGCACGAACCACAAGGCUAAACCCUAAAUUUAAGUAUCUUCAAGAAACAAAUAGAUUCAUCGAGUAAACCACAGAGAGUUAAACGAGAAGCUGGACCUUGGUAUCGGAGGGUUUCUUGCACUGUGGCGCGGAUCGAAGCCAGGUCGCCCUGAAACGAGGCCGUGAAGGUAUCCAUGUUCUGCUGCAGAAUCGGAAUCUCCUUCUCGCAGGCCAUCCGUAGCGAUUCCAUCUUCGUCCGUACGGACUCCUCCGGUUGGCUGUCCAUUGCUGCUAGACUGACGAGUGAGUCACCCGGAGUUCAGAGUUGUGUUUUAUUUAAACAAAAUUCGCAUUUAAAUCCCGCCAAUUUCAUUUUCAUUAGUGGGGGGAAGAGAGAUGUGUGAUAAACCGGGCCGUUUUGGGGUGCGGAGAUAUAUUGGGCUUUUGGGUGGCAUUAGAUUGGGCUUUUUCGGAAUUUUAUAUUCUUGAGCGGUGGAGUGAUCAAAUUGUUGGGUGCAUUGUAAAUGGCUCUCCGAGGUCCCAAAUUAUUGGGAGGGGAGGGAUUGUCUUCCUUUGAUAGCAGAGAAAAUCAUACCAAGCAGCUUGAACAAUACAAAACCAGGAGCUUCUAGAGAAUGAACAAAAGUCAAGUAGAUUAUGGUAGCGAAAAUUAUAGCAGAAGAUCCGAAUCCGCAGAUAUAAACGUGUGAAAAGGAAAAACUUGAAAAUUAAUUAAGAAUUCUUUGACCUUAUUGACCAAUAUUAUCGUUUGAGCUGGGUAAGAACAUGUAAGACCCACUGGAUAUUAUCAAAUGUAGGUUACUUGAAUUACAAAUAUUCCUAAAAAGUAAAAUUAUUGUAUGAAAAAAUUAUAUAAAAAAAAGAGUCGUAAAUGAUUGCCUGUAUGUUCAUGAGCUGACUUCUACAAAAAUUAAGGAUAUUUUUUUAAUUAAUCCAAUUAUAGAUUGAUUCAAUAAACCUAUGCUAAUCACCGCGUUUUGUUGUCGUUGGGCACAUGCCAUUCAUUCCUUACCAAUCUAUGUAAGUCUAUAUAUUAGGUUUGACCAUUUAAUUUCGAAUUUCGAAGUCAAUUGAUAUCGUAUUAGAAUAUAAGCAUCCAACCUAAUUAAUUUGAAAUUAACGGAGAUGCGAACAAAAAGCUUCAAAACCACCAUGCAAGCCCUACCAGCCGUCCAGUUCUUACGUAUGUGAGAUAAUGUUGUCAACAUUAUGGACAAAGCUUUCUUGCAUGAUAUCAGAAUUUCCGGUCUUAAAGAGAUAAAGCUAUGCAUAUAUAUGUUUAAACAAUGUUAAUUAUAUACAAAGCGCCGAAAGAAGAAAAGCUAAUUAGGCCAUUAACCUUGAAAGAAGGGAAGAACAUUCCAUGAAUUGAACACCAACACAUAAAGAGCGGCAAAGAGAUAAAAAGCUAGGGCAAAUCAUGCCUCUCAAAGUCAAGGGAAAUAAUAGUUAACCUUCAUAAAGUGCUUAAAAUAUGAGAUUAAUUGCAAUAAUGCACGUAAUUAACUUCCUAACUGAUGAUGAUGACACAGACAUAUCAAUCAAAUUAAUGAACUUAAUUAAUUCCACUCGUGUUGUUGUUGAUCCAAUGGGCCACGCCAUGGAUGCGAAUAUAAAUGUACUUGGAAAAUGCAAAAGUUUGUCGGUCAAAAAAUUAUCAUGGUUCUUGGAUCUUUUUUGCUCAAUUAUUGUUGAAAAACUUUUAAUAUAUACUAUGAGAGCCUGUUUGCGUUGCACCAUGCAAGAGGGAUUGGCAAUAUUUGUGUCUACAUUUUAAUUAACAAAUGCUGCCUAACAAAGCAUAUACAUUUCGAAUAUCCAACAUCUCGUUUCUUUCCUUUAAGCUAAUUUUUAGAGAGACUAAUUUCAUUGCAUAUGCAAUCACAUACUCGAGACCCCAGUUGAAUUCUUCUCAUAUUUGGUAUCACAUUAUUCCAAAUUCAGUUCUUCAUGCUCUUAAAUUUGAUUUGCGUGGAGGAGGUUACCCUCGUGGUUUUUGCUUUGUAAUUUUAUUUUGCUUAUGAAAAAAAGAAAGUAAUAUUAUACUAGACAAUUGGGCAUUUUCCACGUGGACAAAGAAAGCAUACAUCAAAACUCCGAAUUAUAAAAUAUAUGUAGAGUUGUUGAGAUUUACAGCAAUAAUGCGUUCUUAUUUAAACCAAAAAAAAAAAAGGAAGCAGAAAAAAAACAUAAAGGACACUUCGUGGGGGAAAAAAACAUAAAGAAAUGAAAAGAAGUUUGACUGCUAAAGAUUUGGGACAAAUUAUAAGAUGGGAGAUGCCCAAAUCUUCCAUUAUAUUGCGUCUUAGACUACUAAUUAAGUAGGAUACAUUGAAAUAUUGGAUUAAAUUUGAUUGGAUCGGUCAAUUUAGACGAAUUGGAUUAGAUCUUAUACACCCCUAAUGCUAUAUUUAUAUAUCGAUAUGAUUUAACAUUUUAUAUACGAACAUAUUCUCGUGCAUGCUUCAAAAAUUAAAAUUAAAAUCACUUAUUUUUGUUUUCUUUGACGAAUGAUAAUUCUGAUUCGCUAAUUAUUAGAAAACAUUAAUUUAUUAAUGUAAAGCACACUGAUAAGGGACGUGUAUGUAUUUUAUAAAAUAAAGUGGAGAUCCAUGUCAAGUCAAGUAUAUUCAUAUUAGUUUCUAGAUUUUGUUGGAGGACUUCACAGCGGAAUUCAAUUCAUAGUUUGGUUGGUCUUUGGUGAUUCAUGUUCUUUUUUUAAUAUAUAAAUAAAUCAAUUCUUUUUUGUUUACCAUUUCCAAAUUUCUGUUUUAUUAUAACGAAAACAUAAAUUCUCAGUUUGUAUAAACUAUUACUAGCCUCUCUGCACGCGCUUUCGCGCCUGCGAGAGGCUUUUUAAAUUAAAAUUUAUUUUAGAUUUAAAAAAGAUAUGGGUAGUUAUGUUCCAUAAAAAUAGGAUUCAUUAUCUGAUUUUUCUUUUAAUUUUAAUUUUUUUAAUAUGAAAAGGUGUAAAUUUACCAUAUUAUCCUCAUUUAAUUAAUAAUUUUAAUUCUUAAUGUUUGGAUUAACCAAGGGCAUUUUAUGGUAUUAUGAAUGUUUCACCAUUCUCUGCUUUUUGCUUUAUAUAUAUAGAUUAAUGCUAUAGACUCAAAUAAUUGAGAAUGAUGUACAAUUUUACGUGUUAUGUUAUACAAAUAUAAUUUAUGGUGUAUUUAUUAAUAAGGAAUUGAAAUUCUCAUCAAAAAUUGAAUUCCGUAGGAUUCAUGUGUUUACUUCAUAUCAAUGAAUUAAAAAGUAAGCGAGGCUCACACAAAAUCAAAAAUUCUCAAUUCUUGAGUGAGAGGUGGUAUUCUAAUUCCUAAAUAACUAACCCAUUAUGAAUUCAAUUUUUUUUUACCCAUUAUAUCAUCACACAAUUUUAAAAAAUUCCAAAUUUGUCAUUUACUUCAACCCAACAACGAGGACAUCUUUAGUAAUUAGUAUCACUUAUGCUCCAAUUCCCUAUAGUUUCGUAAACAACUUCAAUAGGAAUUCGGAAUCUAACUCCCCUCAAUCUAUAUAAUUUAGUAAACAACGUUAAUAGGAAUCCGAAUCUAAUUCUCCUCAAUUCAAUUCUUCCUAAUCCAAUUACGGACUAGUUAGGAAAUUUGCUGUAAUGUCAUUUAAAUUAUUGGGUUGACAACACAAACCACUUGGUAAGAUCAUGCAUCACUACUUUAUUAUUUGAGGACAUUUUUGCGAAUGAAGACUUAAAAAAUAAACGAUUCACAUUAUCAAAUAAAUUAUAAAGUGGACAAAAAUAAGUAAUUAUAAUUACUAGUAACGAUUAAAACGUAUGUGGAAUCGGACAUGAAUAAUAUUAGACAAGGGACCUCAUCCUCAUCUUGAAUUUGUGUGACAUGCUAUAUAUAAACAGUAGUCUCUAGCCAAUAUUGAAAGCUUUUUAGAUCUAAUCAUUCCAACACGGAACGGAACUAUCUUCUAUAUUUCAUCAACUAGAAGAAGAAGAAGAUGAAAAACACCUGAUAAUAUUUGUUAUCCACGAUAAAUUCUUUAUCUGCCUGCCGACUUUAUCCCCACUUGUCUACGUACUUGCACGCUCGAAGCCAAUUUCAGUCAUAUCAUGUCAAUUAAUCGGUUGAAUAAUAAUGCUAUAUUAUGUUUUGUAUAGAUGGCCCCAAAUUUUGUUUUGUGCGGUUCAAUUAUCAGUGUUAAUUAUUAUAUAUUUUUUUCUUUCGGAAAAAGAAUGCCAAAAGACUAAUGCACGUGCAUGAUCGUGUGUGUAUUACUGUUAAUGCACGCGAAGUUCACAAUUGAAUCAACAUACAUUUACGGAUGAUAACAAGAUCCAUUGCAAAAUAUUUUAGACUUUUAAAUUUAGGAUAAUAAAUUGAUUUUAUAUGCAAACCACUACAGAAGAAAGCUUUGCGGUUGAAAUUGAAAGUAUCAAAUUAAAAGGUGACAGGGUGACCCUAACAUGCAUAUGCGUCAUGGCCCCAAACCCAGAAUAGCUCAAAUCAAAUGAAAAGAAAUUGGUGAAAUGCUGAAAGCUAAAAGCUAAAUGGCCUUACCCACUAUGCAGCUUUGCCCGAAUCUAUUAUGUGCACAUGAUGUGCGUAGCUUCAGUCUCCAUGCAAUUAUAUCCACCAAGAUUGGCUCUCAAAAUGUACUACCACAUUUUCUAUUUUGUGUAUAGCCCAUCUAUAUAUCAAAAUAAGCUUCAAUCUAUUUUUCCGAAUGUCUAAAGCGAUAUUGGAGGAAUAAUAGGCAAUCGAACUUAGUAUGCAGGUAGAUAUUCUUAACCAAUUGAACUACAAUAAGCGCUUGCAAAUUUAUAAAUAUAUUAUAUUAAAAUGAAUUUACACUUAGAUUCCGAUUGACAAUUCUAAAUGCAUAUGUAUCACACACUAACUUGUCUAACAAGAUAACAUUAAGGCGUUGUAUGUGAUGGUUCUCUGUUUUUUUUUUUAAAUUUUAUUAUAUAUAUAUAUAUAUAUAUAUAUAUAUACAAAUUGAUAUUAAAGAGGCAAGGGCAAGAACUACACUAUGCCUAGUGCAAAAUUUUGGGGGAAACAAAAACUAACUUUUUAGGCAUUAUACCUCAGUUUACAUAAAUUAGACCAGUUCAUUUAAGCAAAAUUAGCCUAUAACCAAACAUAUCCCUAAUUAGCUUCAAGUUUUCUCCGUUAAGAAAAUGAAUAUAAUUUUAUUUAUAUUUUUGUCCAUAUAAGAAAUAAUAGCCCAUCCCUAUAAAAAUUCUUGAUUCCGUCCUUGAGAGGCGAUUAAUCGAACACAAAACCUCAUCAUUUUCUUUUGAUAAGUUUAGUUCAAGCAUAUGGAUUUUCAGUAGUGGUAGAUAGCAAAUAUUAUAGAAGACAAAUUAAGGAAAUUAGUUGAGAUGUAUAUAUAUUAGGGUAGUGGCACGUCUAACUUUUGAUGGGGUGUGCUUUGUCUCUUUCCCUUUGCCAACGACAAUGCAAAAAGACUGAAUAACACAGAAAGCUGUGUCCUACACCAUGGCCGGUUAGGCCCCAUAAUAUAAACCUCUCUCUCUCUCUCUCUCUCUCUCUCUCUCUCUCAUGUGCAAGACCAAAACCUUCUCUCAUCUCGUGCUUAGACUCAUAUAUAUGAUUAAAAUAAUAUUAUCAACCUCUUCUCAGGGAAGUCACGAGCCUGCAACCAAGCAGCAGCAGCCAUUAUGUGUGAACAGAUAAUCAACAGAUUAAUCCUAAUAUAAUUAACCUAAAUGAUUCUUAUAUUCUCAUCAGUAUGGCCUCCCUCCCUCUUGCACACCACAUCACGCGACCAGAUUUAAGUAUUUAAUAUAAAAAUGGUGCCAGUUUAUUGGGUUGCAGAAGACCACCAAGUCAAUAGUCCCCAGCACUAUAAAUCUGGUUAAUUAUUAAUUAUAAUGGGAUAAAAGGGUAUUAUAUUUUGAACUUGUAAGUUGUAUAUAUGACGUAUAUGAAAACUACACAAUUGGAUAUGGUGGGUUUACUGUUUGAUUCUUAUCCAGAGGAAUAAUUCUAAAAGAUAUGAAAUUCAUUAGUUCAAAUUACAUAUAUAUAGAUUCUUAUCCGUGUAUUUUUUUUACUAUCGAUUCUUACUUUCUUUCUUGUUUAUUAUAGCAUUCAUACGAUAAUAACGUACAAAUAUUUAUUCAAAUGAGAGAAUAAAUGAAUCAGUGAUGUAAUAUUUUUUUUGGAGCAGUACUUAAAUGCAGCAUAUAUAUAUAUAUAUAUAUUUUCUGAUGUAGAUUUAGAUCUAAAUCUGAGGUCAGUUUUAACGUUCAAAUUAUGAAUGGUGUUUAAACUAAUGUGGGACAUGGAGCAGAUGUAAUUAUAGUAUUAGCAGCCUCCGCUUGCAGAGUUUUCAGCUUUGUUUUUCUUUUGCAGCUUUUAAAAAACUUUUAAAGGGUGACUUUGGAUUGGAGGCAUAUUUUCUGAUUUACAAAUUGCAAUAUGCCAAUUCUCAAUUAAAAAAAAACUAAAAUUUAGAGGUGGAAAAGAUUUCACUGCUGCAUAGGAAUUUGACGCAACAUCCAACUCCACCACCAAGAACAGAGGAUGAGUCGGACUCCUCCAUAUGCUAGUUGGCCAAAUAUGAAGCAACUGACAAAACCCAGUAAGCUCAAGGAUAUUUUUAGCUCAGUUCUUUUUCUUUUCUGCAUUUUCUUUAUGUAUAAAAAAAAAUAGAAAUAGAAAAAUCCAAUCCAAUCCAAGAGAAAGUGAAAGGUCAUUGUUUUUGUAUAAGGCCCGAAUAAAACAUGGAAAAAAAGUAUCAUCAGACUAAAAAAAAAAUUAUAGACAAAAGUCACAGACCCAAGCAAAGCAAGCACUCUCUCUCUCUCUCUCUCUCUUUCCUCUUUUUUUGAAUAAAAAACAGUUAGCCCUUCUCUUCCCCCCACCUCUCCCCCUACCAUAAACAAAUGCAGAAAAAAAAACCAUCUAAAAUUCCAUUUCACUCUGCACCAACAUCAUGGCCUAGCUGUUCUUGGAUCCGGAGAUUUUGAGUCUUUCAAUUUGUUAUGCAGAGCUAUUUAAAAUAAUAUACAGAUAGCCCACCAGACAUGAUUGGGUUUCUCUCAUUGUCCCUCCCUCCUAGGCUCCUCAGACCAGACCCUUCUUUCGCUUCCUUUUGUUGGAGUCUGUAGCUCAACUGUUUGUUGUAAUGCCUGUAUAUCCAUGGCCCCUCCUCCUCCUCUCCUCCUUCUUCCUAGUCUUCCUCUCUGUUUCUCCUCUGGCUUUGGCCCUCAACCCACAAGGCCAAGCUCUGUUUUCAUGGAAGCAGAGCAUCAAUGGCUCCACUGAGGCCUUGAGGAACUGGAACCCAAGUGAUCAACAUCCAUGUGGGUGGUUUGGUGUCACCUGCAACCUCAACAACCAAGUUGUGGAAUUGAAUUUGAAGUACCUUGAUUUGCUGGGCAAGCUCCCUUCCAAUUUCACCUCAUUGUCAACCAUUAGCAAGCUUACUCUCUCAGGCACAAACCUCACUGGUUCAAUACCAAAGCAAAUUUCAACUCUCCAAGAGCUUACUCUCUUGGACCUGAGCGACAAUGCAUUGAGCGGAGAAAUCCCAGUUGAGAUCUGCUCACUGCCAAAGCUUGAACAGCUCUACCUCAGCACGAACCGAUUAGAGGGCUCAAUCCCAAUCGAAAUCGGCAACCUCACAAGCUUGAAAUGGCUGGUCCUGUUCGACAAUCAGCUCAGCGGGAGCCUCCCCAGCUCCACAGGCAACCUGCACAAUCUUCAAGUGAUCAGAGCUGGUGGGAACAAGAACUUAGAAGGCCCUCUGCCUCACGAGAUUGGAAACUGCAACAAUUUGGUCAUGCUGGGAUUAGCAGAAACAAGUAUAUCAGGCUCCCUCCCUUCAACCCUUGGCCUCUUAAAAAAACUCCAAACACUCGCAAUCUACACAGCCUUGCUCUCGGGGCCGAUCCCCCCUGAACUCGGAGACUGCUCCGAGCUCCGGGAUAUCUAUUUGUAUGAGAACUCGAUAACGGGAUCGGUCCCGAGCCAAUUGGGCAACAUAAACAACCUUCAAAACCUUCUCCUGUGGCAGAACAACUUGGUUGGGGUCCUACCUCCAGAGCUCGGAAACUGCCUCCAGCUGCAAGUCAUCGACAUCUCCAUGAACUCAUUGACUGGAAGCAUACCGCAGUCUUUCGGAAACUUGACUUCGCUUCAAGAACUCCAGCUGAGCGUGAAUCAAAUAUCGGGCGAGAUUCCGGCACAACUCGGAAACUGCCGAAAACUUACUCACAUCGAGCUCGAUAACAAUCAGAUCACCGGUUCGAUCCCGGCCGAGUUCGGGAACUUAUCCAAUCUCACUCUGCUCUUCUUGUGGCAAAACAAGCUUGAAGGAACCGUUCCGUCGUCGAUUUCCAACUGUCUAAAUCUAGAGGCCGUUGAUUUGUCGCAGAACGGUUUGAAUGGUCCGGUUCCCGGAGGGCUCUUCAAUCUCCAAAAGCUCACGAAGCUUCUGCUCCUAUCGAACAACUUCUCUGGCGAAAUACCGCCAGAGAUUGGAAACUGCUCGUCGUUGAUUCGAUUUCGAGCUAGCGGCAACAAGCUCACAGGAGCUAUCCCUCCGCAAAUCGGGAAGUUGAAGAACUUGAAUUUCUUGGAUCUUGGAUCGAAUCGGCUCACCCGAACUAUACCGGAGGAGAUCUCCAGCUGCCGGAAUCUGACAUUUCUCGACCUGCAUUCCAAUUCGAUUGGGGGAAAUUUGCCCGGAAGUUUUGAUCAGCUCGUGUCUCUCCAAUUCGUUGAUUUCUCGGAUAAUUUGAUCGAGGGGACGUUGAGUGCGGGACUCGGAUCGCUGAGUUCACUCACCAAGCUCGUUUUGGGGAAGAACCAGUUUACAGGUGCGAUUCCGAGUGAACUCGGUUUGUGCCCGAAGCUACAGUUACUGGACCUGAGCGGGAACGAGCUCACGGGGAAUAUUCCGGCAAGCUUAGGCAAGAUUCCGGCGCUCGAAAUCGCUCUGAACCUGAGCUGGAACCAACUCUCCGGCGAUAUACCGAAGGAGUUCGCCGACUUGGACAAGCUCGGGAUUCUAGACGUCUGUCACAACCAGCUCACCGGCGACCUCCAAUUUCUCGCAGCCAUGCAGAAUCUCGUGGUCCUCAACGUCUCGCACAACAACUUCUCGGGGCGCGUCCCGGACACGCCCUUCUUCGCGAAGCUUCCCUUGAGCGUCUUGUCAAGCAACCCCUCGCUCUGCUUCUCCGGCAACAGCCAGUGCGCGGAGAACAGCGACAAUACCGGCGGUGGGUCCCGCAGGCGCAAUAUAGCAGCGCGCGUGGCCAUGGUGGUGCUACUGUGCACCGCGUGCGCACUCCUCUUAGCGGCCUUCUACAUCAUCCUUGGAGCCAAGAGACGGGGCCCACCGGGUCUUUUCGGAGGAUCCCACGAGCCCGACCCGGAGGACGACAGCGAGGUCGACGUGGGCCCGCCGUGGGAGGUGACGCUGUACCAGAAGCUCGAACUGUCAAUUGUUGAAGUGGCGCGAAGCUUAACCCCUUGCAACGUUAUAGGGCGGGGCCGAUCCGGCGUCGUUUAUCAAGUCCCCAUCCCCUCGGGUCUUUCUCUCGCGGUAAAAAGGUUCCGUACGUCAGAGAAAUACUCGGCGUCCGCAUUUUCCUCGGAGAUUGCCACGUUGGCAAGAAUACGACACCGUAACAUCGUACGGUUACUAGGUUGGGGCGCGAACCGGAGGACGAAGUUACUGUUCUACGACUAUUUGGCUAACGGUAAUUUGGGUUCGUUAUUGCACGAGGGGUCCGCAGGAUUAGUGGAGUGGGACAGCCGGUUCAGGAUAGCGUUGGGCGUGGCGGAGGGAUUGGCAUAUUUGCACCACGAUUGCCAGCCGGCUAUCUUGCACCGAGACGUGAAGGCCCAGAACAUUUUGCUAGGGGAUCGAUACGAGGCCGUUUUGGCGGACUUUGGGCUCGCUAGGUUGGUUGAGGAGGACGAUCAAAACGGUCCCUUUUCAGCCAAUCCCCAAUUUGCUGGGUCGUACGGCUACAUUGCGCCUGGUAAGUUAAAAAAGUUCAAACUUUUUAAUAUCGUUUUCGUUGUCUUUUAAUCAUGGGUUUUACUUUUCACCAUCGUUUUCAUUGCUCAAUUAUGUGAUUCUUAAGAUUGACUUGUAAUCUUGGUAAUUAGACUUGUAAUUCUUGAAGAUACAUGUUUGGAUGAAUUUGACGGAUGGGACAUGCGAAUAUGACAGAUGUUCCAUCAUUUCUGAGAUGGGUCCGUCCUUGCUAUUUUCACAAACUAAAGCAACAUGGGGUUUUGCAGUACAGCUUUUAGUAGACCCUUGUAAUUGCAGGUUUUCUUGUUGCUUUUAGUGUUUGUUCUGUGAAAUCACAAUGAUGAUCGCAAAUGCCGCUGGUUUUGGAAAAGAAACUUCAACUGUUUGACAUGACAUGACAUUCGCUUUGCAUUAGCUUAUGUCCAAAAACAUCACAUUCUUGGUGUUUUGGCUGGAUGCUUACUUUUUACAGCAAUCUUUUCUGCAUUUGUUAUCCUCUCAAUCUUGCAUUGUUUAAUUUCUUCCACACUGUGACGCUGACUUUAAAUUUAAAUGUUAAUUUGAACAGAAUAUGCUUGCAUGCUAAAAAUUACUGCAAAAAGCGAUGUCUAUAGCUAUGGGGUGGUGCUUUUGGAGAUCAUAACUGGGAAAAAGCCUGUAGACCCAUCGUUCACAGAUGGCCAACAUGUGAUUCAGUGGGUUCGAGACCACCUCAAGAGCAAGAAGGACCCAGUGGAGAUUCUUGAUCCUAAGCUUCAAGGCUACCCGGACACUCAGAUACAAGAAAUGCUCCAAGCUCUUGGAAUCUCACUCCUCUGUACCAGCAACAGGGCAGAGGAUCGCCCAACAAUGAAGGAUGUGGCAGCAUUGCUAAGAGAGAUUCGACACGAUCAGCCCCCGACUGGAGGUGAGGCGCAUAAGCCGGCGAGCAAUGCCUUGAAAAAUUCAUCCUCUUCAGUCACACCAGCUCAAUUGCUUCAACUGCAAGGCUCUUCACCUUGCUCACUUGCUUACUCAUCUGCUUCAGCUGGUUAUCUGUCAGGAACCCAAUAACAAUGUCAUAAUGUUAGGAUUAGGAGUGAUAUUAUUAAUUAUUAUUAUUAUUAUUUGUAGGAUUAGGGUAGCAAAGCAAGAGUGGUAAUAUGGUAAACUGAUAGCACAAGUUGAUCGGCAUAUUGAUUGUACAGCAACUUGAUGACAUUAUUGUACUUAUAGUGAUGAGUAAUAUGAAUGAGGCCAUUUCUUGAAUUUCUAUUUGCUUCAUAUAUUGUGAUUUAUCGAUCUAUUUACGCGCGUAUGAACGAUUGUAAACAAUUAGACGUUGAAUUUUUUCCCGAUAUAUAUUAAUCAAAGGCGUUGUCAUUGAAGAAGACACUUAAUUAUACCAGACAAUGAGAGAGAGAAGGAGAGAAAAGGGACAACAAAACUACUGUUUGCUUGAAUGUAAAGUCAUUUUCCAUGAUUUCUUUCUCCAAAAAGGAGCAAGGAGGGGAUGUGUGGAUGGAUGCGUGUGUUGUGUGCAUGCAACUUGCAAUUGUUUCCUUCUUUUUAUAUUUUAUAUUUUAUGAUUACAAAUUCACGUGUUGUUGUGUGCUGCAAACUUGGUAAAGAAUUUUGCUCUUCUUGGGGAUGUGAAAGAGAAAGAAGAAAGGUAGGGAUGUGUGGUGGGGAAAUGCGAGCUUCUGCUAUAAUUGGAGAAGCCAAUCCCUCCUUAUCUCUCUCCCCACAGUCGCUGUUAAUAAGAAGAAGUAUUCUGUAACCAUCUAGGCCCCCACCAUGUGAACAAUAGACAGAAGAAUUCAUCUAUAUCUUAAUUAAAAUAAACAAAAACAAAAUCAGAUAUUAAAAAAACACAGUGGAGUAUUUUUUGUGUAGCUCACAAAUUCUCUAUUUUAUUUAGCAGUAUCUUCCAUACUUAUGCAGAAAGGUGGAGAGCAAGAAAAAGAUGCCCUUCUGUCUCUCUCUCUCUCUCUCUCUCUCUCUCUCUCUCUCUCUCUCUGUGGUGACCUUUUGCUUGUGCUCACGUGACCGCACAUGCAACAUUAUGGACCCCAUGUAUCAUAUAUAAGAUAUGUGAGAUCUGAGAUCCAGUCUCUUGGUUUUUAAUACUUUUAUUUUGAAAAGCAGACAUCAAAGAUUCCCAGUGCAUGCAGAUCAUGAUUCAUGAGGGACUUUUAUAGUUUUGUAUAUACAGUAGGGGUAAGCUUGUAAAGUUGUAGGGUCCACUAUGCAUGCAUGGAAUUGGACAUCCCACACAUGACCAAAAAAUUAGGCAUGAUACAUUUCAUCUCAUCUGGUGUUAAAUUAUAUUUACUUUCAUUACAAAUCCAAAUAUUUAAAUUAUAUGAUGAACAAAAUGUAUACAGUAGUAAGAAAAGCAUCAAGCUUAAUAUUUACAAUUCUUCUUCUUCCCCAUCAAAGAUCAUCUGUACAGAUCAGCAUCAUUGGUUAUAGUUCAGCUAUACAGAUCAUCUGCAGGUGCAGCAGUUGUGGCUGAAGAAAAUGGAGCUCCUCCUUCAGUGUUGUUGGUCUGUUCCGUAAAUUGAAACUCGGAUCCAAAACCACGAGAUUGCUGUAAAGUCUGAGCAAAUUGCUGGUAUAUCCUGAUGCUUGAAUCGCUCACACUUCUGCAGGCAUAUUUCAUUGACUCCUCAAAGUGAGCUGGCUUUAUCUCUUGUACCUCUUCCUCAAUGCCAUCCUCUUCCAUGGCUUCUGGGUUCUCUCUCCUUUCUCUCUCCCUCUCAAUAUCCUACAAAUUGGUUGAAGAGGAAACAAAAAAAUGAGUAUGGAAUUUCUCAUGUGAUGCAUAAAAAAUUUAGAAUAAAGUAUCAAGCAUCUAUGAAUCCUGUUUAUGCUGCAAUUCGUUUCUUGUGUGUGAAGGAAACUUAAAAUAUUUUCUAUCUUACAAAACAAUAACCUUUUUAAGGAGCAUAUGCGGCAAACAAAACUAACUCUAGCAGGAGAAAACCUCUUACCGUUUCAAUGUUUUCUCUAAUGGCAUACUUGCAGGCACGUUGACAUAUCUCAGUGAUAUCUGCACCACUAAAACCUUGUGUAGAACAGGCAAGAGCUGCAAGGUCAAUAUAUACUUAGAGAUAGGUCGUCCAGGCCUGAGCAAUGCCGGGUCGAUAAUGUCUAGCCUGUUCGUUGCCCCAAUGACGAAGACUGUUUUCUUUGCAUUCAUUCCAUCCAUUUCAGUUAGAAGUUGGUUCAAGACUCUAUCUCCAGGCCAGGGCCACCGGCGUCUCCUACAGAAUUGCCACGCUGACAGAGGGAGGGGGUUUUAGAGUUGGUUCAAGGCGAAAAGCUGUUGAUUUUAAAUAAAAAGAAAGAAAAAAUCUUUAAUUCCUGAGAUGAGAUGCAAUUGAGUCCAGCUCAUCAAAGAAAAGAACACAAGGAGCAGACUGGCGAGCCUUGUCAAAGAUCUCACGCACAUUGCCUCACUUUCUCCAAACCACAUUGUCAGCAAUUCGGGUCCUUUGAUGCUGAUGAAGUUGGCCUGACAUUCAUUGGCAAUUGCCUUGGCAAGAAGGGCUUUUCCACAUCCAGGUGGUCCAUAAAGGAGAACACCUUUAGAAGGCGACAUGCCAAAGUUCUCGAACUUCUCUGGAUGCUCCACGGGGACAGUCUGCCAGAGGUGAAAGAAUUAGUAUGAAAUUUUGUCCAAAUAAAUGAUAUAAAGAAGAAAGAGAUAAAACUGACUCACAAACCUCUUGAGGUUCUCUUUUGACAUUCUCCAAGCCACCAAUGGCAUCCUAUGAGACAUUAGGUACCUCCACAACCUGCAAAACCAAGAAAAAAGAACUUGUCAUUCUCAAGUACCCCAAAAGAUUUUCUCAGUAGCAAGUUCUAGAUAACAAUUGAAGCUUGGUUCUUUCAAAUUUAUAAAAAAAAUUAAACUCACAGUUUCUCUCAAGGCUGAAGGAUUUGUAGAGGCCAAUGCAGUCUGGAAGUGUUCAUUCGUCACAGCCAUGGAAUUCAACACCUCAGCAUCGAUCGUAUAGUCUUCCAAGUCAAUCACGUCCAUUUUCUCCCGAAUGCACUGAAAAGCAGCCUCUGAGCAGAGAGCAGCAAGAUCUGCCCCAACAAAACCAUGAGUGUCUUUUCCAACUCUUUCAAGAUCAACCAAGUGUAACAGAACACCAACUAAGCAUCAGAAACUGUUGCCGCAGUAAAACACAAAACUAUGUGAUAUGAAAAGCCAGUGAAAAAAUCUAACAUCAGCUGCAAGUUUCAUCUUCUUUGUAUGGAUUCUCAAAACUUCCGAUCUUCCAACUUCAUCUGGAACACCGAUGUCAAUCUCUCUAUCGAAUCUACAGAAUCUCCUCCGAGUAGGAUCAAUGCUGUUUGGCUUAUUCGUAGCUCCCAUGACAAUAACAUGUGCACGAGACUUAAGGCCAUCCAUUAAAGUAAGAAGUUGAGAUACCAUACGCUUUUCCACUUCACCAUGGGUCUUUUCCCUCUUUGGAGCAAUAGAAUCUAUCUCAUCAAUAAAAAUGAUUGAGGGUGCAUUCUUUUCGGCUUCCUCGAAUGCCUUCGUCAAGUUGCUUUCACUCUCACCAGCCAUCUUUGACAUGAUUUCAGGUCCAUUAAUCAAAAAGAAGAAUGCACCAGUCUCAUUAGCUACAGCCCUUGCAAUCAGAGUUUUGCCAGUCCCGGGUGGCCCAUAAAAGCAAAAUGCCUUUAGGGGGGGUUUCACUCCAAUUGAUUUGAAGAGCUGUCUGUGGAUGUCAGAGGAAGUUCUACCAGCUCACGUAUUUGAGCCAUUUGCUUCCUAACACCUCCAACAUCAUCAUAGCCCACCUCAUCUAAUCUUUCCUCAUCUUCGCGCUUGAUAUAGGUUCUCCGUCGCAGAAAAUCUCAGUAUCUGGUGCAACAAUGCUGUACACAGAAGGGUUUGUCUCCAUGACCUUGAACUCAACACUUCUCAUCAUACCCCUAACCAGGAAAAGGUCACCUUUCCUCACAGGCCGGUAUGCAUCUGCGAAGUAUGCUGCAAAACCAGUAAGAAUGUUAAUAGACAUGCACAGAAGCACAAAGCUUAAUUGCAACAAAAGAUUUUUGUAUGACACAAUCAACAAAGGAUUAAAUUUGAAAGAGAAAACUCACGCUUCAAAUAUGCAUCAAACAAGUUUCCAGUCACUCCUUCAAUUGUAUCAUCAAUUGGAAGGAUGUGAACCUGGUUUCCAUUCUUGACAUCAGGGCUGUGAUGAAUCGACACAACAUCAUACAAACCCUAAGAUUAGCUCGCACAACUUUGUUCAUUCUGAUCUUCGGUUGCUCGCAUUCGUCAUCAGCAAGAACAAUACAAACUCUCUUCGUUUUUUCCCCUGUAUAGGCCCAAAAAUUAAGUGACAUUUAAAUUCCAGGCAUUUAGAGAUUGAAAUUACUGGCAUUUACUCUAUUAAAAAUAUAGGAGAGCAAAAUUACCUUAAUUAAAAUAAUGUCUCCACAAAUAAGCUAAAGCUUUUCCAUUGUAUUAGGGUGCAAGGAAACCACAGAGUUAUCAUCAUUGACAGCUUCAUCUACAACAAGUCGAUUCGGAGACUUCUUGCGUUCCGAAAUUGCAGUGGAAAAAUCCUUCUUGUUACUUUUCCUGUUUUGGUCACAAAUACUUUAAUUACUCUUGCAGACAUAGAAUUAAUAUGAUCCAUAUUUUGACAACAAUUAAGUACAUUCUGAACCAUCAUAUAAAAGCUCGGCCAACAAGAACAAUCAUCAAUUUGCAUACAAAUACUCCAAUUAUCUCAUUCACAACUAGAAUCCCGAAAUACAAGAAAUUACUGUGGCAAAAAAAGAGAAGCUACUCUUUUGGUAAAAUUUUUAGAAAACUCAAACGCAACAAUCAACAUAGCACAUAUACAGAGCCCAGAAAACUUCUAAAUUCUCUUCACUUUAUGUGUGCAUACACAUACACACGAUUACUCUUGAAAAAUCAUAUCUUUGUCACCGAAAAUUUAAAGAGAAAAUGAUUUAAAAGUCCACUUUAAGCCUUAAAUUGUCUAAUUAGUACAGACAAUUAAAGUUUGCCUCUUUCAGUUGGAGAGGUAGAAAACAAAUGUUAUCCAACUUGUUCUUAUUUGGAGGCGUUGGAUCAUUGUCUUAUUUAAACUUAGCUUAUUUUAGAAACCUAAAUACUAAUACUUUCAUAGGAAACAAACAUACACUACAAAAAAAAGUGACAACUAUCACCAUUAUUUGGUGACAUUUGGUGACUAAUGUGAGACUGAGAUUGAUCAUGAGCAGAUAAUCUCGGAGCCGCCAUUGUCGUUGCUUCUAGUUUGCUUUCUUGUGCUUUUCUUCGUCAACCAAAGGUUUUGUGAGUUUCAAAUCUCGUUGAAGAGAAUGAGAGAGAAGUUGAGUAGAAAGAGCUAGAAGAAAGAAAAGCCUAUUGAGUUUAGGGUUAGGAGAUUUUAUUCGGGUUACGUGCGGGUAAAGAUAUAUCUCUGCCAACACGGCCACGUCGGCUGUUCACUUUGGGCUCUUGGACAACAUUUUUAUUGGGUCCAACUUGUCCCAAUAAAAUUACUUUGGGCCCGACCCGGCCCAGCGUAAGCCUUCUUCCCCAAAUCAAUAGGGCGCGCACAGAAACCGAACGUUCGGUGAAGUUUGCCUAAGCUGAGAGAAGAAGAUAUGGGUAUCAAAAUUGGCGGGCAAAUUGAGAAGGUGAAUGGGAAAGAGCUCAGUUACGAUGAGUUUGUGGAGAGGUACAUGGAGAAAAACCACCCUGUGGUGCUCACAGGUCUCAUGGACGAUUGGAAGGCUUGCAGAGACUGGGUCACUGACAAUGGCCAGCCCAAUCUUCAAUUUUUCGCUACCCAUUUUGGGAAAUCCAAAGUUCAGGUACUUAAUUUCUGGCACAAAGUUGAAGUUUUUACUCUUUUUUCUUUGGUUGGUUACACUGGGAGCUUCAGCAUGAAGCUGAUUUCAAUGAAGUAUGUUAGAGGAAUUAAUCAUAAUUAAGAAGAUUGACAAUGGUUAUUAGAUAUUAGCUAACCCACUACCCCUUACUUUUGGUUUGUUUUGUUUUCUGUGGGGUUGGAGUUGAAUAAAUGGUUUAAAGGUUCAGGCUUUUGAUGUUUGAUCUAUAUAUGACCAUGCUAGUCUGGGUUUGCUAUCUACCUUUUAAAGAUGAUGUGACGUUUUGCUACUUUUAGGUUGCGGAUUGUGGUACUAGAGAAUUCACAGAUCAGAAAAGGUUGGAAAUGACUGUUGCAGAAUUUGUUGAGCAAUGGCUUGGGGACCCCAUGCAGGAGCAUGGCAAUGCUUCAAGUCAUUCAGCUAUGAGCAAGAUGUCGCUAUAUUUGAAGGACUGGCAUUUUGUAAAGGUACAAGUUAGAAUCCACUCUUUGUUGAUAGGGAGUUAUAACUAUGGGCAGUUGAGGAGUUAGUUGUGGCAUUUUAAUGCUAAGUUAAAGGAUAAGUUUAUUGGUGACUUGUUGCUUUCUUCGUCUUUGCUACUGUCUGCUUCAGAUGUAUGUGGAAUUUGAGUCUCUAUGUUUGAUAAGUUCAUUUACUUGCUCAAAAAAAAAAAAAACAAAACAAAACAAAACAAGAUGUAUGUUCAGGGCAUGUCAGCUUUGAUAGUCUGUCACCUUGCCCAUAUCAUUGUGUCUAGUCUAUGUUUAAUAUGUGAAAAUUUUCCAGUUCAGUCGCCUCACUUGUUCUAUUGUCCUAUUGUAUUCUGAUCUCCAGGAGUACCCAGAAUUCGAAGCAUACACAACUCCGGUGUUCUUUUGUGAUGAUUGGCUCAACAUAUAUCUUGACAAUUAUCAUAUGCAUAAUGAUCCCAACAUUUACUCAGAAAAUAACGAAAUAAGUUGCUCUGAUUAUCGUUUUGUUUACAUGGGAGCAAAAGGUUCGAGCAUAUUUGUGAUAGACGCAUUCUCUUUUUUGUUAAUCAUAGAUGUCAUCUAAGUCAAUUUCUUUAACAGAUAUUUAGCUUCCCCUUUCUUUAGUUUAACCCACAUGGAACUACCUAACAUUUCAUCUUUAUGCAGGCACCUGGACUCCUUUUCAUGCUGAUGUUUUUAGGUCAUAUAGCUGGUCAGCCAAUGUGUGCGGCAAAAAACGGUGGCUUCUCCUGUCUCCUUCUCAAAGUCAUCUUGUGUUUGACAGGCAUGAUUACAGUUUCUCGCACUAAUAAUAAUCAGAGAGAUCUAUGUUGGUACAUUUGAUUUGUUCAUUGGUUUGAUAAAAAGAGUGCCAUAUUUCUCUUCUUAUACAACUUUCUCUCUUCCCUCUUCCCCCACCCUCUCAGGAAUAUGAAAAGCUGUGUAUAUAAUAUCUUUGAUGAAGUUAAUGAAACUAAGAUUUCUGGGUUUGCAGAGGUAAAUCAUCAAUCUUCAAUUUUUUUCGUCAAUUCUUUUUAUCUUUAUUUUGCUACUUUCCUUGUGUUUGAAAUUUAUAUUCUUCUCUUGAGCAGACUAUCUGGUUGGAGUGCACUCAAGAGCAAAAUGAGAUUAUCUUUGUGCCUAGCGGAUGGUAUCAUCAAGUUCAUAAUUUGGUAUGUCUUCUAUUUCUUCAAGGUUUUUUCAUGCUUGGAUUUUUCGAUACAUAAAACAAAAGUCUGAAAGCAUGUGAUUGAUUUUAGAAAGGCUGUCCAAGUAAACCACUCUCUAUGUGAAGUUGAACUUUUCCUAUAUGUAAAAUAAGAAUAAAUAAAAAAACUAACAGCAGUACUUGAUUAUAUACUAGAACAAAAUAAAAAUAACUUAUCCUUUUCUUCUUGGCCUGGAAUGAAAACUUAUCAUCUUAUUUGUGUUCAUAAUGCUUUCAGGAAGGUACAAUUUCAAUAAACCACAACUGGUUCAACGCUUAUAAUCUCCGUUGGGUGGUAAGAGGAACAUUACUGCCAAGUACCUCAUGUAUUAAAACUCUAGCAUUCCAUUAAACAUUGAUGAAGCCAAUGUUCUAGUGGAACUAACAUUUAUCUCAUUAAUUGUAGUGGGAUUUGCUCUUGAGGGACUACAACGAGGCUAAGGAGUACAUAGAAGACAUCAAGGAUGUAUGUGAUGACUUUGAAGGUCUCUGCCAACGCAACCUUGCCGCUAAUACAGGUAGUGUAUAAAGUUUUGGAAAAUGCUUAAAUUCAGUACUUUAAUGUCACGGUAUCCUAAUCUUCUAAAAAGCGGGCAUACAUUAACCUACGCUUGUUUAGAUUUCCUAAGUGGCUAAGCCAGGGACUUGUUCAUAAUCAUAACUACUGAAUUAUUAGCUGAAUUCGGCCAUUGUCAACUCAAGCACCUGAAAGAGGAAGAUGGAUCUUUUUUUUAGAGGAAACAAAAUGAAUGAAAAAUCCUAUGCCGCAUACUAAUUCUCUCUUUUUAAUACAGGCAUGAACUUCAAUGAUUUCUUAAUCUUCCUAGCACGGUUGUCCUUAGCCAACUAUAUCCAACUUCAUUAUCUCUCUAGAAAGAAUGGAAAUCACACUUGGAAUUUAUCCCCAAUAGCUCAGCAUUUGACUUUCAACCUUGCAUCUAUUCAGAAAAUUGCGUUGAAUAUAAAAUCUGUAGAAGAUUUGACAGGAAGUCAUGGAUUUCAUUUGGAUUUUCGGGAAACCUUAAAGGAUCCUGAGUUCUUUAAACUGUGUACAAUUUUGGGAAAAACAUAUGGGAUGGUACACAUGCAACUGAACUGGAAUUCUGCAACAAAGAAUGCUUGGAUAGAUGAUAUGAAGGACUUGGACGUCAUAGGAACUUGUAGUUCUCAAGUCUGCAAUCCUGAAGAUCUUAUUAAAUUUAUAGAACUUGCUGUUGCAGAAUUCAUGGGCGUUCGAAUAGCAGAAGAUGAUUCCCGUCUAAAGUGAACAAUGAUUAACAGACUCACAAGAAUGAUACUCUGCUACAAAAUGUCCAUGGUGAACUACUGGUUCUCAAUAUAUUUUGAAGGUGCAUCUUGACCCAUCUUUGUGGUGGCCAAACGCCAAGAUUAUAAAUCUCCUGAAGCACUGCCUAUUUGGCUUAUGAGAUCCUAAUAGCAACCAUGGUGGUUGCAGCCCUGUGCAAAGUAUUUGCCUUUGAAGUUGGCUGAUUCUUAUUGUCUCAAUGAAGUUUGAACAACUCUGCCGAGUCGGUGAAUCCACUUUGUAUCAUUCUAAAUAUUAGAUAAACAAUUCAUUCUUCAUUCUCCUUUUACCUUUGUAUAAAUUUUCUAUUUUAAUGAUAUUUGAUAUUUAUUUAUUUAUUUAUGAUUAAGCAGUUCACAGCUUGCUUUUAAUAUGAAUAUUGCAUUAUAGUUGAGUGAUGUUUAAAUAUGGAAAAAAAAAAAAAAAGAAGAAAGAAGAAAGCGGGACAUUCUUUUAACGCGUUUCAUGAUUCAUCUGUCCCCUGAAUCAAUGUGGACCUGCGAAAGUAAAACAAACCAAAAGGAAAUGUCUCAUUUUUCUGCUGGUUUCUUUGCUUUCAAGCGCAGCGUCUUUUAGUGCUUUUCCUUGGUCAUCAUUGACAGAACUGUUCUGCAAUACGCCUACAGCUCUGCUUUUAGUUUAAGGCGCAUAAAAUUUUAUGCUUUGUCCCCCGUUUCUCUGUUUUCCCUACUUUACCACAAAUACAUGCUGAAGUGAUAUAAGGCAUUUUCUAGAAAACUGAACACCUGAUUCAAAUGGGUAGACUCUGUGGUCAUCAACAAUUAAAAAGGACAAAAUGUGCUGCCAGGAGCAAAAGCUUGGCUGGAAGUGCAGAUUUCAACUAUUUAAAUACAAUUUGGGGUUGACGACUCUACGUUAAUAUCAACAUUUUCUUUUCAACAAAUAUUUAUUAUAUAUUGUGGAAACUGAGAUUCUUGUAUUUACUUGAAGAUUUAGAAAACUGGGUUAGAAGGUAGGAUAUGUCUAUGAUAUUAUAAAGUCAGAAAAGGGUUGAGAGUACUUAAAGUGGUUAUGUGUGCUGGAUUCUUUUAAAUUUUGUGUCCUUGUUGCUCCCCACAUGCUUGGCCUUAAAAUAAGGAUGCUUGGCCACUAAAAUAUCAUGCAUUUUGCUUUGCUUCAGACCAAGAAAGUUUUCAACUUCUAAAGCUGUAUGGGUUUUCCAAACCACAACACUUUCUCUGUCCUCAAAUUUACAUGGUCCCGGUGAGAGGGUGCUAAACGUUUUGAAUAGAACACACUUUUUUUUUUUAUAUGAGGACUGUAAAAUACAACAAAACCCUUGUUAUGGCCUACAAAGAAAAAAUAAUAAAUACCUCAAAAUGAAAAAAAUAAAAAUCAAGACAGGUUGCUUUCUGUACUGUGCUGUUAUAUUCAUGGACACCUUACAUUUCUUCCAGGGCCUCCAUAGUAAAAGUAAGUCCCCCAUACAUUGUUUCUUCCUUGUCUUAUGUCAUAACAAUUUGGAUGAUCAGCCAGGAGGUGAAGAUUUGUGAGAGGAAGUAGGUUAUUAUCCCAAUCAACUACUUGCAAAUUUCUGAAGUAAGAUGCUUUUCCAAAUCCAGCUUCUGCAAAUUGGCCACUCCCCAUUUGUGUAGAUGUGUGGUAUCCCAUUGAUCUACUAUUUACAAUUUCUCCUCCAAAUUGCACCAUGCUUGCAUGGCUCCUCAGGUGACUAAACAAGAAUGCAGGCCAAUAUCCAACUAGUAGGCCAUUACCAAAUUCUAGCCACCAGUGACCGUGCUUUGGAUCCUGCAAUAUCAUAAUUACAUGUUGGUAACUUUGUUCGAUCAAUCUGGUUGUAAUCCAUUAGGUUAUUUGUCUUGCUUUGUCUUUUGAUUGCAUAAUGAUGAGUUUUUGUCCCUUACAUGAUGGGUUUUAUUUUACUGUCUUAUUAUCUGGUUCUGCAGAUUAUAUCUAGAAGUAAAAAGUAUUCACACAAUCAUUCAUGCAAGUGAAAGGGAAAAAAAAAACAAUAAAUAAAAUAAUAGAAAUGCCCUAUUAUGAAGUAAAGAAGCAAAGUUUAACCUUGGGGAAGUGAAAGAAUAUUAUUAAUCUUUAAAUAUAAAAAUAAGGGGAAUAGCAGAUUUUUCUUUUUUUGGUUGUGACCAACGAAAACAAACUACCUUAAACCUCAAGACAGCAAACUGAAUUCUCAUGAUAUUGAUUUGAUUUAAAUUUGUCUUUUUUGGCUUUGAAUAUAAAUCAUUUGAAUUUUGACCAAAACUCUCACCUUCCAAACCAUCAAGCCAAUGUCAAAUUGUCUGCUACCAUAAGAAGACCUUGGAGAUAUUGCUGCUCCAAUAGCAAUCUUGUUAUUAGUUUGGACAAAGCCAGAGCAAAGCAAGUUGUAGCAUCCAGUGGCUUGAUAUGCAUCUGUCUGUAUAUUAUAAGCAUCAAAUUAGCACCUCUUUCAUUUUAUAGGCAGAAGAGAAAAACAAAGAUUCUAAUAAAAACUUACUGUCCAGUAUGUAAAGAAUCUAGGGUAGUUGUCUCCAUAUAACUCUGGGCUAACCUGAAGAAAGAAAGAGAAAAAAAAAAAAACAUUGCUUUUAAAAUUUGAGAAGAAAAAAAACUUGGGAAAUUUAAUUUGUGUAAGACAAAUCUGAAAUCUGAGAGACAUGCCUGCCAUCCAGCUUCAAUGGUAUUUAGAUCAUGGCCAAAUGAACCAGAGAUUACCCAAAUCUGUGACAAGCUAAAUUCAUAUUGAUCAGUCACACGUGGAGCCCACACAUUUAUGCUGGCCUUUGCUCCAUAGUAUUGAUCUCCAUUUACAAACACAACUGCAUGCUGUCAAAUAUCCAAAAAAAAAGUAAAAAUAUUUAGUCAAUGACAGUUUGACUAUUACCAGUUUUAAAUUUUGUGAUGAAAAACACUAACCUCAUGGCCACUGCCUGAUGAGUCUCUCCUCACACUUCUUCUUGGUUUUCUUCCAAAUCUUCUGAUGGAGCUUGCUCUUAAAAUGUCUUUAUCUGCUGUCCUCCUGAUUGGAACAGUUCCUUGUGGGCAGGAUUCACCAGAAUCUGACCACAGUUGAUAACUGUCUCCCACUAUAUCUGUGUUGUUACGGCCUUUGUCUUUGGGCCUCUCUGGUUCAUCCUGUAGAACCAUGUUCCUUAAUUAUAAAUAAACUUAUUGCACAUUAACUUUCCAAACUUGAAAAAGGGUAGGUAGUUCAUGGAAAUUACCAAUGGCUUCUGUCCUUUAAGCUCAGGAUGGUCAAAAGCUGGUUGAAGAUGAGAUAAAACACAGUCUAUCACAUCACCAUCAGGGCUCUGCAGACAGAAAUAAACAGCAAUCAAAGCCAUUAAAUAUGCUGGGUUGAAAUUUCAUGGAGGACAAUUAUUGAUCGAUUCGAAAAAAUGAAAAACAAAAACAGAAAAAAGAAGACAAGAAGAAGAUGAACUUUUGCAGCAUAUAGAAGUUCACUAUCAAAGACAAAAGGAAAAUGCCUGGAUAGUCUUGACUGCAGGCUUGUUGAUCUUCUUUAAAUAUGAUUGGACAACCCUCAACUUGUUCAACUCUGAACCUGGCCGAAAAGUCUGAUUGGCCGGCGAGAGGCGGCGGCCGGAAUCUGAGACAAUUGGGUGUGACAAUGCAGGGGUGAAGAGAGAAGAAGCAACAAGAAAUAAAAGAACAAGAAGCAUGGGAACGAAUGAGAAAGUGUUGGUGUGGAUGUGGCAAGGAGGAAGAGCCAGUUUAGAGGAAUGUUUUAGUGGAGUAGGUUUCUGUUUUGGUACAACAACAACAACAGUUUGUGUUUGUAUGCAUUGUUGUUGUCUUCUUGUUGUGUGCUGAAUUGCAUAACAACAUGAGGAGGGUGUGUUGUUUUCAUUCUUCUGUUUUGUCCAUGGACCUGAAUAAUCUCCCUUCAUGUCCUUACAAAACACAAGCAACCAUCAAAGAUGAAGUCUGCCAAGCCAGCCAAGUUAAUCACUUUGAUUCACUGCCUCACCAUUUCCAACAUAUAAACAACUCUCCUCUCUCUCUCUCUCUCUCUCUCUCUCUCUCUCUCAGACACACACACACACACACUUUCAAGGAGAGAGAUUCUUGGGGCUUGGUUUUGUGUUUCUGACACCUAAGAAAAUUAGAGGCAUGAGCAUAUUAAAAUAGACUUGGAUUGGUGGGGCUUGGUACUUCCCAAGUUUAAGUCUUUAGAGGGUUGUGGUCAAAAUGGUUUUAAAUUCUUUUCAUAAAGAGAGAGAGAGAGAGAGAGAGAGAGAGAGAGAGAGAGAGAGAGAGAAGUGGGUGCUUCAAGUUUCAGGUUAAUUAAUUUAGAAAUUAACCGCUUAAGCCAAGCCAAGUAUCUCUAAAAAUUAACAGCUUCUGGAUUCUCUUCCUCCUUCUUUUUUGGCUGAAAGAAUCUUUUGUUUUCAGCUCAUUCCAUUUUGGCCCUUGCAACAUCUUUCCAGUCUCAUUAUUUCCCUUCCUCUAAUGGAUCUAUGUUCUGGAGAUUUAAUAAAUAAAAUGAUAUCAUAUUGCUGUCACCAGUUACCACUAGGAAGUGGAACAGUUGUAGUGCACAACCUCACAUUAUAAUUUCUGAUGGACCAUCCAUCCAUAUGUAUAUUUCAUCAUUUCAAAUGGACCAUGAAAAUAAAUAAAUAAAUUCCCAAUUCCCACUUCCCAAGUGGGUAAAAUCUUUUGACUAUAUAUAAAAUUAUUGGUAAUCAAAAGAUUCCUGUAAAUACUUAUGACAGAGGAGAAAAAGAAAAUGCUUUUGUAAUUGGUGUGACUUAAGGCAAUGAUCAGAUGAAAGUUUGAGAAAAAAUUCUGCAGCAUGUGCCUCUUGUGCUCUCAGCAGCAUCUUACUUGCCAAAUUGCCGUGCCUUCUGGUUUGUUUGUUAGAUUGUCAAUGCUCUGCAAUUCACUCCAAAAUAGAAAAGUCAAUGCUUUCCCCGUCAAAAACGAUGGCAAAUAGAUCAAAUUAGAAACGCACAAAAAAUGUUUAGAAGAUGUUUUUAACUCGGGUGUAUUUACUCCAGCCAACUUGACUAAGUUCAUAUUUGAAAAAAAAAAAAAAAAAAGGUUCUUAUUAAAUAACCAUUUUGUGAAGAUUUAACAUCAGUAAUACUAAUAACCUUCACUCCCAGUUUAUUUAGGCUAUACAACAUUUGCGAAGGAAAGCGGUGCCGUAGGGUGCGAAUUGAGUAGGUAGGUCCAUCUAUAUUUGAUGUCAAGAUCAUGGUUAGGUGUGACGCCAAAGGUCAAGCAUGUCAAAUUCCCAUAUGCCGACAAUUUGUGAUGCCAUAUAUAACCCAUAAGCCUCCAAGCGACAAUGGUAGCAGAGAAUUUACUGUUGAAAUUGAUAGUGUAGCAUCAGCCUCAAGCUUCUUGAUUCAGACUAACCCUAAUCUCCAAAUAAGGUUAGCCCUGCCCUUGCUAGUUUAAUGCUAUAAGAGGGCACCAUUCCAUCAGGGCCUUAAAGAUGGGAAGUUUUUCAACUUUUCCGCAACACGUGGUGUUACUAAUUUACUCGUAUUAUAAACGUAUGUGUUUAAAAGAUAUAAUAUUAAUAAAUAUAUCAGUAAUUUGAUAAUAAUACAAGAAGUUAUUAUUCUCGUGUUAUAAAUAAUGUUAUUAAUCAACUCAUAUUAUAAAGUAACACACGACACUGAUAAGAGAGAAUUGUCAUUGAAAUUGACAGUGUGACAGCAGCCUAAAGCUUGAUGUCCAAAUCAGUAUAGGUUUGCUAGUUUAAUGCUGCAAGAGGGUACCAUCACCUAUAUAAUAAGAUCCCCAAAAGUAAUUAAGGGCCAGCAAAAAGCCACAUGUGCAUACCACUCUAAUGUGUAAUCAAUCAUACUGAGGUCUAAUAAGGCUCCUAAUUAUACAAAAACUUUCUUUUAAAUUGCCAUUACCAUUAUAUGAAAGUUAAAAGAUUCCUACCUAGACCUAGUAAUUUUUUGUAAUUAACCAUGCAAUUAACUUGGUUGGCACUAAAGCUUGUGGGAGGCAGAAAGGUAUGGGCCCUCAAGCCUGGUGCUUCGUUCUCUUUUUAGGGUCCUGGGCAAUGGUGCGUGCUUGCUACUUUCAAAUGGCCUUUAGGCCGAGAAAUACUUACGUGGAACGGGAAUAAUGUUAUUUUACUAUUUCGAUUAAUCACGAUAUAUCAUAUAUGAUAACUUUUUCCCGUUUCACACGAGUUUUCAGCUUGAGGCCUCAUCCCCUCCCCUGUUUGUUAAUUUCUAUUCUAUCUUUAAUGCUCUCUUCUUUUCACAAAAGAUCCAUUCACACUCCCAACAACUUCUGCAGCAACCAGUUGAAGAAUAUUGGUCCACCCUAAGCCCACGCUCAUUAAAAGCAACAUCACCACAUUGAGAUUAUUAAGUUGUUCCAGUGGCAACCAUACCAUGCCCCCUUUCGAAAAGUUGGUCUGAGAGAACAGAUUCCAGCCCCACUAUAAUCUACAAAUUUUUAAAGGAGAAAAAAAGAGUAUGGCCUGAAUUUAUACAUGUUUGAACUUUGAAGCUAUCUAAGAUCUCUCAUGGAAUGGAUUAUAUUCUUUAAAAUUUGUGUUGGUUAUGUAAUCCAUUAAAGUUAAUGUCAUUUCAUGGCUUAAACUAUAUAAAACUAUGUCACCUUUUUUUCUUCUUGGCGUGAAAGGCUGCCAUUGCCAUAUGCUUUUUGAAAGGGUGCCAACUUGCAAAAGCAAAAAUAUUAUUGCCCUGUAAUUUUGUUGGAGCUAGCUCUGAUAUUAUACUGGGAUUUGUUCUAACUCUUCAUUCUUGUUCUGAUAUGACUGAGAUUAAAUCUUACAUCAUCUGCAGUUUCUAGUUUGUAGCAGAAGGCACGCCCAGCUGGUAGAUUCUCUUGUGAAUUGUGAAAAUACCGUUUUAAAAGAAUGAUGAGCAAACAAUUAGAAUAUAAUCAUAUGAUUAUUCAAUGAUUAAGAUUUGCAGGUACCAGAAAUGGAUAGCAUUCUUACUUACACCAUAAGCUCUGGUUUCUAAGAGUAGGGCCUAAUAAGAAAUUAGAAAAAAAUAAAAAACCAAUUAGCAAGUUCACCUAAUAUUUCUUGACCAAAAUCUUCAGCAUCAUCAUAAGACAGUCCAUUUAUAGCCUAGGAUACGUAGUGGUGCCUGCAGAUUAUAUAAUGCAGAAGCUAUAAGGCACUAUACCUAUCUUAGUGCCUACUUCGAAGGUUGAAGAUGGUGAUGGGUCAUAAUCUCGGAUGAAUGUGGAGACCAUGUGAUGUUUAUCUUUCAUAGGAGCUAUUACUAUCUUUUUUUCCACUAUUUAUAUAUGAAAGAAAAGCUGGAAAUUAUUUGGCUUUUUAAAAAAGCACAACACUUUGAGACCUUCAAAGGUAUGAUGCAAUUAUACAUGUAGGGACUUCCACUGUCGCAUGGGUAGCCACCAUUCAAAGUUUCAAACAAACUGUUUGAAUUUUUUUUGGUUUUGGAUUUUUUUUUUCUUUUAAUUCUUUUAUAAAUUAAAAAAUUAAUGUGGUUUGUGGUUUGGAGGUCAAAAAGAUUUCUUGACAUCAUGACUUACCCUGAAAGAUAUGAAAGAAGAGAAAACUGGUCUGGAAGACUUGGAAGAUGAUCAAUCAACUCAAGUACAGAAAACACUUUCAUUACUUUGGUCACUAAUCUUGACAUUUUAAAGCUAACAAUGAUGCUAAUCUGGGAAAAGGGCUACCUUGACUAUCUUGGCAACAAGUUGUCAGUUCUUGACUAAUUAAAAAAGGCAUGCUCCAACCAAUUAAUUUCAUUUUACACAUAACAUUCACUUUAACUUUUAUCUUUAUUCCAAAAUUCUGGCCCUUCAAUUUCCAGUUUUCAAUUGAUUUGAUUUGUUGGUAUUGAAAAAAUACAUUCAUGGAAGAUCAGAUUCUGAGAACAAACUAUUAAUCUGUCGUAUCGGCAUUGCAAGGAGCAUGAAUUCUUUGGACUCUGAAAUGAUGGAUAAAAAGAUGGAUCCUCUGUCCACCAUAGUCUGUUUCAAUCAAAUUUAAUGCAUCUCUUCCUCAAUUAACGGUGGAUUUCUUGACAAGCAAAGCAUCCUUCUCCUUCCAUCUUUGUAGAACCUGAAAAAGGAAGAGGCAUCUUCACAUUCUCCCACAAUGCUCUUUUUUAUCUCUACAAUUGAACUUUCAUCAAAUAAAGGAACAAUGAAACUGACUGCUGCUUGUUUAUUCAUAAACUAUAUAUCUCAUUUGGUCUUACAAAGCCACAUUUUAAGUUCAACUAAUCACACCACCACUCUAAUAAGCAAAGAGCAACUUCAACACUCUACUUCGUUUUUUUUUUUUUCCUUUCCAAUUUUCUGUUAUCCUUUGGGGAUAGUGUAGAUAGUUAACUAUGUCAUCGGCAAUGAGGGAAGGCGUAAGAUCAGCAGGAGAGGCCUCUCACAAUGGGAUUGUUCGCCGGAUGGUAAGCCUUCCCAGAAGCAUUAUAGGAGGAUUUUCAAGAGCCAUGGGUCAUCGUAGAGGCCUAAUAGGAAUAGGAGGAAGAAAAGCCCAAACUCUACCAUCAAACUUUCAACUGCAGCAACCAGAAGAGCCCCUAAUUGGUCUAGAUGUAUCAGCUUUUCUACCUAGCUUUGAGCAGCAAUAUGGCACCAUGCAUCCAUUCUUUUAUGCUUGCCAUUUUAUGGAGGCCUUAAAGAUUGCAGAGGGUGAACACAAGUUCUUGUUCAUGUAUCUCCACUCACCGGAACAUCCCUUCACACCCUCUUACUGUAGGGAGACACUGUCUUCAGAGCUGGUGGUGCAGUUUCUUGAUGCUAACUUUGUUUCCUGGGGAGCACUUGCUGAUAGAGGGGAAGGUCUACAAAUGGCUGCAACAAUGAACCCUUCUUGCUUUCCAUUCUGUGCUGUUAUAGCUCCUGCUCCUGGUGAAAGCAUAGCAGUGCUAAGACAGGUUGGUUGAAACUUGAAAGUAUUUAGUACUUUUUUCAUUAAAUAAUCAUCCAUUGGUUCUAGAUAUACUUAUUGAAUGCCUAAACCAUCACUAUUGUUCUUUGCUUUGUCCAUGUUUAGAUGGAAGGACCAAUUUCCCCAACUGAGCUGGUGGGGAUUCUGCAGAGGACUGUGGAGGAACAAGGGUCGGCUUUUCGUAGUUCAAAGGUCAAGCAGGCAGAAGCUAUAAUAGCAGACCGUCGUCUAAGAGAAGAACAAGAUGCAGCAUAUCUUGCAGCUCUGCAGUUAGACAAGGUUGGUUUGUGCCUAUUCAUAUGAUAUAUGCCAUGCUUUAGGUCCAAGAUUUUAUCUAGUGAAGCAGAAAGUUGACAAUGAACCAACAUUCUUUCCCAUUUCUGUAGGAAAAGGAGAAGCUAAAGAAUCUACCUCCAGCAGACACAGCUCAGAAACCAGCAGAAGCCCCUACCAAAGCAAAAAAUGAGAGACUUCAAAACUACCCUACCAAACAACAGUACGGAAAAACCAAAGAGGCUUCUAGUACAAGAGGAGCUCAAUACAAGGAGGUUGCAAAUAGGGGGAAGGAUCCUCAGGCUGCUGCACAGGUAUAAUUUUAGAGACAAAACAUCAUAUUUUGAGUUUUAAAAGAAAGCAGUAAUUAUAUUGUUAAUUUGGUUGUUUCAUUGUUGUUUUCUUCAGAUACUGAUAAGGUUUCCAAAUGGGGAAAGAAGAGAGCAGUGCUUUUUGUGCACAGACAAAGUGCAGUCAAUUUACAGAUACAUAGAUUCAUUAGGCCUCCCUGGUAUAGCAAACUACAGAUUGAUUUCAAGCUUCCCAAAAAGAGUUUAUGGGGUUGACCAAAUGGGGAUCACACUCAAGGAUGCUGGACUGCAUCCAAGAGCAACCCUCUUUCUUGAACUUCUGUGACAUCAAUUCUUUCUAUAUUUUCACAACUAUUGAAAACCAAAAUUGGCAUCCUUGUAAUCAAAAUUUCAAUCUUGGGUUUUUCUAUUAUUGCUAGAAAAUGUCAAAUGGAGCAGGUGGGUUGGAUGAGGCCAUGCCGAAAGGGACAAUCUCAUUAAUUUCACUCACUGUCAAGUGCCAACAAAAACAAAGUCUACUGAGAAUAUCAAGUUCAAAGUUUAAACCUUUCAACAAUUGCAUCAACAUAACAAACACAAAUGCACGUCUAAAUGAAGCAUGAAAUUGCUGACAUUGACAAAUCCAACGGUCACAAACUUACUUGGAAGUGAAAUUCAGACAAAAAACAAUAAACCCAUCAAACCGACCGGUUAAUCACUCACUUAAUAACAAAAACCUGACUAAGUUAAUCAAAACUAGAAGCAAAAGCCACAAACUUUGAAAGUUUGAAGAACAAGCUUACGGGAGAGAGAAGAAGAAGAAAGGCGCGCGCUUUGCUCGAAAAAGUGCAGCAUCUUAUAAACUAUGAAACGUCAAAAAUACCCUUGAUUAUUUUGUCGUUUAGUGGAGCAGAAACGACAUUGUAUAUUUCUCACUAUUCGUGAAUUGGCCUCAAGGUCGUUUGUCCUCUCUGAAAAUAUUUGUCAAUUAGUCCUUCUUGCAGUGCAACAUCUUAUUUGUGGGCCACGUGGCGUCGCGUCACCGUGAGACGCUUAGGACAGGCAGCCUCAUCGCCCUCCUAAUGUAACGCCUACGAAAACCGCGAUCCGAUUCAGCGGUUUCACACCACUUAAUUCACACAAAUGGAGCUCCGUAUCUGCAACCCUCUUCGUCGUCUUCCUUUUCUCUCCAAUUGCUCCUAUCAAAUUAAAUCCUCCCAAGUUCGAAGGUUCUCUGUUCGGAGCUGCCGCUUAGACCCCAACGAAUCACACAAGGUAAAGUUACCUGCAUUUACCUGUACCACUAACCCUGCAUCUGUUUGGGUUCUCGGAAAAUUGUGGGAAAGUGACUAGGAAAUUAUGAUUCUAAUAGGCAUGUUUGAGUGUUUAAGUUUGUAUUUUUAGUUCACAUUUUGAGGAACAUAAAGAUUGAAACUUUUUUUAGCAAUUUAUAUUUCUUAAUCUUCUUCAAAAUGUGUGGCUUGCAUUGUAUUUUGCGUAGCUAGAUAUACACUUUGGUGGUUUUGUUAUGGUCUUUGGUGGUUUUGCAGCUAGUUUUGCAAGUGAAGAAGAAGCUUGAGAAAGAUCAUCAAAGUCUCCCUGUAGGCAAAAAUGGAAGAGAUGAUGAGGAUAUGAUCCUCUGGUUUCUCAAGGACCGCAAGUUUUCGGUCGACGAAUCUGUUGAAAGACUGACUAAAGCAAUUGUAUCCUCCUCUAGCUCAAUCAUGUUUUCCAGGACUCAAUAUUUGGGUUGGCUGCGUUAGCUGAUGCUUGCAUUUUACUUUGGAAAGUUCAUUUCUUUUUAGAUUCUUUUUCCUGGAAAUCUGGAAAAUGUUGAUGCAUUUAUGAUUAUAGUUUCUUUUUGUUUUCCUAGUAUUUCCUUAUUCUGUAAUAGAAAUGGCGUGAAGAAUUUGGGGUGUCUGAAUUAUCUCACGAUUCAGUGAAGAGUGUAGCCGAAACUGGAAAAGCUUAUGUACAUGACUUUCUUGAUGUUAAUGGUAGACCAGUUCUCAUAGUGGAUGCCUCUAAGCAUCUUCCUGCUGUAAGUUUGAUUCUUUUGGCUGUGCACUGUGCCUGAAAAUGUGUCUGGUCUUGCAUAUCAUAUCAUCUUAGUAUUCUGAGGUGCUACAUACUAAUCUUAGUCCAGAACAUAGUGUUUAGUUUGGUAACCCCUUUUGAAAAUUGUGACCAAUUUUUUCUACCUUUGGCUUAGAUCAAAGUUUGUAUGAUUAAUUGGUAACUGCACAACAAUGUGUUAUAGGUGCAUGAUCAUGCUGAGAAUGAGAAGCUCUGCGUGUUUUUGAUUGAGAAGGCAUUGAGUGCUCUUCCAGAAGGGACAGAAGACAUACUUGGAAUCUUUGACCUACGAGGCUUUGGUACAGAGAAUGCAGAUUUAAGUUUCAUAACAUUUUUGGUACGUUUUAGAAGCUACCCGCUGAUUAUUCCUUUUCAGCGCUAUUUGUAGGUAUUAAUUGUCGUGAAAAUUUCAUGAUGCUCAUUUUGAGUUGAUUCCCAAUCUAUUGCAGUUUGAUGUUUUCUACUAUUAUUAUCCAAAGCGAUUGGGCCAAGUCCUCUUUGUGGAAGCUCCAUUUAUAUUCAAGCCAAUUUGGCAGCUGGCCAAGCCUUUGUUAAAAUCAUAUGCUUCGUUGGUAUGUACUCCAUCAUAGACAAAUAUUUCAUAUAAUUUUGUUCAAAAGCGCUAUAUUUUUAGUCAAAAUGAAAUUUCAUACUGCAUUUGCACUUGAAUGGCAUUCAAAUUUGAUACUUUGAGUGAAUAUGUGCAUAUGGGAGGAGCAGGGGAUAUAUGGAAGACCUCAGCUCCUUUGAGCUUUAAAAACUUCUAGAGUUUCUUAAGAUUUUUCGUGAAUGUGGCCUGUCAGUCAAGUUCUGAAAGCCAUCAUUGGAAUUUUGGUCAGGUGUCUAUUGUAAAUUUGAUAUCUGAUGCAGGCCCUCUACCAUAAACUUUAUUGUGAAUGUGCAACUUUGUUGUAUUUUUUUUUUUUGUUUACUUGUCUACUAUUCCCGUUUCAUUUGAAGUAUUUGUCUCUUGAAGGUGAGGUUUUGCUCCGUGGAGACUGUCAGGAAGGAAUAUUUUACAGAUGCAACGGUGCCAGCCAAUUUUAGAGACUGAGAAAUGUCUCUCAAGUUUUGACUUGAUGUACCAGUGUAUAAUUCUUUUUGUACAAAAGAAUGGCUUUCACCUUUUGCCAGUAGAAUAUAUUUACUUUUAGCUUUAUAAUUUUGGGGUUUAGAAAAACUCAUUCGUUCUAAUCCAAUUUUGCUCCACAAGAUACAACGACAGCAUGUAGUAUAUGGUCAAUCAAUUUCUGGCCUUUGAAUUGUUAUUGAAUAAAAUUUGUCUAUUGCAAUCUAAUAGUUCAUAACAUCUAAUCUAUCAUCUUCUGUCCUCUUACUGUGCUCUUCCUGCCUAUCAUGGGGAGCUUGACUUGACAACAAUAUACAAUCAAUAGAAUACAAAGAAGUAAAACAAGUACAAAAAUGGGAGAGGAUAUAACCUCCAUAUUUAGGGCUAAAAUGCUACUUUGAGAUCUAGUAGGACUUGACCAUAAAUAUUCUCCUUCGACCAAUGCAGCUCCUAAUGUCCAAGUAACAUCCGCAGGACCAAAAAUGAUCUCUUUGUCACCAAGACACAGGGCAUCGUCAAUGAGCGAUGCCACAUAAGGCACACGAAAACAAUAUUGCCAAGUAAAAUAUGCAUUCUGUGAAUUACUGCUUAGGUCAGACCCUGAUCUGGAGCAUACUUGCUGGCCUUUCUCCCAAAUCUUCGUCAAGGUGGCUCUUGUGCUCAAAUUCAACUUGUCAUAAACAGCAAAAAAUCCAGAAAGUGCAUGAAAGCGGGCUUUGGGGUGAGCAAAAGCAGUCAAAUUUAUCAUUUCACUCCCUGUGAACAUGAGCAGGGAAUUACAAAAGUGAUAUGAAUCCUAAAAUCAUGCGCAUAGAGAUAAUUUCUAUGUGAAAGUAUGUGAUCUUCAACAAAGAAAAGACCUUUUAUAACUGGAUGAGUCAAAAGUCCAUAAACAAACAUCAAAAUAUUUGAAAGAAAAAAAUUGUAAUUCAACUGCUGAACUGGGGAGCAAAUGUAAUAUUUACCAUUAUCAGAACAUGACCGUGCUCUAUGGUCUGUGUCAGCUGUGCUUGAAUUGAUAGCAGCAACCCUAGCAAGUCUUCUGCAUUGCUCCCAAUUCGGCACUCCAACCAGAUACACAGAAGGAAAUUUAGUUUCCUGCACUUGACUGGUCACUUUUUUCUGAUCAGGAGCGUUAAGCUGGGAGCAACCAUAGCAGGUAUAGUUUUGCACAAUGUCAGUAUGAAGACAAGGAUGUCUGAUCUCUACUAUACCAGAAGCACUUUCUCUGAGUUGUUCCAUAUGGCUGAGCAUAACAACCGUCCUAUCAAAUGCUUCAUUCAAUCCAAAUUCCGACAAUGAGUAAGCUAAAAUAUCAUGUUCGACAAAACCAAAUUUUGAUCUCACUAAGUUCGCAUCUUCUCUUGUAUCAUCAACUUCCACGACAAUCUGCAAUGAUGAACCUCCUAAGUCAAGAAGUCCCAAAGUGGGUGACCUUGAAUGAUUCCCAAAGCUACCCAUUUUAUAAUUUAGAGCCACCCAACCAUAAUAAGCUUCUUCUUGGCCACUCAACACCCGUAUCCAACUCUUUUCAUACAAAAAAGUAUGUUCUUUUACAAUAGCUUCUAUGUCAUUCAAUACCCGCCUAGCAUCCUCCAUUGCCAAUCUCCUUAGUCCAGCAGUAGCUAGAACAAAAAUGGGAGUGUCUCUGCGUUUUUCAGAAGGAACCUUAUGUUCUGCCAAUGUAAUUAAUGGUUCCAAAGAUGCUCUUACUCCUGAUAAGUUUCCGACAGAUUUAUCCAAACCAGGCUCAGUUUGCAGACAGUGAUACUUACAACUUUUCCAAAGCAUUCCAUCAGUUGAAUUGUCGGGAUAAGAAUACAACAAAAUCGGCAAUUCCUUACUACUUACAGCCCUUGCCAGCCACUUGUACACAUUUACUCGGGUCCCUGUGCUUCCACAAUCAACAACCACCGUAUAAUAUGGUCCUUUAGAUACACUAUGGCCUUUCCCGGGUAUAAACACAAAAUAGGCACCAAAUAAUAAGAGUAUUAUAACUGUAACCAUAAAACCCGUUCUCAACGCCUGCUUGUAUUGAGCAAAUCCCAUGAUUGAGAGCUUAAGUUUUGAAGGAGAUUUGGGUUCCAUAGAUGCAUUACUAACUGGAAUAAAUUCCAAAUCUAAUAACAGCUCUUUCACUCUCUCUUCACCUUCAAAGUUCCCUCAAAAUUCAAAACCCACUCCUGAAAUAUAUAAAAUGUUAUGUUACUAGUCAAUUAGGCAAUACCAAAGCAAAUAAUAGCCUUAGACCCACCCAUCAACUUCCUACUUCCUUAUUGCUAGCAGUCCCUCCCUACUGUAAGGUCAAGCAAUAACUCAAUUUGGCCAAAUUUGAACUGAAAUCAGAAACCAUUCAACCGAAUCAGCCUAAUUGAUAGAAAGUUCCGGAUCUUAAGUUGAUGAAAACAAAUAAGAAAUAGCCUGAUAUAUAGAAAAGACCAUGCUUUCGAUUUUAGUAGUAAAACCUCAGUAUGAAAAGCAGUUACUAGCAUAUAUAGCUGGAAAACAUACAAGAUCAACAUUGAGUGCACAAAUAUAUACUGAUAUAUAGGAAAGGUUCAUCUUGCCAACAAGUUAUUACUAUUUUUAUGUAUCCAGUAAAAAUCCAUUCUCCAUAUGCUUUUAUAGUACUUUUACAAUUAUGACUCAUAAUGGUUAAAAACAAUCUAAUUAACGAUUGAUCUUUUUUUGAUUCCAUUUUAUUUGUGUUUUCCUUUCGUUACAAAAUCUUAUAUACCAAACAGGGGCAGGGCAUAGGAAUGCAACCCAGCUGCCAUGCUUAGCCCAAAGCCAUUGCCUUGUGCUCCAGAAAGGAAAAAAAAAAGGGCAAAAGGGUAGCUUAACAUAGACAUCACAAGCUAAAAUGAACUCUCUAAUAUUGAAAUCAUUAUGUCUGCAUCUGGAAUUGAAAAGUAGGCCAAUUUCAAAAGACAAAUACGAGACGUGAAGGAAAAGGCAAAUUAUGUGGAAAUGAUUCAAAGAGAUCUGAAUCAACCCAACCACCCAAUAAGAGAUACACGUGAAGGAAAUAAAAGUAAAGCGAGCUUACCUGGUUCGACUGAAAAUGCUUGAAGAAGCUUCACAUCGCUACUCAGCUGCCUCAGAAGAACUACAUCUACAUGUAUCUGAAGAAGAGGAACUGUGCACAACGUACAACUGUACAAACUACUUACGCGGGUUUGGGCCCAUGUGAGGGCUAUGGAUGGCCCCAUGGGUAUUGGGUCAGGGCUCCAUUUAAAUUGUGAUUUAAUAAUAAAAAUUGCAGAAUAUAUGUGUACACUAGUAGUAAUUCAUAUGCUCCGCAGUGGUAGAGUCGGAAAUUUAAGUGAGAGGAAGCACAUUUAAAAUUAAAACUCUUUUCACUUUCUCUAUUGUUACUUCUUGUAUAAAUAAUCUAACAUUCAUUCAUAAUAACAAAAUAUAUGCUACUCAUAAGAAAUUUAGACAUAAGAAUAAAAUAAAAAACAAAAGAAAAUAGGAAAAUUUAAGAAUUUAAGAGGAAUUUCAUAAUAUUUGUAUAAUAUUACUAUAACUAAAUAUCCAUACAACAAUAUUUGAGGAGGGGCACAUGCCCUCCCUGGGCAUGCAUUGGGUCCGCCACUGUGCUCGCGCACAGGAGUAGUUGAUCUCAUACUCAUUCUUUUGUGUUCUUCAAAUCUCUAAUUCAUGACUUUUUCCGAGUUCAAGUAAGUUAACAUACUAUUACAUGAAUGUAAACUAUAUAUAUAUAUAUAUAUCGACCAAAAAAAAAAGUACAAAAUAUAUAUUGUUCAUGGAAUGGCAUUAGCUUUGGUCGUUGGCCGUUGUUUUAUUAUGGAUAUCAUGAGUCGAACUCCAAAAUCCUUCGACCGAAAAAAACCCCAAAAUCACGUCGGAUUAUAACACAAUUUAUAAUAAGAAGAGCUAAAAUCGAACUAAUCAUGCACAUGCAAAUAAAAUUAGGCUAAUUAGUCAGUUUUUCAUGUUAAAUGCUCCAUACUUCUCUUUCUCGAUUGGAAGAACUUUAUAUCAAAAAAGUAAAACAUAACUCUUUGUGCUCAACUUGUUUUAGGCCGUUGGAUACAACUGAAAUCUGAAAAGUUUAUGAUCCCUUAACUUCAUGCCACAAACGAAAGCAAUUAGGAUAAGGAUAUUACACCUAAAUCUCACUAACAUAAAUACAGAAAUUACAUUAUUACCCAUAGCAUCACCUGAUACAACAGAAAAUACAGUGCCCUUUUAAACCCAAAGGAUAAAACACAAACUGAACAAGAAUUUAUAGCCCAAUUUGGAUUGGGAGUUCCAUUUCAAAGCAAACCCGUAUUCCCAAAAAUUCCCAAACUCUUUUUUGUUUUGUUUUUUUUCGCUUAACAAUCCAAAAAUUCUGAAAAAACCCAAAUUCAAAUUUAAUUUUGCGAGAGGUUCCAGAAUUAAUAUAUCGGAUUGCAACUCGUACAUCCUCUCGAACUCCUCCUCGAGCUCCCUCUCUCUCUCUCUCUCUCUCUUCUGUGUAUCCCUAUUUUCUUCUUCCCUGAUCUGAAACCAAUCACACUCAAAAUCUUCGUUUUCAACUCACAAAGAUCUCUGUUUCUCUGAACCGCCCUCUCGAUCUCCCCAAGCCCUAUACGCCGCGUUUCAAUCGUUUAUUCUCUCCCUCUAUAUCUUCCAAAACCCAUAUCAACUUCCCUAGGGUUUCCACGAACCCCUUAAAACCUAUUCUUAUACCAGGCAAGUUAAUAUCGUUUUAAUUUUUGCGGAAUUGUUAUGCUAAUUUAGCCUGUUUGUUUCCCGAUAAAUAGAAGGAAAAUAAUAUAUAUAAAAAGACUGCACGAGGAAGAAAUAAAUAAGAAUUUGCUUUUGCAACUGUCAUUUAUGCGCUAAAUAUGUUCUGGGAUGUUCAUAUUCUCAUAUGUUUUAUUGGCAACCAAGCGAACGUAUUCUUUUGGUGGCAUUUUGUGCUUUGGUGUUAUAUACAUACAUGUAGUUAUGCAAUUUUUUAGGUCAAUGCUUAUGAUGGGUUUCAUUUGGAAAUGAAGGAUUUUUCGUAUAUUAUUAUUGUUGUAUAGAUUUUGAAUAUAGUAUUGGCUCAUUGUUUGUCCUAUCAAAGGACGAAACAGUGCAUAGGUUUCUGAAAUCAGGGAUGCUUUUUUUUUUUGGUUGCCAAAAACCCUUUUUUUUCCCUUUAAAAGUGUAGUAGUUCUUCUGGGAUUGAGAACUGGGAUAAGUUUAGACUCUUUAGUUUAGCGAUCAUUGCUAUAAAAAUGCUCAAGCUUAGUAGUUCUUUAUCAUAAAAAGGGGAAAGAGAGUUUGUGAGAGUAACUAAUUUUGUGACAUGGGCUUGAUUAUGCAUAAGGGGAGAUUGAUUGAAGAAGGAUGAAGUUAAAAAGUGUCUCGGUGCUCUGUUGGUCUACACCCAUAAAAUCAAAGGAAAAGGUUCUAUGAGACAAUUUUUAGUAUUUUGUAUGAUAGGAAAUAAAUAGCAUGGAGGAAUGCUAAAACCUGGAUGGUACACAUUCACCUGCAAUAGCUAUGUGAUAACAUUUUGGUUUGUAGUUGUAAUCAAUAAUCAGGAGUCUGACACUCUGGCGCUGCAAAUAAAAUAAUUUUUUUUGUACAAGCAUGUUACAUGAAUCUUGUUUUCAUUGAUAUGAAAAGUUUGUUGUGUACUAUGUCAUUUGAUAACCUUGUUAAAACUGUGGUUUAUUGGUUUAUUGACUGCAUCAUCACACUUGUGGAAGUUUAAAUUCUCCUAUUUUUCCAGGCUUUGGUAAAUUUGCUUGAAUGACCUUGUGGCAACGAUUGAAACAUGACGUCCAGUAUGUUGUUGGGGGACAGGAGGUAUGAAUAUUAUUGCGACUUCUUAUGUUAAUCUGGCCACAUUCACAAUGUUUCAUAGACAAUGGGGAUUAUUGUUUGUUUUUUCUUUCUUUUGGAAUAGACAAUGGGAAAUUGUUAAGAAAACAUUGGGACGUAUGUCCUAGGAAAAAACUAAUUAUAUGUAAAUUGUGUUGGUGGGGAAGAUUUAAAGUAAGCAAAAUUACACUUCCACAAGAAGUAUUAUUAUUAUUAUUUUUUCAAAAUUGAGAUCGAAAUAUUGCAUACAGAGACAGACAAUCACAUAGAUAUCAACAUCUUUAGGUUGUAAUCUAAUUCUGUUGAUGCUGUUGCAGGUUGGCUUCUUCUUCCAGAAGAGGUCCCAUGACUGUUUUAGGGAAAGUUCCAAAACCUGUAAACUUGCCCAGUCAGAGGUAUUUGCUUCUUGCUGAAUUAUCCUUAAGUCAAUUUACUGUUCUCCUUUGUUUGUCACCUAAAAUUCCUUACCUUACUUGGCUGUUUAAGGUUAGAAAAUCAUGGUAGGGACCCAAAUGUGGAAAUUGUUCCCAAGUGAGUAAUCUCUCUCUCUCUCUCUCUCUUCCAAUUUAAUUUCUAUUGGGAUCAGUGUAUAAUAUUUCAAUGCUACUAGUUUAUCACCGGAGAAUAACACUUAGGUGUUUUUUAAUUUAAUACUUGCAGGGGCACCCUCGGUUGGGGCAGUAGAUCAUCUUCUGCAUCAAAUGCAUGGGGUUCCCCAUCACUAUCUCCAAAAGCUGACGGUGGCACUUCACCGAGCCAUCUCAGUGGCCAUCUUUCAUCUGGAAGUGGCACUCGACCAUCUACUGCUGGUAGUGAGAAAGCACAUGAACCUUCUUCUAAUGCAUGGGGUCCGAAUUCUAGGCCGUCAUCGGCUUCUGGGGCAUUGACAUCAAAUCAAACAUCACUGACCUCAUUGCGUCCUCGCAGUGCAGAGACAAGACCUGGUAGUUCACAAUUGUCAAGAUUUGCUGAACACUCUGAACAUCCAGUGGCAUGGAGUGCUCCUGGGACCGCUGAAAAGUUGGUAUGAUCUUUCUGUCAUAGGCUUAGUGUUUGAAUAUGUGUUCUACCAAUAAUUACUUUGUUAAUAAAGAUUCCAACCGAGUCGAUACAAAGAGAGGCUUCACCAUGGGAAUCUCUCAUUUAGGGUUAGAUGGAUCAAUUGACAUCUUUAUAAUUGAAUCACACAUUUGCUCAGGUAUGAAAAUGUUGAAGGAUCAAUGGAAAUUUCAACAGAAAUAUCAAUACCUAUAGAAAUUUUGGUAAAAAGAAAUGGAAAGUCGUUUAAAAAUAAAAUUCUGAAUGAACCACCAGAAAAUGGUAAACCAGUCAACAAUGCAUCAAUUACGCCUUUCAGCAACCCCCGGGUCUGCGAGCUUCGGAGUCAAGAGUGGUACUAAUAAACUCCAUAGAAUUAUGCACAAAUGAUAAAACUCAUGACAUAUUUGGUGAAUACCAUUCUCACCAAUAUUAUAUGACUUUAAAGCUUAAACAUUAAAGUGACAGAAAAUCAUUAGUUAAUUGAUUAUUUAAUCAACAAAUAGUAAUUUAAAUUAAAGAACAGCAUAACACUCAGAAUUAAUCACAAACUUAAUUCACCACAUAAGUUUGACCCUUUCCAAUCCCAGGAGAGCCCAAGGUAGUUGAACAACACCUCUGCUAUGUUUUCUUUGUUGCAGUCUGUCCGGUACUUAUCUGAAGAUCUAUCUUGGUUAUUCACUGUUACACAUGCAGGGAGUCUUGUCAGCGAAGAAUGAUGGGUUUUCGCUUUCUUCUGGAGAUUUUCCGACACUUGGUUCAGAAAAAGAUAAUCCUGGAAAUAAUGCCAAGUCACAAGGUUUUGUGCCUUUAUCCAUUUACUGUAUAAUUUAAUAUUGGAAGACGUUAUUUCUACUUAGAUUUUUUACAAAUACUUUUUAAAAAUUCACGUGGUGGUUGAGAUGGCAUGCCACACGCAUUCCACUACCUCACUGACCGUGUUCUUGGCAGUGCCAGUGGAUUUUCAUCAAUUGAUGUGGGACUGCCAUGUAAACUGCCAUGCCAUUUCUUAAGAAAUAUUGAUAAAUUUUUUACCCCUAGCAUCAAUCUUUGAAAAUACCAUGUUUGCGUCCUGGUAUUUGUUUGUUUUUUCAAACUUGGAGCAGUACAUCCAGAGUGGCUGCCAAUUUUUAUUGUUUCAAGUGCUAAAAGGCAUUUCCUUUUUGCGAAAACAAACAAGAAAAACAAGAAAAAGUGAAAAAGAAGAUUCUGCACAUUUUCUUGAUUUCUGGAGUAUGUGUUUCCUUAUACUUUCAAGCAACUGUUUUAAAGGAUAUGAUGGCAUUAAUAAGUAUCCAUGCUGGUGCAUUAUUUUUUUUCCCUUAUGGGGCAAGUAUCUUUUUGUAGAAAAUUUGAUGCUCCAUUUCAGUUUACUGAUUGCUUGAUCAAUCAUUUACGACAGAUCACAGUUCUUACUGUCGUCCUGGGUCAUCUUCUAGUGACAGAGUGGCAAAAGAGACGACUGGGACUUCUCUAGUCGGUUCGUGCACAUGUGCUUAAUUCUUGUGUGUUUAUGAGGAUGUUGCAACCUCAUUCCUUACAUUGGUUAAUGGCUUUGGUUUCUCAUUCUUUCAUGUAUGUAAGUAUGUGCUUGUUUUUCAUAUUCAGGUGAUGUUUCCGCAAAUGCAAAUGUCAAGAGUGGAACUGCUAAUUCAUGGAAAAGAGAAAAUCCCUCAUACAGCGGAGAUGGAGGUAGACCUGGUAUGGAGAAGUGGCAGGGUAAUCCCCAUCCUUACCCUAGUGCUAACGUCCCUCCCCAACAUUAUGAUGGAUGGCAUGGUGGUCCAGUAACUAAUCCACAAGGUGGUGUUUGGUAUAGAGGACCUCCAGGGGCAACUCCCUACGGAACUCCGGUCCCUCCUGGUGGCUUUCCAAUGGAGCCAUUUCCAUAUUAUCCUCCACAGAUUCCACCUGCUGCUCUAGCCAACGCACAGCCUGUUCCUCCACCUGGAGCAGGACCAAGAGGACACCAUCCUAAAAAUGGAGAUAUGUACAGAGCUCAUAUGCAAGAUGCUUAUAUUCGCCCUGGUAUGCCAAUUCGACCUGGCUUUUACCCUGGUCCAGUACCCUAUGAGGGCUAUUACCCUUCUCCAAUGGGCUACUGCAAUCCAAAUGAACGUGAUGUGCCGUUUGUGGGAAUGGCUGCUGGCCCCCCUGUUUAUAAUAGGUACCCUAGCCAAAGUGCUCAUGAGCCUGGCAAUUCUCAUGGCAGACCCGGUGGAUAUGGCCCUACUAACCAGGCAGUGAUGUCGGAGCAAUUAGAAUCUGGUCAUCCGCAUGAGUCUCGUGGACCUUACAAAGUUCUUCUGAAGCAGCAUGACAGUUGGGAUAGAAGAAAUGAGGAACAAAGGAAUGAGGGUGCUGUCUUAUCUCAUGCAUCAUGUCUUGAGAGGGAGGACCAACCAAGAACUUUGGCAUCGGAGAAUGAUUGGAUAUCAGAUCACAGAAAGGGGGGAGAGAGAGAUCAAAGGAAAGCGCUUGGUGAAGAAACUGCCUCACAGAAUUUUGACAACCGAGGAGCUUGUUCUGUUCCUAUGAAAGUAGCUCCUGAAAGUUUGGGAAAUAUAAAGGCAGAUGAUGUCAUUUCAGUGAAGAAAUUGGGAACUGAAGCCUCUGGCACAGCGGAGGUAGGACAACCACUACUGGCUGCUGCGAAAGACUCCAGUCUGAUUCAAAAAAUAGAGGGAUUAAAUGCAAAGGCGCGAGUUUCAGAUGGACGAAAUGAUACUGCAUCUGUUUCCAGUAGGGAGGAGCAGAAAAAUAGAUUCCAAGUCAAUGCUAAAGCUAACCAUUCAGUAAAUGAACGUGGUAGUAGCUUUGUAAAUCCUGAAAGAUCUCAUGUCACUGAAAUAGUAAAUCCCUCUCAUGAAGUGGGCUUUUCUGCUGGAGAUAAAAACCAAGUAACAGCAGGCAGUGGAAUUUCCAUCUCCAGGUUGGUUGGUAAUUUUUUGGUUUCCUCUGCCAAUAUAUAUAUAUAUAUAUAUUAUUUUAAAUGGUCGGAAAAUGCUAAUUUUCUGAUCUACAGGCGAUCUAAUCAAGGCAUGCAUAGUAGAUCAGAUCAUCGUGGUAGAGGAAGGUUGAAUAAUCAAGAAGGUGAAGGGUGGUGGAAGAAAUCCUUGGUCUCAGAACCAACAACCGUGGUAUCAAGUGCACAUUUGGAAACUCCUAAUGUUCAUCUGCAGGACCACCUUGCUACAAUGGAAGCUACUGAAAAGUCUGGAUCUUAUCCACAAGGCAGGCAUGAGGAGGAAUCUGCGACACCAUUGUUAGAUCCAAACGAUUCUGAGGCACAGGUAAUAUAAAUUUUAUUCAUAUUCUUGUUUGAUUUUAUGCUUUAGAAGUUUGCCAAAAUCAUUUUUCUUCACCAGCGUGCUAAAAUGAGGGAGCUUGCCAAGCAACGUACCAAGCAGUUACAGGAGGAAGAAGAGGAACGGACAAGAAGGCAGAUGGCCAAGGCUCUUGCAAAAUUGGAAGAGUUGAACAGACGUACUCAAGUGGUGGAGGGUUCAAAUGAGAAGUUUGCAAAAUUGAAUGAGAAGUGUGAGGAAGAAGAGGAACGGACAAGAGAGCAGACUGCCAAGGCUCUUGCAAAAUUGGAAGAGUUGAACAGAUGUACUCAAGUGGUGGAGGGUUCAAAUGAGAAGUUUGCAAAAUUGAAUGAGAAGUAUGAGGAAGAAGAGGAACGGACAAGAGGGCAGACGGCCAAGGCUCAUGCAAAAUUGGAAGAGUUGAACAAAUAUACUCAAGUGGUGGAAGGUUCAAAUGAGAAGUUUGAAAGUCACUCAAGUGGUGCCAUCCAGAAUAAGCAAGAAGAAUCUCAAACUUCUGUUGAACCAUUAGUGCCUGGUAGAAAGUCAGCUUCGGGUUCUAACCUGAAUGCUGUUGCAGAGAUUAAUGAGAGCAGCAGUGGAAAAGUUGAAAAGUCAACUGUUCCAUCUAGUGGGCUACUUUUAGAAACACCAAUGAGUGCCUACAAGGAACCUGUUGAGAUGCAUGAUCAAUCUGCAAUUGUUGCUAAUGCUGUUCAUCACAACAAUGCCCCCCAAGCUCAUGACAUCAAUAUCUCUAGGCAGAAGCAGGCCCCAAAACAGAGGCAGAACAAUCAGUUAGAAAAGAAGUCUACUGGAAAGUUUACUUCCAUGAGUACAGCUGAGGGUCAGACGGAUACAGUGGUUAAUAUUUCCGCAUCUCUUGGAGUUAUAGGAAGUGAAACAGCCUUGAGUAGUGAGUCAAGCCUGACUGCGAAUUCCAGUGCCAUACUUGAGUCAUCUUCUUAUCCAAGAAAGAAACAUAACCGAAAUGGCAAGAAUAAGCACAAAACCGAGAAUACAUCAACAGUGGCUGCUCUACCAUCAUCUGUAUCAAAAGAAACAAACAUUGCAAAUGCCACUUUUGAGAGUGGAAGGCCAAAGUUAUCUGAGUUGGAGGCAGAUCCUAACUCAGUUCAUUUGCAGGCCAUUCCUAGAGAUGCACACCAGUCUUCAGAGCAACACUCGUCUCUGUCAAAUGAUGAAUCUCAAGGUAGAGUAAAUAGCCAGUGGAAAUCUCAGCAUCCUCGGCGUGGGUCGAGGAAUGCACAAGCUAUUAAGCACUCUGAAAAGUUUCACAGUACUGAUGCUGUCGUCUGGGCACCUGUGCGGUCACAGAACAAAGCUGAUGUAAAUGAUGAAGCUAUCCCCAAAAAUGAAGUUGAGGCUGUUAAUGCUGUAAAGACCGACAAUAAGGUGCAAAGUAACUCAAAAAAUAAGAGGGCAGAAAUGGAGAGAUAUGUUCCAAAACCUGUAGCUAAAGAGAUGGCGCAUCAAGGAAGCACUCAACCACCAGUGACUUCUUUAAUCAAUCAGACUACAGUAAAUGAGACCAUUGAGAGAGCAGAUUCUGCUUCUCAAGGUGCCGAAAGUUCUCAACCUACUACCAUAACUGUUGGAAAAGUGGGGAUUCCCAUAGAUUCCUGGAAUGGGAGUGGUAGACAGACUAAGCAUGGAAAGGCACUUGGAUCAUGGCGGCAACGGGGGUCAACAGAAUCAACCACCACUCAAGGUUUGCAAGAUGGACCAUCAUAUACUUCAAAUGUUAGUCAGAGUGAUAAAAAAUCAAUCCAGCAUCAUCAACCCCAGAAGCCUGAUGUUGGCUCAGUGGUAGAGCAACCAAAGAGUUCUGAUGGUUAUUCUGAUGGAUGGAACAUGCCCAACGAGCCUGAUGUUGUUGCACCGGUCUCUGUAUCAAUUGCAAAGGACCAGGGAGUAAAAGGAAGAGGAAAACAACAUCCAUUCAAGGGACACAAAGCCAUGGGAAAUCAUCAUGAUCUUGAUCAAAAGAAAACUAGUAGAGGGGUUGCUGACAAAAUUAACAAUCAAUCAUCAGUCUCUGAAAUGGGUCAGGACCUACCUGCUGCUUCCAAAGAGAAUCGAGCUGUUGGCGAACGUGCAAUGCCUCAUUGGCAACCCAAAUCUCAGGCACUUUCAGCCAAUAAUCAACGGGGAAACAGAGCCAAUGGUGGUCAAAAUGUUGGUGUAGAAGUUGGUCAGACUAUCAAAAAGGAAACCAGUCCCCGAGGUGGGGUGCCACUUCAGCCAACACCUGACAAGGACACUACUGAAUAUGUGACCCAGCAGCGACAUGAUCAAUUGAUUUCUGAGAGAAACAAUGCAGAGGAAGGACUGAAUAAGAGAGAGAGGAAAGCCAUCAGGGGACGGCCCCACUCUCCAAACCUGGGUCCGGUUAGGCCAGUUGAACUGGCACCCACUGGUAUGGAUGCUAGACAAGAGCAGCAUUAUCACACAGGGUUCCGCAAAAAUGGAAACCAAAACAACCGUUUUGGCAGAGGUCAAGAAUCUCGUGGGGAUUGGAAUUAUUCAGGGCAUGAUAGUAGGCAACACAACCCCGCUGCAAACCGGGAGAGACCGAGGCACAGUUCGCAUUUUGAGUACCAGCCAGUUGGGCCGUACAACAACAAUACCAAAUUUGACAACUCCGAGGGACCUAGAGAUGGUUCUCAUAGUGCAGGUGGAAGGGUCAAGGAAAGAGGCCAAAGUCACCCGCGACGUGGUGGGGGAAACUUCCAUGGACGACAAAGUGGUGCUGUGCGAGUAGAUGCAGAUAUGGAGUAGUAGCUAGAAAAAUGAAAAGUUCUGAAGAUGAGGUUUUUAUUGAUUGAAACCCACUCUUUCCCACUCUUGCACUGUUAGCAGUGGCAGAUCGCGCUGUUUUUGGGUAUUCUAGCAGUAUGGCUGCUGAUUUGCAACUGUUCAUAUUUGUUAAAUGGACAACUGAUGGCUUCUGCCCCCCUGAGCAGGGCUUCCGGCAAAGUUGAUGGUGCUAAAUUAGUUAGCUGCUUGGAGGUAGUCGAAUGUGGCGUAUUUAUGGUUUUUUUUUUUCUUCUUUCAUUUCAAAUAUGAUGUGAAACAUUGUGAUUUGGUCACCCUUUGUUUCCUAAGGAACCCUUUCAACAUCUUUCUUCCGGCCUUUGUAUUUACUAUUUAGUGACCCAUAAUUCCUUGGCUCUAAAUAUGGAGCCGGCAGGAAGGAAUGAAAUUAGAGGAAGUUUAUGAUUCUCAAUCAAACUAGUCUCGAUGUCUUGUUGACUGGUUUUCAUUGUGGCUUCCGUACCUUGUUUGUUAGACAAGUAGAGUAAGGAUCCAUCUUCACAGUUGUUUAUUGGCCAAAAAUAAAAUUAUAUAAUGUGAAUAUAUCAGGGGCUCCUUUCCGUUCUUGUUUUUCUUAUAAAUUGUUGCUCUCGUCGGAAACAUCGCAUUUGAAUUUUGAAUGUUUCUCGCCGGUUUCUUUCCACACAAUACAAUGCAUCUCCACUUUCGAAAUUCGGAAAUUGUAAUGUGACUUCCGAACACAACAUCAAGGGUCAGCAAUUUACUUAAACACAUCACGCAAUGUCAGAAAGUAAAGAUGCUUCCUACCACUUCGAAUAUAAUCAUUUGUUGAUGGACAAUGCACAAGCUUUAGAGACGCUCCAACUAAGUUGCAAUAGUGGAUUGAUUCUUCCCCCGCAGAAGAGAACUUUGGCAAUUGAUUUUUGACAAACUAUUCAAUUUGUGGUUGAGGUUGAUAUUUUAGGGCUCGUUCCACGGGUGUCUUCAUAUAAUCACUUUAAGUGAUUUUAAGCGUUUUUAACCAUAAAAUCACUUCAAACUAUCUUGAUCAUAUGAAGAAGUGAUUAUUGGGUAGAAUCACUCUUAAACAAGCCCUUAAUAUAUUAUGUUAUUAAAAAGUUAAUUAAAAUUAAUUAAUAAGUGAAAUUCUAUCUGAGAAUUUAACAAUAUUGAUUAUCUGAUUAGAGAAGAGAAAUGUUGAGGAUAGUCUUCAGAGAGCGAUUGGUGAUUGAUAGUGGUAAGCGACUCUCUAACACAUCUUAAUAAGGGAAUAUUAUUUCAUGAAGCUAAAUUCCCAGAAAUCUAAACGGCCCAAGUCCAAACAAAGCGACCCAGUCCGAAGUUAGCUGCUCGAAUUAUACAUCUGGGCAACGGUGUCGUUUCCCUUUUAAUUUUAUCAACUACCUCCCUGGCUGCCUCUCCGGCUUUACCUUACCCUCUGGUUUUUCGUGCUUCAUUAUCAUCCACAUCCCGCUGUGAAAAAAUUAUUAAAAAAAAUCCCUAUAAAAACCCUAAAUUCACCUCCAAGAGUCGAAGACCUUCUUCUUCUUUAUUCUUUGUCUGUCUCUCUCUCUUCUAUCCACACUCUGUUUAUAGAAAUCUAAUUGGGAGGGAUAAAGAUAAAGUCCUCGUUAUAUUUAUCCCAAAAUUACCAAUUUUCGUUAAGGGAAUCUCAUGACAGGUUAGUUUGAAUUUGCUCAUACUUUUCUUUCAUUCUCACUUUCAAUUCUGUAUAUUUAAUUUCGUUGUUUUAGUUAGGGUUUGCUUUGUGAGCCUGUGAUUAUUAGGCUGUUUGGUUUCCUAUGUAAUGGAGGAAAAUGGGAAGGUUACAAACUCUAAAGCUUUGUAUUCGGUGUUGUUUUGGUGAAAUUUAGCUUAAAUUUUGGUACUUUAGCACGUUUGGGAGUCCUAUGUUUGGUGUUAGCUGAGGAAUUUCGAGGCAAAGAUAAAGGAAAAGGAGUUUUCAAGCUAAUGCUUAAUCUUGUUUCUUGCUUCAUUUGAGCAAUUGCUUUCUUCUAUUAGAAAACUUCUUGUAGUAGGUUUGCUCGAGAGCAAUUGAUGUUUUUAAUUUUGAUUGUCAACAACUUAUGGUUACAUGCUGAAGUUGGGCUUGUAUCUGUGUGUUUUAUUUGUAGCUGUUAAAUUGUUCCUUCUGUUUGCCUCGCUGCAAGAGUUAGUGCUCAUUUUUGGUUGUUUAUCAAAUUAGGCCCUGCUGAGUAAAUGAUUUGGUUGUUGAGGCGGAGACGAUGGCAUUGGUAACCCAUCAAAUGCAGGUAAUUUGAGAGUACCUUGACUGGAAUCUUACAUAGUAUCUGUUUAACGUAUGAUAUAGAAGUUUCUUUGGAGGUCUGGCUUUCUGUUUUACUGCACCUAUCUCUUGAAUCUUGAGUACUUAAUGGUGUUUUCAGGAUUGUGUUUGUUUUUGUCAAAUCAUCACCAGUAAAAUCUUUUAAAUUACUAAUUAUUGUUGUGAGAUUACUGAAAUACUCUCUAGUUGUUUAAUAACUAUUUUCAUAUUUAAAUCAUGGCUUUUUGUUGAAGUUUCUUCUUCUUGGUUUGUUUUUCCUUUAAAAUAAAUUUGAAAUAUAUUGUUUUUCCUUCUUGCAUUUCAGGGUUCUUAUGUGACAUAUCCCUCUAGGCCAUUGUCAUGGAGCAAAGGGCUGAAGUUGAAGCAGUAUGUAACAACACAUCACAUGGUUGGGAGGACAGACAAUUGCAUUAUGUUAAAGCGCAAUAUUUGUUUAAGGUGGGAAUUUUUCCUUCUUAAGUCUGUUAUCUUUGUUCCAUUUAUUUUUCUGUAGUCUUCUAUCAGCUAAACUUUGUGACUGCCACUUUGCAUGUUCUUGAAACUCCUCCACUCGUGCUCUUGAGAGUCACAUUUGCACACACCCAAACCAAAUACACUUUUCUAUAACUUGAUCAUUUAAAUUCAGAACUUGUUUCACAGUGUAGGGGCUUCUCUCAUGCGGGGAUCAAAAGUCAAACCUUUGAGAGUUUCAGCCUUCAAGGGAAGUGCCCAGAAUGAUAAAUCUGGAGGUAGAACAAGUGGAUCAAAGCUUCCCAAGAAUUCUGUCAAACUAAAAGAGAAUGAGGAUACCCUAACGGGAUCUCCUCAGGAAAAUGAUAUGCCUCUUUCCUAUGCCUCUGAAGCAAAUGAGAGCAUUGCUUCUUCCCCUGUCAUUCAUAAAUUAUUUAAGAAAUGGCUUAGAAUGCUCCGAACACAAUCAUCAUGUGAAGUAGUAGAUGGGAUUUUGGAGGAGGAACCGCCUCCAAAGGAGAUAUCAGAAACUGAGCACGAUACUCAGAACAAGGAAAGAGAUGGGAUUCUAAGGAUGGUUUGGUCCAAUUUUCUGGGUCUAAAUGCUACAAUAAAGAUACCCUUACUUAUAUUGUAAGUAUAAUGCUCUCUCUCUCUCUCUCUCUCUCCCUCUCUCUCUCUCUCUCUCUCUCUCUCUCUCUCUCACAUUGUCCGGCCUGUGAGGUUUUUUUUUUUUCCACAUCCAUGAUUCUUCUAUUUGCAUGAAUUUGUCCAUAGGUUGUAUGUGUGUAUUCCAACUGCUGGAUUUGUCUGUUCAAUUGCAAAAGUUACAGCUUGAUAACUCUGCACAUUGUUAUUGUUGAUCUUGAUUGUACACUUAAUCUGCAGCAUCCCCGGGUACCUGGCAGUUAAUAUUAUUUAUGGGGCUGAAGUUUCAAAGGAGUUGACUCCUUUGUGGGUUUUGGGACCCCUCAUUGUAGCUCUUUACAUCAAGAUGCUUCAGUGGUUGUGUGCACUCUAUGUUUUCAGCUUCAAGCAGACUGUUCAAGUAAUCAAGAACUUACCCACUUACUACAUGGUGGCCUAUAGAUACAUUGCACAAGGGAAGCUUAAAGAGGACAUACGGGCUCGUUUCUGGCAACCUGUACUGAACAUUAAGAAUUUAGACUACAAGAAACUAUCCAGAAGAAAGCUGAAAGGAUUGCAAGAGUUAAUAGUGGAGAAGUACCUUGAUUUUAUAGAAUCAAUAUGGCCAUAUUAUUGCAGAACAAUCAGAUUCUUAAAGAGGGCUAAUCUCAUCUAGAUGUAUCCGAAGAAUCUCCUGUGAGAGUAGUGGCUGAAAUUUGAGUUGCUCCAGAGAUGGUCUAAAAGUUUGAUUUUCUUUCAUGGAGCCAGCCAACCCCAUUUUAGAUCGGGUUUCUUCUUGAUAUCUAGGUAGUCGAGGAUCAUGACAAGCGGAUUUGUCCGGUUUCUGUAAUUUUUAUGAGGCAGCAUUCUUAUUUUUGGAUGAGGUCCCUAUUAUUUUGUUUAUGUACUGUAUUCAGCUGCCGCGAAUGUUUUUUGAGGUUCCAUAAUGAGAAAGUAUUUUCAACUCUUGUAGCAAGUCACUAACCAGGUUUGGAUGUUGUUUUACUUAUUAUUUACUUUUUGCCUAGCUGUUGUUUGAGACCAUGGUUGAUAUCAUUAAAGAGAUUGUAACAACAUGAACAAAGAUUGUGAAAAAAUAGAAAAUAAAAGAAAAAGAAAAGAAAAGAAGAUAGAGAGAUAUCACAUGAGAAACAGAAUAAGGAAAUAAAAACAAAAUAUCGGCAUAAAUAAACAGACAACGUAGGAAUAGGAUUUUGUCCAAAAUAUAGUCACCCGCUUCACCCCUCCGAAUAGACACAAAAGAAGCCGCUCUCUUUCGCUUCAUUGUUCCUUGAAUAACUCCAAAAGCCCACUCCUCAGUAUCUCCGAAUUCCUCCACUUUCUCACCCUUUCCUUCUUUUUCCCGGAAAAUUUGCUUCAUGGGUACCCUUAGAUAUUCGUCGAAUCAAAUGGGUUUGCGUUAGAAUCCCGCAGCAUGCCGUGGUUGAGUCUCUGACAGUCUGGGCUUGCUAUUGCUUUCGGAUAUGGCGCUUAAAUUUGGUUCUUCGUUUUCCUGUUUGGCAACUUCUCUUGUUUCCCAUUGCCAAGCGAGAAGAGGUUCCCAGGUGCGUGAUAGCCCCGUUUGGUUACUCAGAAAAUGUUCUUCGUAUUCCCAAAUUUUUAUUAUUUUUUAAUGUUUCAUAUGUUGUUUGAAUGUGUGCUGGGGUUGCUUCUGAUAGAUAAAAGGUUUGGAAUUGCUGGGUGAGAUUGAUUCUACAAACAUCAGUUUCAACAAAAAAAGAAAAAGAGACAAAAUUUGAUAUCAUUUCUAAGAUUCCCUCGUAGUGUGCUGAUAUAAGUUAUUUAAGCAAUUGGAUGAAAGAAAGAAUUCAUUUUGAUGCUAAAGAUUCUAUUUUGGGACAGAUUUUGGUUGCACUAUUCUUCUUAGUAUUCAAAAUUUUCGCUUAAGGCAUGACUUUGUGAGAAGCUAGAAGGAUAUUGCGGCAUUAUGUCAUAUCCGAGUAUUAGUUCUUAGCCUUUAUUGGGUUAUCUUGCACGCAUGAAGCAUAUUUUUUACUUAUGUUACCACUACUGAGCUUAAGCUUCUAGGAGUCAUGCAGAGUCAUGUAGAUUAGAAAUGCACCCUGUGCAGUGGAUUUUACCAUUAUUGACCGAUUAGAGUCAUUUUUCUAAGCUGAAAUAAACUAUACACAAAUUCUUUACUCUUGAGAAUUUUUUUAUCAUUAUUAGUUUUAUUUUAUAAAUUUCACUUCUAGUUGUCUCAUGCAACUCUAAUAUGAAAAGUAUCAAAGGACAGCUUCCUUGUAGAAGAGUUCUAUCAAGUCUUCGGUUUAUAUAAUUUAUUUCCUUUCAUGUACAGUUGAGCUUAUCACAACCACCGUACGGCAGCCAAAAACAUGAUGCUCAGCAGCUAAGAUAUGCUAAAGGUAGCUUUCAUAUUUGUUCUAUAAUUAGUAAAGUCUUGAAAUUCUGCUUUUCGGAUCAAUAUAGUCAGCAUAAAGUUUGAUUUUUCCCCGAGGUACUGAGCAUGCUGUUCGAAUCAUAGUAUAAUUGUAGAAGGGAGCCUAUGGACUUUAUUUGAUUGUAGAUACUUCUUCUAAUUUGACUUUUAUUAACUUUAUUGCCAAACCAUUUAUGAACAGUAAUUACAUUACUUUGAAAAGUGUGAGAUUGGUUCGUACUGCUCUAAAUAUGCUUUAUCUAUUUCUUCUGCUUCUUUGAGUAGGUAAGUCAUGCAUAUUCAUACAGCGAGUACAGAAGUCAAGCAACAGAAUCCCAAAGAGUCAGAGUGUUCUCUUCGCUGUUUCUGAAGACCAGUCACAAUAUAGUGAGAUAAAACCAGAUGCUGCAGAGCAAGAGAACCACCGUCCUGAUUCCGAAGAUAUAUUUCCAGCUAGUGGUUCAUACUUCCAUUUUGAUGGGACUGAUGGAAAACCGGGUUUGAUCUCAUUCUAUAACCGCCCAUAUAAAAGAGAAGAAGAAGUUUCUACAAAUAAUCCAGAAAGGAACCAAAACAACCUCUUAUGGUUCAUUGGUCCAGCUGUUCUUCUUGCGUCUUUCAUUUUCCCCUCACUUUAUCUGCGAAAAAUCCUAUCGACUGUAUUUGAGGAUUCUUUGUUGACAGGUAAGGAAGCAUAUUUUUGCUGUGAUUUUAUGUUUUUCGAGUCCAGAUAUUUGUUGCCACAUGUUUUGAAGUACAAUUAUAAUCACAGUAUCUGCAUAGAAUUGGAGGAACAGGAAAGUUGCCCUGAUCUUGAGAUUUUGUCUCCUAACAUAUACACCUUGCUGGGUAUCACUUUCUCUAUGCUGCAAGUUGCAUUAUUAUUGAUUUUGGGUAAGACUAUCCUGGGGGUUAUCAAUGGAGUCUAUUUAGUGUGAAUUCAUCAUGAUGAAAGUUUAUGUGGCUAACUCAAUUGAAUGAUGGGCAAGUGACACUAAAUUGUUAUCGGCAAAGUUGUAUAUAGAUAUAUGUCAGGGGACAAAAUCUCAAGAUAACAAGACAACUUUCCUGUUCCUCAUAUUUGCGUUACUUCUAGCAAGUAGAUUAGAAAAUCUUAACAUUGAUAUGAUAUAGAUGGACGAUUAAAGCAUAACUAAAGGAUGAGAAAUGUCUAUAAGGGAAGGGCAAUAAUCAAUGGGAACAUGAAUGAAAAUAUUGAAUAAUGACAUGAAGUUCUAAGAAGUAACAUGAGAUGUGGUUCAGUGGAUUGGAAAAGCAGUUUUGGUUCAACUCUUGGGAACUAAAUGAGUGUUGGAAAUUUGAAAAAAGUUGGCCUGUUCUUAAAGACUAUAAGAGUACUAAAACAUUUGGCUGAUUUCGUGUUUAAAAAUACAUUCCAUUUAUCUUUAAAAACUCAUUAGUUCUGUUUGCUUAGGAAAUACACCUUUUUCUCUUGUCUAAACCAUAAUCUUUUCUUUCUCAGAUUUCCUCAUCUUGUUCUUUACGGAAGCUAUCUUCUACAGUGGUGUUGCGGUGUUCCUUCUUCUGAUUGACCAUUUAAGGAGGCCAACUGAACCAGAAUUGAUUGUCCACAGUAACAGAACCCUCACCCCUCAAUUAGGACAGCGGAUCUCAUCUGUUGCUGCUUUGGUGCUUAGUCUUAUAAUUCCUAUGGUGACUAUGGGUUAUGUCUGGCCGUGGACUGGCCCUGCAGCUUCUGCUACUCUUGCUCCAUAUCUGGUUGGUAUAGUGGUCCAAUUUGCAUUUGAGCAGUGUGCAAGAUAUAAGAAGUCACCUUCAUGGCCUGUUAUCCCAGUCAUCUUUCAAGUAAGGCCAAUCCUAUUCUUUCAGUUUUUGGUUAUGGAAUUUGCGAAAAUUAAAAUUUGAUCCUAUCGGGUGAUAGUUCUUAAAAUUCCGGCCUGUCUACAUAGGUUAUAUGUAUAUGGGCAUCAACCACUCACCUUAAACUGUGUUUGAAAACUAUGAAAUGAUAUGAACUGCCUCCUAUAUUUGAUUUAUGGUUGUGUACAUGCGCGGGCCUGUGAAUCAAACAGUUUAUGUUCACUGUGCUUGACAGGUUUAUAGAUUGCAUCAGCUGAAUAGAGCAGCACAACUGGUGACUGCUCUGUCCUUUACAGUCAGAGGAGCUGAGACAACCUCACACAAUUUGGCAAUAAACAGCUCAUUGGGAACACUUUUGAAUGUCCUUCAAUGUCUUGGUGUCAUCUGCAUUUGGUCUCUCUCAAGUUUCCUAAUGAGGUUCUUCUCCUCUACCACCGUCGCUGCACAGUGAAGCAUCAAUAUCAUAUAAGGAUCAUGUAUUUCAGAAACGAUACAAUCGGUCUUCUUGGGUCCAAAUUCCUUUUUUAAUAGUUUUGUUCUGCUUGGGUGGGAGUUUGGCAGCAAAUGGGCAUGGAAGCAUUAGUCUUAAGCAAGUUAGAGGGUAGUUGCACGAUUUUGUAAAGGAGAACCUCAAACUGCAAGGGAGAGCGAAGUUGGUGAGAAUUUUGGUACUUAUAUUUCCAUUUGAUUCCCUGUACUCCAUUUUUGUUGUACAUAGAGCCUGGAUUGUACCAAUUCCUAGGGUCUUGAAUCAAUUUCUCUUCAUUAAAUCAUAUUGGUUUAGAAUUUGAUAGAGAUCUCUGUUGCAAGCUUAUAUGAUCUCUUAGAAGGGGUUUAUUCACAAUUGAAUUUUUUCACAUCACUGUUCGAUCUAUAUGAUCUCUCAACAAAAAUUUCGUCUCAUCCACUGCAUUGCAGUCCCCACCAGUGAAGUCCCUCUCUUUCCUAAACUGAUGCAAAUGGAAUUUUAUUUGUCACAUCUAAUGAAAUCCCAGCAAUCCAAGUUUUACCUUCUUGCACUCAACAAUAUAGACCCGAUCUCUUCUCUGAUAUUCUUUCGAGAAUUCAUCGAAGUUUUUAUUUUUUCCGCUUUCUGCAGAAAUUCCUAUCAUAAAUCCCUAGCCGCCAUACUUUUUCUCUCUCUCACACACGGCUCUGGCCACCCGGUUCACACCAUUUUUUAGAAUUACAAUAACAACUUCCUUUCUGGCAUUCUUUAGUGGUCCGUCUUUGAAGUGCCUGUACAAAUAGAGUUGGUCACCAAAUCUUUUCAAAAUCAUACACAAAAAGCAGGCCAAAGUCAACAUUUCCCUGAAGAUAUCAAUGAAAGAUUAAGAUAAUAAAGUCAACCCUAACUGAUAUAAACUACUGAACAAUAACUGGUUUGGAGAGAUAAUCCUUGACUAGACCAGUAAAGGUAUUUCAUUAAAAUAAAAGGAACAUCAGCAUUUUCAUAUCUUGUUUGGAAAUAAAUGCUUGUUUUCUUCACAAGAAAUACUAUUUUAUGCAGAAGAUGAGCGACGCAUUAGUAUUAUAGGCCAUCAAAAAUUCUAAUCAUGGAUUUAUUAUUGAUAAUUUGAUGUAUGUUCUGUUUUCGUAUUAAUAUAUUUAAAAUGCCUUUUGCUAGAAAGUGCACCUUUUGGCCAACUUUUUAUUAGUUAAAUGUGUUUUUAUAAUUCACUUCAAUGAUGUACCUUCUCCUUUGUCUCUCAGUCACUUGAUAAUAUAAACUCAAUUGUCUUCUGGUUUGGUGAAACAUUCUUUCUCUUAUUUCUGAUCAAAGAUUUAAAACUCAGAUUAGACUUAAGGGGGGCAUGUACUUUGUACAGUCAGAGAGAAAACUCCAAAAAGAAUAUUAAGUGGGUGUUUGACAAAUCAAAUUCAGCUGCAAUAUGGAAAGGAAAAUAUAUGAGCAUAUCUUGAGCAUGUAGAUUUGCAGCCAUGAAUAUGUUGCUGACCUAGUACCACGACAUGUUGAAUGUACAAACACUUGGUCUUAUUGAUAAUCAUACCUCCACUUUAAAAAGAGGGCAAGUUAUAAUUCUCUUCUUUAUAUAUUACUGAAAAUAAGCUAACGAGGUCUAGCAUAGUGGCAAAUGAUAUUGACUUGCAUACCAAUGAUCUCAAGUUUGAACUCCAUGGCUCCUUGGUAGUGUGUGUGUGAGAAAUCAACCUCCUUGAUAGUUUAGACUAUCGCUUGUAUUCAAAAAUAUUUACUAAAAAAACAAAACAAAAAACAUUUUGGUCACCAUAAUAUUUUCUUUUUGGCUUAAUAUCACAAAACGUCUUUAAGGUUUACGAAAAUAAUGGUAGGGACCAUUUGUGAUCACACAUACUAACCUUGAGGACCACGAACGACAUAAAAAAACAUUAAAGAUGCAAUCUGAUAGUUUCGUAAACCUUAGAAACGUUGUGUGAUAAUAAGCCCUUUUUUUUUAGUCAAGCAUUUUAGUGGGCCAAACAAUUGUCAAUUUUUCAUCCAUAUUGGUUUCCUCUUCCUGAUCCUGAGAAACAAAGCAAAGGUGAAGUGAAGGAUAUAAAGCUAUUGCCGAUAGAUAGGUAAGCAAUUAGACUUCUCAAUCAAAGAUGUAGAAACUCAAGUUUGAAGCAACCUUAUUUGUCUUCUUCUUUUUGGGUUCACUAGUGGCAUGAGAAUCCCUUCAAUAUAUAUACUGAGACAAUAUUCUCUCUCCAUCUUAUUAGACCUAAUUUGGGCCAACGCAGCAUUUUUUGAUCUUAUUACACCAAACCUCACAUGGUCUUUGGCCCUAUUGCAUGUUUCAACAUGAUUGAUUAAUUGGUCACUUGUGUCAAAUUGAUCAAUCAAAUGGGGUUGUUCUGGUUCUCAUGUUUUCUUCCUGUAUUUAAUUUGGUAUUUGGUGGGUUUAGGUUAAAUUAGAAAAUAUCUCAUGGUUGAACUUUCGACUCAUUAAUACAGAUUAAAAAAUAACUAAUUAUGAGAAAAUUGUCAAGGAAAGUAGAUACUAAUGUUAAUGCAAUACACUCUUUACAUACAUAGUCAUUUAGUGAUAAAGAACACUUCAUCGCACAUUCACGAUAAGAGUUUUUGAGUCUUGCUUUUCAUUAUCUGUUGAAUCAGAGAAAAAAGAAAGAAAAAAUCUUCAAACUUAAACAUGAAAACUUUGAUGCAAGCUGACAGCAGAUGAUGCAUGAAUCUAUCAACUUGUUCAUGCCCUCUGCUGCAUUCUAUAGUUUCAAAAGAAUAAUGGAUUUAUACCUAUCUAGUGGACUAACAAUCCUAGAAGUUAAAUUGACUAAAUCUAUGAUAAAGUCAAAUGUGACUCAAUUUUUUUGGAAUAACUGUGAUAUGGAUGGUUUAUUUAUAUUGAAGAGAGCCACUCUAAAUUUAACUUCAAAUAGACUAGAGUGCGGUCCACUUCUUCAAUUUACUAUUAGGUGCAAGUGGAAUGCUUUUCCUCUUAACUUUUUGUUUUCGUUUUAGCCAUGCUUGCACCAUCCUUAUCUCCAUGCACUUCCCCACCCCAAUAAGAUUCUAAAACAUGUUCCAGCAUUCCAUACACACCUUGAGAAGAAAAAAAAAAAAAAAAAAGGAGAGAAGCAUCAUAUCUUUUAGCAGAACUGAGAAAAAAGGUAAAAAGAGAUGGCUACCUUAAAAAGAAGACUUGUGGUUAAAGCUUAAUUACUUUUUAUGGAUUGUUAUUAUCAACUUUCUUUGUAAACUGAUUAGGUAGGCCUACUUCAGAAGACUAUUUAAACUCCAAGCAUCCAUUAUCCCACCAUAGUUUUAAACUUAUCUUACCUCUUAAUCAAAUCUCCUCCUUGAAUUCUUAUUCCAUCUCUUCUUGCUAUUUGCCUCACUCUUUCUUGCCUUUCCUUUCUUUCUGCAUGGCAUUUCUGAGAAGCAAUACUAAAUCUUCAGAAUCAGUAUCUGAUAAUUUGGUCUAAACUUAAUCUUAGUCAUAGCAUUGAAAUGUCUCAUUUCAUGCUGUUUUUUGCAAUACUUCAUGCUAUUCUUGCUGUUGCUCUUGGAGAUAGCUUGAGAGAUUCCAUCUCACUUCUGAGAAUCAAAUCAGAACUGGUUGAUCCAGCAGGAGUUCUUGACAACUGGUCUCCAAGAGCUCAUAUAUGCAGUUGGAAUGGCCUUUCAUGUUCAGAUGAUCAGAUACAUAUUUUUGGUCUGAACCUAUCUGGAUCAGGACUAUCUGGUUCUAUCCCACGUGAGCUUUGGCAACUCACUUCAAUCGAAACACUCGAUUUGUCUUCGAACUCCCUCACUGGUCCGCUUCCUCCUGAGUUGCAACAGCUUCAAAAUCUUGAAACACUUCUCCUCUAUUCAAACUUUCUCUCUGGUGAGAUUCCUCCAGAAGUAGGCCUUUUGAAGAACUUGCAAGUUCUCAGGAUAGGAGAUAACUUGUUAUCAGGUGCAAUAACACCAAGCAUUGGCAACUUGACUGAGUUGAGAGUGUUGGGUCUUGCCUAUUGCCAAUUGAAUGGAAGCAUUCCAGUUGAUAUUGGCAAUUUGAAGCACCUGAUAUCUCUUGAUUUGCAGAACAAUAGCCUCAGUGGCCUCAUCCCAGAAGAGAUUCAUGGCUGUGAAGAGCUUCAGAACUUUGCAGCAUCAAACAACAUGCUUGAAGGAGAUAUCCCUUCUUCGAUAGGAUCGCUUAAGUUACUGCAAAUCCUGAACCUGGCCAACAACAGCCUUUCUGGAUCAAUUCCUGUUGUGUUAAGUCAACUCACCAAUUUGAAGUACAUGAAUUUUCUAGGGAACAGAUUGAACGGCGAUAUUCCUUUGGAGCUUAACCAGUUGGUUCAGCUUGAGAUGCUUGACUUGUCACAAAACAACCUCUCAGGAAGCAUACACCUUCUCAGCACCCAACUGAAGAAUCUUGAAGCUCUGGUUUUGUCUGAUAAUGCCUUGACAGGUAGCAUUCCAAGAAACUUCUGCCUCAGAAAUUCAAACCUUCGACAACUUCUUCUGGCUCGAAACAAACUCACCGGAAGAUUUCCUUUAGAAGUACUGAGCUGUUACUCACUCCAGCAGUUGGACCUUUCAGAUAACAGCUUUGGAGGAGAGCUACCAGCUGCCCUUGACAAACUAGAGAAUCUCAUUGAUCUUGUCCUCAAUAACAACAGCUUUACUGGAACUCUACCUCCUGAAAUUGGAAACAUGAGUUACUUGGAAAAUCUGUAUCUGUUUGGCAACAUGAUCACAGGUGGAAUUCCAGUGGAGAUUGGAAAGCUACAAAGGUUGAAAACCAUUUACCUGUAUGAUAACCAGAUGUCAGGAUCCAUACCAAUAGAGCUAACCAACUGCUCAGACUUAACAGGAAUUGAUUUCUUUGGGAACCAUUUCACCGGGCCCAUCCCUGCAACAAUUGGAAAUCUUAAGAAUCUAGUUUUACUCCAACUGAGACAGAAUGGCUUGUCAGGUCCUAUUCCACCAAGCUUAGGUUACUGCAGAAGUCUUCAGCUAUUGGCCUUGGCUGAUAACAAGCUCACUGGAACAUUGCCACCUACAUUCAGAUUCAUUUCACAACUAAGCACCAUCACCCUUUACAACAACUCCUUUGAAGGCCCUCUUCCCUCAUCACUUUUUCUUCUAAAAAACCUCAAGAUCAUAAACUUUUCUCACAAUCGGUUCAGUGGAACCAUCUUUCCUCUCUCCGGUUCGAAUUCUCUUACUGCUGUAGACUUAACAAACAAUAGCUUUUCAGGUUCCAUUCCUUCUAGACUAUCCAUGUGUAGAAAUUUAAGCCGUCUCCGCCUUGCACACAAUCACCUCACUGGAACCAUCCCUUCUGAGUUUGGCCAACUCACACAGCUCAACUUUCUUGACUUAUCCUACAACAAUCUCACAGGAGAAGUGCCACCUCAAUUGUCUUCAUGUAAGAGAGUUGAGCACCUUUUGCUAAGUGAUAACCAAUUCAGAGGAACAAUACCUCCAUGGUUAGGAAGCUUACAAGAACUAGGAGAGCUAGACUUCUCAUCAAACAACUUCCAUGGAACAGUACCUGCAGAACUUGGUAAGUGUUCAAACUUACUGAAGCUUUCUCUGCAUGGCAACAGUCUCUCCAACAUGAUCCCAGAGGAGAUAGGAAAUCUCACUUCUCUUAAUGUUCUUAAUCUUCAGAGAAAUAAUUUUUCGGGUUCUAUUUCGUCAACGAUCAGGCAGUGCAAGAAGCUCUAUGAACUGAGGCUCUCAGAGAACUUCUUGACAGGUUUGAUACCAUUUGAGCUAGGAGAGCUCACUGAGUUACAAGUCAUCCUGGAUCUCAGCAAAAACUUAUUCUCUGGUGAAAUUCCAUCAUCUCUUGGCAAUCUAAUGAAGUUGGAGAGGUUGAACCUAUCUUCCAAUCAACUCCAAGGAGAAGUUCCUGUUUCACUUGGAAAGCUGACCAGCCUGCACAUGCUAAACCUGUCAAAUAAUCAUCUCCAGGGCCAAAUUCCAUCAACUUUUUCAGGAUUCCCACUAAGCUCCUUCUUGAGAAAUGACAAGCUUUGCGGCCCACCAUUAGCAAAAUGUCUGGAAUCUCAAGGGCAGAGAAAAAAGCACCUUUCUGAUGCUGCAGUAACUGGCAUUACAGUGGCCAUUGUGUUGACAUCCACAGUAAUUUGCUUGGUGAUGCUUUAUAUCAUGUUAAGGAUGUGGUGCAAAUGGAGAAAAGUUUCUAUCUCAAACUUGGAUGGUGGUGGGGCUGAAUACAAGAGAGAAGAGGAGAAAUGGGGUCUUGGUAAUGAGAAGAAGAGGCCUGGUGAGUACUGGAAAGUGGAGUCGGUGGCAGAAAUGCAACAACAGCAUGCAUUCUACACCUCAAAAUGAGAAAAGAAGCCAUGAUGGUGGUAAAUACCUUAUUUUGAAGUCAUGGGAAUUACCCAUCUUUUAUUUUCUUUCCUCGUCCAUUUUAAAAUUGAAUUGUUGUACAAUCUCCCUCUUUUAACUUUUUCAGUCUUUCUUUACGGUGCAAGUGCUAUGUGAUUCUAUUUUGAGUUCUUGAAUUGUGAAGUGUAAUUUGAAGCAUAGACUUCAGAGUUGUGAAGUGUAAUUUGAAGUAUAGACUUUUGAGUGUAUAUAUUUCUGUAACUGUAAGAAGCUAGAGAGAGCACAUUUUGGAUAUAUUCUUCAAUGUAAUCUGAGCUUUUUUAUUUGAGGAAAUAUCAUAUUUCAUGGUUUGCCAGAUAAUGACAUGCAAUAAUUUUCUUGCAUUUUUUCUGCAAGUAACAUGCGACCAAGCAAACUCACUGGAUGAAAAUGCAAAAAUUCACAUAUUUCUUGUUCUUACUUAGAGAAGAAUGGUCAGUGCUCACGUUUAGUCUUCGCAUGUUAGGCCGACUCUAGACAGAUGUUCGAACUUUGGACCGUCAUUAGAGGGCUUCACCUCCUUGUACAACUGAAACUCUGCAACUCUAGCCCACUACAAAUAUCCAACUCCAAUGGUCAAUAGCUUUAGGCCCCAUACCAAAUAUGCCGAACUCGCAAAAAAAUUGAAGUGGGUUUACCACUGAACCCACCUAACAUACAUCUAAAGCCGAAGUCUAGGCUCGAUUCCGCCUCACUUUGUAUCGAAAAUAUAUAUAUCACUAUCAGGUAAGCUAAGCAUGCAUAACUUUUUUUUUUGGUCGAAAGCAUGCAGAACUUAGAAGAACUUCAGCUCCUCAAGUGUAAAUUGGACACUAAAUAUUGGGGUACCACAAAUACAAGACAAGACGACUUGAGUUUCCACUGAGGAUGGCAUAGCCAAUCUCAAUUGUGUAGCCAUGAUUUGAAGUCCAUAAACAACAAAUCAAAUUGCAACUGAAACUUGAUAGAAAAACAUUACUUUUUUCCAAGCACAAGAUACAAGUAGGAACAUUAUUUUCAUUAACUAUUAUUACAUUUUUCAUGUAGUUUGUUCCUUCAGCGUAGAUGUAGGAAUAUGGGUAUGUUUAGUUUCACCUCUUCAUCAGGGAAUGAAGUUUGUUACUUAGAGGCAAUGGCACCAGCCUCACUGAGAAGGGGCAGAAGGUGACCCGCCUGGUGCUUCUCUAAAACAGCUGCAUGAUCCAAAAAGAGAUUAAGUAAACUGAAAAUCAACUAAGUUGAAAUGAUUUGAGGGGUCUUUUGUUGAUAUCAAAUUCCACUGAACAUGAUAUAAACAAUACAGCAUAUGCACUUACAGUCACAACCACCAAUGUGUUUUCCCCCAAUAAAGACAUUAGGCACAGUCCUUUGUCCAGUCCACUCUGCUAGAGCUGCUUGAGUUUCAUCUCCAUCAGCUUCAAAAAUAAAAUAUAUGAAUUCCCCAACAAUCUAGGAUUAGAAAUUCAGAAGUAACUAACAUACAAAACUCAUCUUCUUAUUCUUAUGACAUUAGGUAGCCUUUGCCCAUCUUGGGUUUUAAUUUUAAUUUUUUUUUAAAUGGCCCAUGAACUGUGAGCAAAUUGAAGAAAACAUCUGACUUAUAACACUAACAGUCAGCAACUCAUAGAAAAUACGUUCUUUCUCAUUCAAUUUUAAGUCUUGAAAUCGUCUAAGACUAAGCAAUCAAGAAAGUCCAAAGAAGUAGAAUAUGGUAAUUGUUGAGUCCUCAGUAAUGAAAUUGGAAAGUCAAUUCUAUCAAAAGCAAAAAUUGAUAAAAAAAGGGUUGAGAGAGAGAGAGAGAGAGAGAGAGAGAGGACUUACUUCCCUCAUCCAGUUCAAUGACCUUGUAAGUUGCUCCAAGCUGAGUGAGCAGCUGCUUUACCCUCUUGCAAUAACCACAGUAAGUCUUACUGCCCACCAAAAAUAAAAAAUAAAACAUCAAGAACAAGAUAAUACAGUAAAGCUAAUGAAUUUCUAAAUUGGAUUGGGCAUAAAAACUAAUUGGUGCCGGAACCCAUUUAAUUCCACGAUUUAUAUGAAAAUGAAACACAUAAAUCUACAAAUUGGUUAACAAAUUAGUUUCUUUUAAAAAGAGCAAUAGAAAAACCUGAAGACGACAACUGGGUUGGAGUUAACGAUGGUCUUGACCUUGCUGACCGCCAUUUCAAGCUGUUCCUUGCUGAUACUCUUGGUUAACAGAGAACCCAUUUGCUCUUUUACACGUCUUAUGUUAUAUAUGGCGACAAAUGUGUGAAGAUGUAAGAUCAGACUCAGAGAGAGAGAGAUAGAGACACGGGUGUUGAGCCUCGCUGUUUGGUGUCAAGAAAUUAGAAGAAGACAGAAAGAUGCAAAGAGAACAGGUGUUGGAAUCAGAUUCUGCAUGCAGAUUUAGCCCAAUAAAAAGGCACAAGCUUGGUCGGCAGCUUCCACGACAAGAUUGAAGAGAACUGCGAGAGAGAGCGAGGUGCAAUUGGGCUUUGGAUGGUGCUGUCGACUGUGUCGUUUUUUUGUUUUGGGAUCGACUCGACUGUGUUGUUUUUCACUUGAGAAUAUACGCUUCCUCACAUCAGCUGUAAAAAUAAAAUAAAAAAGGCGGUAUAAAUCGUACAGCCGCUUGGCUAUACCGGGUUUUUCUUAACUUUUUAAUACAUAGUAUGGCCGUACGGCUAUACUGCGGUUUUUUAAAUUUUUUAAUUAAAAGUAUAGCCAUGCGGCUAUACUCGUGAAACGAAAGGCCACCUAGGCGCUAGGCGGGUCCCUUUUCAUUAAAUAAAUCGUAUAGCCGCGCGGCUAAACUGUGUAAAUAUGUCAAGAGUAUCGCCGGGCGGCUGUACUUGGUUCCCGUUUAAAUUUUUUUAAAAUAAGUAGUAUAGCCGGGCGGCUUAACUUCAUAGUAUAGCCGCGCGGCUAUACUCUUUAAAUAUAUACUGGGAUAAUAAUUUUUUCCCCUGAUUUUCGCACAGCUAUAAACACACAAUGGAAAUCAUCCUAUUCAAUUUUUUCUUUUCUAUGAUAACUUUUUUCCAAUUGUUUUUGGGUUACAAUUUUUUUUUCCUUAGAUCAGUGAGCAUACAGUGACAUAUUUUGUAUGCUGAUAUUGUGCUUAAUGUCCAAAACGACCUCGUUUAAAAGGUUAACAAUUCCCUCAUACAAAGCUGGUAUGCUGCAUAACCAAAAAUGCAUGGAAUACAAGCUCCAAAGCUCACUGUUUAUAUCAAUCUUUUCCACUACAAAUAAGAGUAUCUCAACCAGUCAUUGUGAGAGUCAUGUUGCCUUUGAACCCAUCAUCAUCCAAUCCUAGCAAUAACUAGUAGUUAGGUGCAUUCUGUCAAACUAUACAUCAUCUGUUGAGACUUGAGAGAGAAGCAAUUGCAAAACAAUUUGGAGGAUCUUGCUGUUGGGAAAACUCUGUUGUCUCACUUCGAUGCAAAAAUGGCCUCUAAAUCUUUGUACAACCCUGUUGGUUUUGAUUUGAAAUCAACAGAAGAAUUUGGAGUUGAAGAGCUACCACUCCUCUUGGCGCUCCAAAUACCACUCCAUCUAGGACGAGUGUGACUACUUGAAGGAUCAUUUGUAACUCCACUCCCUUCUUUACUAAAACUGGACUUUGCCAGCUCUCUUAGUUGCUUUAGCCACGGUUUAUCUGUGCCAGCUAAGCUCCGAUUCCCGGAGCCCCGGUACCCACCGGUGGAAGAACUAGGAUCCCUUGUUGCUCCUUCUGCGUUUUGAGUCACUUGGAACUUGCUUUCCACUUGGAACUUUUUUUCCAGGGUCUUGAUCAAUCUCUGUGGGAUGAUUAACAAGAGGCAUCCGAUUGAAGCUAAUUUCAAACCUGUUAAGAAGGAUUUCUCAGCAGAGUCCAGUAGCAAUGUUUGUUUGUACAAUGCAUACCAUUCAUUGAUCAUCUGUGCUACAUAUCCAACUAGGAACAGAAAUAGCAUGAAAAUUCCAACUUUAGUCUUGUCGCCGGCUGAAAAUUCCUUCUCCAAGAGAACCACGCAAGUUGCAAAUAAACCUACUUCACUGGAAAUGGAGAUGAUCUCAACCAGCUGAACCUUUUUCUUGAUAAAAGGCUUCUUGAGAACAAGGAAGAAAAGCUGAAAAGAGGUGAUGCACAAUAAGGCAACUGAGGGAGUUUUAGAAGACCAUUUGUCCAUGUAGACACCAGCCAUAACCCCAACCGCAACCCUUUUCAAACACUCUAGCAGUGUGUAGUAUAUUCUGAGUAUUCCAAACACCUUUUGGAUAAAGGGUGCUUCUGCAUCUUCUGUUUCAUCAUCGGAGGCAAUGAUACUUUCACCAUGCUUCUGGGGAUUGCCCCCAGAAAUCUGAGAGAGCAUGUACUUUGGGGGGCCUCUUAGGUCUUCAAACAGAGGGCCAAAAAUGAUUAGAUAAACAGAGUUUGGUUGACCUUUCCAUGUCCACUGGCCUCUUUUGCCUGGACCGAGGGUCACCCGGACAAGCUCUUGAUACCAGUGAAAUUCCAGGCCUUCUCGAUGCACUUCCUUGUAUUGAAGGAGCUUUCCAAACGUAAUGCCAACUGAGAGGAAAAAGAGCAAGGCUAGCAGCAGAAAAGAGGUGAUAACCAACAACGAACUGCCAACUAUAACCCCAGAUGGCAUUCCUCCUGAAACCGUGAAAGUAAGAAUUUUUCACUUUCCCAAAGUCAUGAAAGGAAAACUAAUAACAAAAGAUUAUAGAGGCAAAGGCAAAAAUUACAUAAAUGAGAGGAGGAAGGAAAUAAUUUAGUAUUAAAAGUACCUCUAACUAGAGCAGCAGAGGCCUCAUAGAUACAAGGCAAUGCAAGUAUUACAAGAAAUAUUUCAAAUCUGGGGAAUGUGAGUGCUCCGUAAGAGCUCUGCUUCUCUGAAUUCUUCUUCCUCAUUUUCAGGAUAAAAAGGACUAAAACAUGUAACAGAAUCAAAGUACCACAAAUCACAGCUAACCAGAACAUGGUCCUGUCGAAAUUCCUCCACCUACUACAGGAAAAAAAAAAAAAAUCUUCAUAAAACUAACUACUUCUUCUGUACUUGAAAGCCUAUCUGCUUUAUAACAUACAUACAUAAGUGAUGGCUCUAUUUAGCUCACCUAUUCGAGCUAUAAGGAUUGGAGAUAUAGUCAGCUUCAGGUUUGAUGUUUUCACUGUCCAACUGCACAAUACAACUAUCAUAAUUAUAUCCACUGUGUACCGAUAGGAAUAACUAUUUACAGGAAAUCAAACGUUUCUCACCUCAAAAAAGGUUCUGUAUUCCGUUGGAGUAAGUGGUAACCCAUAUAGUGAAGUAUCCUUACUGAAAAUCUCUUUUUCGAGUUGCUUGCUUUGGAAAACUUCGGAACCAUGAUUCUCGGUCAUGUAGGAACUUGAACUGGUGAAAGGACUAGAGACUGGGAAGCCAUUCCCAGCUUCCCAUGGGAGACUAAAGUAGGGAAUACUCCACCGUAAACCCCUUACUAGUUCAUAAUAAUUAACUGGCAAUGUAACUGCCAACCAUCUAGAGAGUGCAAAAACUUGAAUAUGACAAGCAAUUCUCUGAAUAAGAGUAGGAAGAGAAGUACAUAAUUAGUCUUGCAAUAAUGGAAAAAAAUUUAAUCAUGCAAUUAUCCAUUUACUAAGUUGAUAAAGCGUCAGAAGAAUUUUAGUGUCGUACAAAAAGAUUUCUUGCUGGAUCAGAUGCCAAAGAAGAUGGUCUGCUAAAUGACCAAAGAGAUUGAAGGCUUGCAGUUGAAAUAGAAAGCAGCCCCGCAGCUAGGGAUGUCACCACAAAAAGAGCAGUAGCAAAUGCAGAUAUGACAGAAGCUAUCAAAGGCACUGAAUCUGCACACAUUUUCCAUAACUUAGAAACAGUGUACCGUUGAAUUGCUAGUAAAAAUUAACAAGGAAAAACUCAACCCUUACAGUGUGUCACACGAAGAAUAUUUGAAGCUAGAUUUUUGUUUCCAGCAACAUCCCCAGAUAUGUUUUCAGGAACAUUGACAGAAACCAUAUCGUCAACUGCUUCUAUUUCGACAACAUAUGUGCUCCUACUUAUUUCGUGAAAACUGUAGAGUAGUAAAAUUCUCAAUAUAAGUGUACACAUACCCCAUAUGUAUGUAUGCAUGCCAUAUGUGCAUGUAUGAAGGCAUCUAUUUAUAGGAAGGUUGAAAAGGAAGAAUUGCUUGCCUUUGUAAGCGCCCACCAGAUAGUGAUAAAGAGGAAGAGUUGAAGCCAAAUACAGGCUUCAUGAAUUUUAUUAAUAUGGGAAUAUUGUGUUCUCUUGUUCUCAUACUUGAGGUUGUGCUCAACUUCACAGUAGGCCUUUUUGAAUCUAAGUUGUUGAUAUCCAUAUUACCAUUAGGAGAAAAGAACAAAAUAUCAAUUAUGCGUACCCAAAUGUAAAACUUUAAUAUAUACCGAAAAUCAAUGUUCGAAGCUGAGACCUCUUCCAACAUUGGGAAGAAAGGUACCAUUAGAACAUACGUAAUAAGGCACAUCAGUUCGUACCAAAUAGGAAAGUUGCUGGUGAGAUUGGAGAAACUGGAGUCCCUUGUCUACUUAUUAUCAAGUUUGAAUUGAGGCUCACUGUGAUGAUAGCAAUGCUAGACAUGUUUGCAACCUGAAACAGAAUCAAAUGACCACAAAUGACCACAAACUAAGGAUUAGGAGAGAUAGGCCUAACACCUUUGACAUUAGAAUAUACGUAAUAAGGCACAUCAAAUCUAUGAACCAACUAACCACAAAGCCAAAUCUGCGAUUCCCAGUGUUAUUUCCGCUAGCAGGGAGAAGUGAUCCCUGACUUAUGUUGAGAGAAUUUAAAAUUUGUGCAGAUGAAUUCAGAACAGGUUCUGAGAAGUACACAUAAAUCUUUAGGUUAUUAUAAUUGUUAGUUGCCUGCACUGUUCUAGUUUCACCAUUAAGCUGAAGUAGCCUCUCAGGAAUAUGAAUUCUCAGGUUGACGAACACGUUUCUUCUAUCUGCAGAAAAAUCCAUGAAAAGAGUACAUGUUGAGAGCAUUGACUGUAAUUUCAUUUGUGACCAAAUGGCUACAACUUUUUGGAGAAAGAAAAAAAAAAGUUGGGUAAUUACUCUUCUAUGAAUAUACCAUAGAGAAUGAAAAAUAGACACUCACCAAUGCGUACAUAGAAUCUUGAGUUUUCUGUUCUUACAAAUCUGUUUCCAGCAAUAUCAGUGCAGAAAUUCUUAUCCAUUACCAGGACCACUCGUCCAUAUUGAACAGAAGAUGAUAAGCCCACAAGAAGGGAAUAUUUGAGGUUUGGCUGAAGAAUACUGAGUGAAGAUGGGAUCACUUGGCCAGCACCAUAUACUAGCAGCUGUAAAGAAAAAAUUAAAUAGAGAAAUCUAUCAAAUUACUUUUCAUUUUUCUUCACAACACGAUAUCACUGACCAAAAGAAUACUGAGUAGCACAUUAUUUUCAGUUUGCCACCUACUCACAUUGCAGGUGUUCGCAGACAAACAUCCAAAGCCUCCUCCACCGGAACAGGAUUCACUGAAAGAAAUAUUAACAGAAACAUUUAAAGCAUCCGUAAAAGAUCUAGAGGCAGUAACAGAUGCGGUUGGGGGUACUGUGUCUGCAGAAAUCAAUACAACUUAAUAUUAGAACAAAGUUCCAGGCUGCCAAUGCAUUCAAACUUAUUCGAAAAUUUCACUCCAGUAAACUUCUUUCAUGGAAAGACACUUUUUCGAAAUGUAGCUUUCAAGCAAGGAUAGCAUUACUUAGAUUUUGAAUUUUCAAAAAGAUAAAUGCUCAAAAAGGAUAAGGGAAGGGUUCUUUACCAACAGUCCAGUUAUGCAAAGCACAACCAAUUCCUUGAGGCCCAUUGGUGCAGACCUCAAAGGUAUGAUUUCCAUCCUGCAACCCUGAGUAGGAAACCUUUCUAGUUCCACAAUUUGAACCCAUCCCAUCAUCCAGCUGCAUCAUGGAAUAUAUAUGCGGUCUUCAGUUUCAGUAUAAGAAACAACAGAACUCCAACAUAAAACAUAAAGGAAAAAAAUGAUAAAGCAUUAUACUAAGAUAAUUACUUAGGAAAUACCAAGGGAAAUUUUUUAAUUUAAUAACAAGAGUUCUUCUCUGGUACAAAAUAAACAGAUAAAAGAAAAUUUGAGUUAUUUGUUGCUGCAUAAAUUUGUAUCUCACUUUCCUAAAUAAAUGCAUUAAAACAUAUGUUAGUCACUGAAAACCAGAGUGAGUCAGUGACACAGAAAGAAACAGAGAGAGAUAAGGCACCGAAAAUUCAAGGCAAAAACUAGCUUCAAGAUGUGAUAAGAGUUUAACAAACCUUACAACUGAAGCUACAAUUUGUGCAGGAGGCCGCAUUCCCACCAACCAAAGCUUCAAAUGCAAAUGUGGCUGAGUUCAGAUGAGAGAAUGCAUGUGGAGCCUUAAAGAACUUAACAGAGACCUCUGAACCAUCAGAGUGUGCUUUCAAAAGCAAUAGUGGAAAAACCCAAAGAAGCAAAACAGCCCAUGAAGUAUGAAGCAAACCCAUCUCAGAUGAAGACUCAAAUAGUUAAAUUCAGUGUGAGUCUGAGUCUGACAUCUAUCUACAAGCAAAAGAGAGACAUCUGUGGGGUUUGACAGAAGAGUUUUGAACAAUGAGGACAGGGCACCACUUCAUAAAUAUGGCUGUGAAAAAUGAAAAUGUAUUUGUGUGUUGAGAGAGAGAGAGAGAGAGAGAGAGAGAGAGAGAGAGAGAGAGAUUAGAAAAAAUAAUGGAGGUGAGAGAAUAAGGACUUAGCAGGAUGAGUUGGGCUGUUUAGUGGUUGAUGAAGUUUCAGAUAAAAAAUAGUGCACUAGAGAGUUGAGGCUGGCAGGGAUGGCAGUACAAUUACUUUCCUGGGUAGAUGAGAGAGAGAGAGAGAGAGAGAGAGAGAGAGAUGACAGAGACUGGAACACUGCUGGUUUUGGCUAUAAAUGAUCUGCAGCUGCUGGGCUCAAUAACCAAAAAUCUCGGCCAUAAAGUUUUAAAGUGGGAGCUCUAUAAACCAUGAUUUUGUAAAUGUUAAGAAACAAAUUAGUGGUUAAUAUUUUCGUCAAGUCUAAACUAGAUAGCACAAAUCAGUUAUGAAGUUAAACUGUCGAAGCUUAAAGUUUGAUUUUUUUUUUUUUUUUGGGUUGCAUUCAGACCCUGAUCACUACUUAACUAGAUUUUAUUGUUUAAAAAUUUGUGGAAGAAAAACACUUACACGUGCAUGGAUAGCUUCCAAGGACAGAGACGACAGAACAGAGACAGACCCAUUUUUUGCUUCUCAGAACUUCAUAAUUUUAUUGCUUCAUAUUUUAUUGGCAGCUAACAUAAUUAAGUAGAAGUAAAAUAUACUUCCCUGUCCAAGGCAUUUGUUUUCUUAUUAGUUUCUUCUAGUUUCAACAGUUUCAUACUAUUUUAAAAGGGGUGGGGAGGAUUUGGAUUUAUUUUUUGGUAGCACUUGUGCUCAUGCAUGUUACUUCUGCAGCAGAUUGCAAAAGUAAAACUUCUGUUCUGCUCCACAAAACCCACCAAUCAUUUGGUUGGUGAAAGCAUACAAAAGAUAAUAAAAAUGGGUUGCAUCUAAAUCAUCAUGUGAUUCUCAAAAGAUGAAAAAGCUACCUUGAAUAAGCCAAAUUGUUUUUCGUCUUUCGGUCUGUCUUCAAUUACAACCAGUGAGAGAUCAAAAUGGUGAUCAUUUGUAGACCAUGCCUACUGAUUUAACACCAUUUAUUCUAUGUCUUAUAUGUUUUCUACUGCAUUAUUCAAAGGAAAAUGCUUGCUUGGGGUUGGGGACCAUCAGUUUCCAGCAGUAAUUGUACAAACCAUUGAGGAAUUUAUUGAACAAGAGGGAGUAAUUGCGUCUUGCUGUGGUUUAUUUUAAGGCCCCACAUUUGCAUUGAAAAAACAGCAAAGACAACAAAUGGGGAAGAUGAUUGUCAGAUUGUGAACCCUAGUGACAAUUACAUUGAUUCUCACUAUGUGAUAUCAAAUAGGUCAUGGAAGCUCUACCUCAAAAACAUUAUCUCUCUCUCUCUCUCUCUCUCUCUCUCUCUCUCUCUUAUAAUACAGUGCAAGAAGGAGAGGAAAAUUAUCAAAGAUCCGAAAUAGGACAUUGACAGAAUAAAAGGAGACAAAACAAAAGAAUAAUCCUUAGAGCUAUGUGCAAGAGGACCUCCACAUGUAGAGAAAAUCUUUCUUCACUUGGGUGAAUCAAAAUUGGAGAUCAAAAACUUGGGUGAACCCAAAAAAAAACAGAUUUCAUUGGAAGGUGGCCCAAAUGCUUAACAACUUUCUUCAGCCAGCAGGUCUGAAUUUUAUACGAUCGAUGAAAAAUUAGGUUAAGUUCAAAUUCUAUUGAAGCCCACGGUAUCAUGCCCUUUCACGCUUUAGCCCAACUCCAACUUUUCUAUUUUUGUCUUGUAGGAAAAUUCAACCCAACUCAAGUACUCAUUCUUGAGUCUGGACUUUUCAAAAAAGCAAAAGCAGGGGCCCCUGUUUCAGGGUUGCUGUCCGAUGAGCUUUAGAAAAUAGUAAUAUGUUAGUUGUUUAAUCUUAAGAUGACCAGAACUUACUUGAAGAAACCAAUACAAAAUCCACUAAAAACAAUCAAGGUAGCAAAAGCAAACCCUGUUUCAUGGGUAGAUGUCUUAGCUUUUGUUCAGAAAGUAGUAACCAUGUUCAGUGUUUAAUCUUAACAUACCAGAACUUGAAUUUCUUAUAUUACUUAAUACAAAGAAAAGAUAGAUAGGUUUCUUCACUAAUGCGUACCGAACAAAGUACGAAUGCCGAAUCUCAAAAGUGACACCAUUGGAUCCUUCACAACUCAACUAAACAAAUUUGCUCAAAGCACAGAAUCCUGCAAAACACUUUCUGGCAUCCACAAGCGAAGAAGCCGGUCAUAAAACGAGCAAGUAGCAACUAAAGUGCUAUUCCUUUUGCCUUCACGAAACGAUUUCUCUCUGUGCCAGUCAGCUCCAUAUGCAAGUGACUCAUGCUUACUGUAUGUUUCAAUUACUUCAGCUUUGUCCCCAUUAAUCUUGACAACUGAAAAUCCGUUGUGCAUACAAGCUGUCAAGACUAGACCACUUACAAAUGGAUGGUACUUGAUCCUCCACACUCCUCCUCCUAGGCAAAUUGAGGUUUCAUUAACUGGUCUUGAUAUUGAUCUUACAUCCCAUACCCUCAGGUAUUCAUCAUAGCUACCAGUAAGUACGGUAUUCGGGUCGUUGGGGUUUUUGACUAUGCAGCAAACUCCCAUUGUAUGAACCUUGGUAUUCUGAAAUGCCAACUUGGAAGGGCAGUCUCGCAAAUCCCAACAACUGAAUUUGCAGUCAUCUGAACCAGAGUAUACUAACUGGGGUUGGUGAGUAUCAAAUGAAGCUGCCCAAACUUCAAAGUCAUGCGCUUUCCAUAGUUCUUGUGUCUCUAGUUGGGAUUCCACUAUAGAAGCUAUCGAGACCGAACCAUCCGAUAGCCCCACAGUUAUAGACGUAGCUGAAGGGUUCCAGUCCAGGCAAAGGCACAUGGCAGAACUGAUUUUUUCAUCAGUUAUCUCUCUCAAAGAAAACCCUGCUUCAAAUAUUCAAAAUACCAGUUAAAAGAUAAGAACAGUGAUCAUAAGCAGACUUAUAGCUUUGCUGAUUCAGCUUCACUCAAAAGUUAAAAGAAAGCUAACAUAUUUACAUUACCAAAACUUAAAGAGCACAUUAAACCUUUGGCUCUGAAAUUGAACUAAAAGUACAAUCUUGGGCAUAGCCAUACCAUACCUCGUGCUUCAUCUGAACAGCACUCAAGACCAUGAAUUCUCAAGUAACCAUCAGCAUCAGCUUGAGCAAGAAGAGGACUCACAGAGCCUCCAACCGGGUUCCACUUUAUAUCAAAGAUACCCGCCGUUUCAAUCCGGUGAAACAAAUCAAGGCGACCCAAAUCAGCAUCAACAUUGAAAAGUGAUAUGCUCCCAGCUCGGCUCGGCCGAUCACCCUCUUGCAAUGUGUACGUUGAAGCUGCCAAGACAUGGUGGUACGAGUCGUGUGGACAAAAUUCAACGGCGUCAGCAUUGCCGUCUAAAUUGCAAUGUGCCACAUCCAUUCCUGUAUUAUUUCCGAACAAAUUAUACACUCGUUCAAGUUUUCAACGUCGACUGAGAAUUACUUAGACAUUUCAUCAAACACGUUACAGGCACAACUUCGAGUGAUUAUAAUGCAUGCCAAACUGUGGCUUUGGCCAAAUUAAUUUCUCAUUUUAAAGGGUGUUAUAAAAUAGAAUAUUGUAGUUAAAUAUUGAAAAAUAAAUCUGUAAGCUUGAGAGAGCAGCAGAAUAUAGGACCAAAGGAGAAGAAGAAGUUACCGUUGUUCGUUGGCGGUUGUUUCUUAACUACAAAGUGGGUACGUCAAACUGGAAAAGCGAGGUUGGGUUGUGUUUGGCUCGUGUGUGUUAUUAAGCACAGAGUACAGACACGACUAAAGAAACAAAACCGGUCCACCCAAACACAGCCCAGUGAUAUAUUCUAAAUUCGAGUGAGCAUAAAUCAAACGUGAAAAGUCAGUGCUGCCCUAACUAUUCUCUGUUAUAGCAGGGUAGAAUGGAUAUUUUAUAUUUUUCGUAUUCGUGAAUUGGCACCCCAAUGCCAAUGCUAUGUAAACUUUUACACUACUUUUUGGGUUGGGCCUCAGGCUUGUAGCUUUUUCUUUCUUUUUGGGCUUAAUGAAAUAGAAAUAUAGUCCCCACCAAAAAAGAAACGUUCAAGUACUACGUUCUGGUCCAAAAUAAUAUUCAAUACUCCUUUUUUCUAUUUCUUAUUUUUGUCUUAAAAAAACAGAAUAUAUAAUCUUUAAAAGCUCGUUUGUGACUGUCUUUUUAGGAAGCACUUCUGCUCAUACGUUCUUCUGAAAAAAAACUUUUCUUGUAAAGAUGUUGAAAUUUUCAUAAAAAAUCGAAGUGUUUAUUGGAAAAUCACUUGGGAGUGCUUCUUGAAGAAGCACAUGGCAUAUACUUCUUCAGAAAGCGCUUCUAUGACCCAUAAACACUUCUAAACUUUUCUGUCAAACACUAUCAAAAACGUUUUUAGCACUUCUAGAAGCACUCCCAAACAUAUCCUAAACCUCCAAAUCCCUCGUCAAGUGAAUGUACUUAUGUCAUGUCUCAUAUGUAGUCGUCAAAAAUAAUUUACUUGUUAAACGGUAUCCCAUAAUAAUUAAUUUUAAAAUAAUGAACUCGACGAACAUAUUAUGCUCCACGUGAAUUAUGCAUAAAAUGACUACUCUAAGUUUUAUAUCAAUUUUUUUAGGGUGCCUCUAAGUUUGGUAUAUAUGCAUUAUAGUAGUUGGAUUUGCGGCUAGGGCUAUUAUUGUGUCCCUUUGCUUUUAAUGAAAAUAGCCAAAAGAUGGGAGCUCUAAAAUCAUUAGUUGAGUAUUUCAAGAAGGUUUGGGACAAAAUGAUCAAGCUAGAGAAAUAUACAAAGCCAAAGGCCAUACAUACUAUAUAAUAAUAUGGUCAUACGAAUAGGAGCGUGUCGACAUGAGAAUUGCUUUGGGAGACAUAAGCUUGUGGCGAAUCAGUUUUAUUCCGAUGGGUAGGGUUUUUUAGCCACGUUUCUCAACCCUAAUUCGGCCGUCGAUCUACUUAGGUUUAAACUUUUACUUUAAUCAUCAUUUUUAAUGUUUCAUUAUUAUAUAAUUCUUAUAAUUUGUUCUGAGAGUGAAAGUCGUCACGCUAAUCUUGCAUUAUAUUUGUAUGAUGUAGAAGAUUGGCUGCCUUCAUUUUCUGUUAAAAGAAAGUAGCAUAUGCUUUGCUUUGCUGCUUCAUAAACAAUAAUUAAUCUAGCCCGCCUUCGUUAUCAAAACGUUUGACGUCUUUUGAAAUAUUCUCUUACCAAAUAGUUUAAGAAAAUAGAAAAUAGAAACUAUGUUUUCGAACUAUUCCACAUUUUGCUAUAAGAGUUUGAUAUUCGUUGUCCUAAUUGAAUUUGUUUAAUUUUUAGACCCAAAAAUAUAUAUAUAUAUUGAUUUUGUUUAAGGAAAAGGGUAGGUACGUACCUUCAUUAAUAUGGUGCUAAUUAUAGGAGAUUAAUUUGAUUAAACAAGAAUCAAUUGACAGAGAAGAGAAUAAAAACAUGAAGAAGAAUGACGAAAGUGAUCUGAUUCUGCAGCGCAUGGUAUAUCACUUCAUUCUUUCACUAAAAUUACUCCUCUCUCUCUCUAGUCAUACUCUUGUACUGAUGAUACGUAGUGGGCGACUUUUUUUUUCUUUCUGAAUUAUCAUAUCAUAUAUGCUUAUAAGUAUUUUAUUCUUUUGCCUUCUUGACCACCUAAACCAAAUAAUCAAUUCAUACCUAAACUACCUUUGUUACACGUGGACAACACCAGGCUCACUCUUCUUAGGUCAUGUUUAGCGACUAGGAUUAUAUUGGAUUAAGUUAUAGGAUUGGAUUGUAUUGAAUUGCAUAUUGACACUAAUGUCUUGGGUUUGUGUUGUGGCUUUCGAAUCUUAGGUUCAAGGUCAAAGGGGUUGGAUUAGUGGUAUUAUGUAUCCCACACCUUUUUAGUAGGAUAACUUAUCCUUAAAAAAAUGCACAUAAUAGGGUUAUGGUGGGAUUUGAAUAAGCUAAUCCAAUCUUAAUACUUCUUCUACCCACCAACUAAGGCCUUAGGGUUUAGUAUACCCCAAUAAUUCAUGAUAUUUGUUGAUUGAGAUUGGAUUGGAUUAUGAGGUAGAAUUGGAUUGCAUUUUAUUGGAAAUGAUAACACUAAUCUAAUGAUGUGUUUAUUACUACACAUGAUUAAGGGGUUGGAUUAAUUGAAAUGUGCUAUUACAUGGCUUAGUAUAAUCCAAUCCAACUUAAUCCAAAUCUUUUGGUAAGAUUCAUAAUCCUGCUACAUUUGGCUCUAGUAGGAUUAGACAUAAUCCAAUCCAUGUUUUUAGGACACCAAACAUUUGACUAGGAUUAUAAAUCCAAUCCAAUUACAUAAUCUAACUCACCUAACGAACGUUAUGUCAUAUUUGUGUUCAUGCCAAGUAAUGUUCAAGAUGAACAUGUUAAUUCGAGUCAGUGGCGGAGCCAAUGCAUGCCCAGGGAGGGCAUGUGCCCCUCCUCAAAUAUUAUUGUAUGGAUAUUUAGUUAUAGUAAUAUUAUACAAAUAUUAAGAAAUUCCUCUUAAAUUCUUAAAUUUCCCUUUUUUUAAGUUCUCUAUUUUAUUCUCAAGUCUAAAUUUCUUUUGAGUUGUAUAUAUUUUAUUAUUAUGAAUGAAUGUUGGGUUAUUUAUACAAAAAGUAACAAACAGAGAAAGUAAAAGGAGUUUGAAUUUUUAAAUGCGCCCCUUCUCACUUAAAUUUAUGACUCCGCCACUAAUUCGAGUCAUUUUCUUUUGCAACUUGAACUAUUACUCUUGAUGUAUCAUUGAUCAUCUAACUCAUUUCGUACACACCAUUCAUUGACAUUACAAAAGAAGAAAAAAUUUCAAUAUAAAAAAUGUCAAAUUUCGUUCACACCAAUUAUUGGUUGUAUUGUAUGAUCCAUUGGUAUUUAUGUACUGGUGCAAUGCAAGGCAAGACAUAUAUAUAUUUAUAUGUUAAAAAAAUGUAAUAAAAUAGAUCAUGAAAAUAAAUAGUGUAGAUGGGUCAUGCCAUGCAAUGGGUUGAGAAUUGAGAUGGCCACUUUUUGUAGUUUAGUCGAGACUCGAAAGGGAAGUGACUUCGACGCUCUGUGCAAAGAUUUGGACCUAGUCAUGAUCAGACAACUGAAAAGAAGUUCAGCUCAGAUCAACAGGGCCAAGGCUCCAGUUUCUCCUUGUCCGUACGCCAAAAUUUUACACUUCCCAAUAGACCAUCGCUUCAUAUAUACAGUAAGGAUCAAUUUCUUCUUGCAAAUAAAUUCCUGUCUAUAAUUAGUUUCAAUUUUUUUAUGAGUUAAUUUUGCAUAUAUAUUAGACCGAUAAAGUAAUAUUUAGUAAUUAAUUAUAUGCUAAUUAUAUUUACCGUAUACAUAGAGAAUGAAAAUAAAUGCCAAAUAGAUUUUAAAAAAAAAAAAAAUUAUAUAACAAAGAAUUUAUAACUCAAAUAAUUAACAACAGUUAUUCAUGCAUUCGAAAUUCUGUGUUGGAAUCCCUCCUCCAACCCUAUAUCGUUUGCAUGAAAAAAAAUAUAUAAUUUGAAUUUGGCUCAAUUAUGUUACUUUACACGAUAAAGAUAGGUGACAACAAACUAUUUUUGGGAAGCAUUUCUCCGAGCAUGGAAUACUGGUUGUUGACCUUUUGACUUGAUGUACAACUUCUACAUAUACAUACAGCCCAUUACCUACUUAUAGUAUAAUUAAUUAAACAAUUAAUGUGUGCGCUCUCAAUGGCCUCACACUUCCACUUUCCAUGUCUAUAAUCACAAGCCUAGCUCUGGUCUUUUUGUCUUUCCCUAAGGCUAAGCAGAUAUAUAGCUAGCUCACCCUCUUCUCCUCCUCUCCUCCUCCUCCUCCUCCUCUUUGGAAAGCCAACAAUGAUGGAGGAACUGUACGGCCUCGCCUCAUCGACGCCGGCUUCAGGUUUCAGCUCUGAUCAAUACUACUCUUCAUCAAUGGCCAUGCCGGAGAAUCUAACGGUUCCUGAUCAUCAUCAGCAUCAUCAGCAUCAGGUGGAGGUGGACUGCUACGACUACUACCACAAGAGCGCCUUCGAGCCUUUGGCGGCGGUUUUGGGCGACCGGAUGCCCGGGCUGCAGAGGCCCGACCCCGUGUUUUCGGGUUGCUCCUCUGGUGUAUCGGAUGCUGCUUCGGCUGUGGCUGUUGGAAUUAAUAAUCAAAGAGAAAGAGGAGGAGGGUGUGGUUUGGGAGAGGAGGUUUUGUGCGAAAUGAAUGCGAAGAUCGCUUCACAUCCUCUUUACCCCAAGCUUCUUCAAGCUUACAUCGAUUGCCAAAAGGUGGAGUAGCAGUUGCUCUUAAUAUAUAUACAUAUAUAUAUCAGUUUGGUUGCUCAGAAAAUAAAGAAAUUAAUUGGGUAACCAAAGAAAGAAAGGCAGAAGAAUCUAAAUCAAAUUGAAAGCAAAACGAAAAGAGAAGACCAAGAAAUUAAUGAUAUGUGUUAAAUCAGUCUCUCUAGUCUAGAGAGUCGAGGGUUUUGUGGUGAAAAUUUUUCCACGAGGGAGAUGAAGAUGAGAACUACUAAUUAAGUUGACUUGUUAAUUAAAUUGUAAACUGAAACUGUGAUUAAUUUGUUUUUGAUUUGGCUCAAUAAACAUGUGUAGGUGGGAGCGCCACCAGAAGUGGCAAGUGUGUUGGACGAAAUCAGGAGGGAAAGUGAUCAUCUAAUUUGUAGGAGAAGUUCAACUUCAGCUUCAACUUGCAUGGCAACUGCGGAUCCUGAGCUCGAUGCCUUCAUGGUCUCUCUCUCUCUCUCGUUGUUUGUUUCCCUUGUUCUUAUGCCUAAUCUAAUUGUUUUCUCUUUUUAUUUAUUUUUGUUGCUUAAAAAAAAAAAAGGAAACAUACUGCGAUAUAUUACUCAAGUACAAAUCGGAUCUUACGAGACCUUUCGAUGAAGCAAUAACCUUCUUAAACAAGAUGGAGACGCAGCUCAUCACUCUCUCCUCCAAUAACACUACUACUCCUAGUACUCUCUCUCUCUCUCUCUCUCUCUCUCUCUCUCAUUAAUUAACUAAAUCUUGUUUUGUUUUGUUUUUGUUUUCUGUUUCGUUAAUAUUUGUGCCUUGAAGUUAUUACAUACAUAAUCCCAUGGAAACCCAGAUGAGGAAAUAGCAGUAAGUUAGCAACAGGCACAAGCUGUCUCUCUCAUAGCCAUAGGAAGGAAGAGAGCAUACUGUAGUUGUUUGGAUUCUUAUACUUCCUAGGCUCAGUUCCCUUUAUUGGUUCUCAUUAGACAAAUUAAAUUAAAUAUUAAAAAAGCUGCUGCACGUCAAACAAACAAACGUUCAGUUUAUUUAUUCUUACUGACGAAACAAAAUUAAAGCUUUCACGGCUCAGAUAUAUAUAUAUUUAUAUAUAUACACAUUUGGCAAAAUAUAUAUAUCACAGCAGAAAUUUAGAAACCCUAAAAGAGAUCCUUGUCUUGUAUAUCCCUGGAGGACUAGGUGUGCACCUGAGAUUUCCUUCAGUGCUAUGAUGUGAAUGUUUUCUCUAUUAUGAAAAGAAACUCGCUAGUACCCAGAUAAUUUUGACAUCUCAAAAUUACACCAAUGACAGUAUAUAUAGCAGUGAAGGUUAUUUACACAAUUUUUUUACUGUCUGUUUUCUUCAAUGGUUUUAGUAUGUAAUUCAUCUAUAGCUUAUUUAUGUUAUAAAGAUGCUAACAUGGUUGACCAGUUUCCAAGGCAGUGUUUUAAAUUGUAAUGUAUGCUUGUUCUUUGUCACACUAUAAGGCAUAAACAGUCUAAGGUUUACCAUUUGUCAUGAUUUAUAGAGAAUGGAAAAUGAAAUUAACUCAGUUAAUGUACUGGUUCUUGCUCUAGCUAGGGCAAAUUUAUUGGGAAAAUCAUAUAUGACGUCUGCACGAUAAUAACGUCUAGAUGUCCGCAAAGGAUAAUUUAUGUAUAUAUAUAAAUAUACAUGGGAUGGGGUAUAUGUAGGCUCUCAGCCAGUAAGUGAUUGGCCUAAUUUUGGGUGCAUACAUCAAUGGCCCUUGGUUUUUUUUUUCUUCAUAUGCUAGCACUAAACUUUCUUUAAUGUGGAUGCACUCCCUCCUAAAGAUAUCUCCAUACUAAAUCUUCAAGUUUGGAUAUGAUCGAGUAUGAGUUUUAGUGCAUGCCAUGGGGAAGGAAUAAUAAAUUUACUUUGGGAAAGGCAUUGUACUCGAAAGACUUGUUAGGAAUAUAUAGUUUCAAAUGGCCAUCUGAAAUAAACAACUUUUCUUGUAUCCAUGCCAAUGCCAUCAACACAAUUAGCUUCCUUACAGAGUCUUUUGAAGAAGAUUAAACUAGUUAUAUAUAUACAUAUAUUCCUUUGAUCACUGCUGAUCUCCUACUUUUGAGGUUUGUGUAUAUACUUAUAUAAUGGCUGAAUCCAUUCGAUUUGUACUUGGUACAUAUGGAGUUUGUCGCCAACAAAAGUUAUUUUAAUGUUACUUUUUACAGAUACAGUAUGGUAUAUAUGCUAUUAUUUUUGCACAGCUUUGAAAAAAAGCUGCUUUCAUUUGAAAGUUAUGGAUUUUGUUUGGGACCUCAGGUGUGGGAAGCUUGUUUUAAGUAGUGGUUUGGGCAUGCCAGAAAACUAUAUAUAGUUUAAAUUUCAAAAGGAUUCAUCGAUCGCCUUUAUGUAUGGCACCUGGCUUGUGAAAGCUUCUGAACUGAUCAUGUGGUUUGAAUGCUUUUCUAGUCAAUUGCAUGCUUGAGCUGGCUUCUUUGAAUUUUCAAUUCCUAUGGCACGAGGAUGCCCAUGCAAGCCUUUCUGGAAUUAGGCUUGUGUUUCUUGUUUGAAUGUCUUUUCUUCUUUCUGUUUUUAUUGGUAAAUGUUCAUGUUUGAAUGGUGUUCUACAAGUACACCUUUAUUAAUUAGGGUUCAUGUUAGGAUAGUUAUUCAGUUGUGUCAUCACUCAUUAUAUGAUUUUAACCAGACCAUAGGCUGAUAGACCAUCUUGACCAAUAUUAAUGCCCAGAAAAUAAAUGUAAUAAUGUAGAAAUCUCCAUCAUUCCUUGCUUAAAAUGAUAUGUAAGUUGCAAAGGACCUGCUAGUUUAGUGGUUUGGAGCUUUUGCUCCUUCAAGAAAGGUCCUCGGUUUGAGUCUUAUCACCCGUAUAAUGCGUGUAAAUUUAGUAUAUGUUAUCCUUCAUUAUUUGUGUUUGAACAUUCCUUCUUGAACUUCGCCUUGCUUCAUCGCCUAAAAACAAUGAAACUUAGAAAUUGAUCUAGAGAUAUUUGAUCAAAUGUAGAAAUUUAUUCCCAGUAAAAUGAAAGAAGAAAGGAAAAGAAGUAGCUGGCGCAGUAGUCAGUAGGCUGUGUAUGCUCACUGUGCAUGCACGAGAGGUGUGAUAUAUCAUUUCAUGCUCUACUGUGCACCCACUAGCAUAUGCCUCAGUGAGGGCUUUGAAAAUCGUGUAUUAUACUAUUAUUAGGACAAGUACAAAACAGGACAUACGGCAUAUAUACGGCAUACGAAGGGUAAAUUUGUCAUUGUGAUCAUUGGGUAGGGAAGGAGGAGUGUAUGUGGUUGACUCGUUGACCAUGGACUCCCGCAGUUGCCGCUGCAUCCACAGUAGGGUCAGCUUUUUAAGCAUUCAAAGUCACUGGUUCAAGCUGCGGUUGCUCUUUCCUUCCGAUAUCUCUAUCACCCAAUGCUUUAUCUUCCUUCGCUAGGUAUGUUCUGUGAUUUUCUGCAUCCCUCUUUUUCGCAGUAAACUGAGUGUUCCUGGUAUUCUCUACAUCAAUAAUAUUAAGACGUAUUUUUCUAUACUUGCUUUAUUUAUUUUUAGAAUCUUUCCUAUUGAGAGGGGUGAUAAUAUGCUAAACUCACACACUACGUUAGGACUCAAACCCGGCAUCUUUUUUGGAAGAACAAAUACUUCAAACUAUUACACUAGUGGGUGGUUUGCUUCUAUGAUUUAUUUUAACGACAUGACAAUAUUUGACUUUAUUCACAGAUCGACUUAGCCUUCAUGAAAAUUCAUUUUUAUACUUUUUUAUCAACCACUUUUAGACAUCUCAUUCAUGUACGUUAUUAUUAUGUUUUUAUUAGGGUAUGCUUAAAUUAAAUGGGGGUUUUUUAAAAUUGUUUUUAUAAAAUAGACUGAAUUAAUGGGUUCAGUCAUUAUGUUUGUACAACAAUUAUUUUCAAUUGGAUUUCCACUAUAUCCCCAUGUUUGUACAUGAACCUAGAUAUAUAGAGAGUCCCAAAAGAAAAUAAAAAAAUAAAAAAAGGAAGGAAAAGGAAAAGGGAAAGCAUGGGGAUAUUUUAAUGCUUUUUUUUCUGCAACCUUUUCUCGGAACUGCAAGAAAAUAAGAAAAGUUGGAAAAUAUAUGUCUAGAGUUUUAUAGGCUCCAGAUGGAGUGAUUGAGAUUGGAGAGUGGGCAAGGGGUUUGGGGUUGGCGUGCAUUACGGGUUACCUCUGAGUAUGAGAUUGAGUUGAGAGAAGAGACAGAUCAUCCAGUCCAUUGACUGCAUGCGAUACGACACAACGAACUUGAGAAAUAUUUAUUUUUAUAUAUAUUUUAAUUCAUUGUUUUAAAGUUUUCUUUUUCUCCUCUUCGGAUGAGAUAACGAUUGAUUGUCAGUGGCUGCUUUUGAUUAUUGCUGUAAAUUUAGUGGACCCCGCCUUCCAUGUAGCAUGGCUUUAUGAUCCAUCACAUCCCUGGAAACACGACUUCCUGCUCUCCAUGUGUACAUGUGUGGAUCGCAUGCAUGCAUGCAUGGCCUCAUCUCUCAUGUAUGUCAUCAAUGGAUGGAUUGAGCUGAUUGGUGGGUUCAUGGGGCCCAGUACUUGGUCCACUGGUGGUCCCCAUCUCUGCACCCACAAUCCUGUUUUAUGCCCUUUUUGGAUUAUGGGGCUCCAUGUCCCAUGCUCUCGCAUAAGUCUCUCGAUCUUGCUAACAAAUAAAAGGAUUAAUUCGAACACUAUUUGGGUUGGUGGAGACUGUUUAUGAUAUUGAGACGUAGCAAUAUUUUGCUAGGUGAUCCUUCAAUUAGUAACGGAUUGUCAUUGUAUGCUCUAAUUAUUAUUUUGUUUCAUUUCAAUCUUCUUGCUCAGUUUUUGCUGAAAUUAACCAAUUCCAGAGGGUUUUGUUUAAGGCAUGAAGGUGACGUUCGUGCAUUUCAAUUUGCAGACGACGGUGGUGGUUCAUCUGAUGAAGAAGACUUGAGUGGAGGAGAGACGUCUCCACGAACAGGCGAAGAGCACGAGCUCAAGGACAAACUCCUACGUAAAUACAGUGGCUAUAUAAGCACUCUCAAGCAUGAAUUCUCCAAGAAGAAGAAGAAAGGGAAGCUCCCGAGAGAAGCUAGGCAAACCCUCUUUGAUUGGUGGAACCUUCACGACAAAUGGCCAUACCCAACGGUAACUCCAAAACAAAACAUAUAUACUAGCAUAGCUUUGAUCAAUUUUAGACGGUAAUUAACAUCUGUUUCGUUAUUGAUUUGCUGCAGGAAGCAGACAAAAUCUCGUUGGCUCAGGUGACGGGAUUGGAUCAGAAACAAAUAAACAACUGGUUUAUAAAUCAGAGGAAGCGCCAUUGGAAGCCAUCAGAGAACAUGCAGUUUGCUGUCAUGGAUACCAUUUAUCGACCUUGUUUUACCAAGGACUGAUGACUUGCCAUUUACAGUUCCAUCUUUACCAUUUUGUACAUGUUUGAUCAUGAACAUGACCAUUUUUGGCCAAUGCCAGAAGAAAAUAUGCUUAUGUACUUUGGUUCUCCUAACUAGGGUCGACAUUAUUUAAUCAAAUACUAUAAUGUUUAAUGUUGUGUGUUUCUUUUUUUGGAUCAUUUGCUAGGGAGGGGAUGUUAUAUUGAGUUGCUUCAAGAUUGUCUUUUACAUGAAUUGAACUCAAGUGCACUAGAGAGGGGGAGGGGGAGAGUUUGGCUUACUUUUCCACUGUGAUGCCACUCUAUGUGCAUGUUUAAUGUUGUGUUUAGCUUGUGUUAACUUAGGAUUUUUUCCUUUUGGUCGUAGUUAGUAAGAGGGAGGAGGGGGGUUUUCUCGUGCAACCAAAGUGACUUGGGGGUUCAAAUAUGAGACUAGAGAUCUGCAAACUUUUUUCAAUGAGCUAGGCUCGAUUGGCACGUCAACUUAUUAUUAAGUAGCGGUUGGAAUUUAAGAUGGGCUAAGUUCUCAUAGCUAAAGCAUUAAAUGGCCUGUAUCAUUAUCUUGGGCUGAGGCUUGGGCCAGUCGCGGGAUCAGACCAAUGCUGAAGUACUGGUUUUAAAAAUAAACAAGGCAUCCCCAGUGGUUUGUAGUUUUCUGUAUGGUGCUCUCCCCUCCCCCUAGCGGCUGUAUAUGCAUGCAUGUUUAAUGCCAUUAGGUAAGGAAGAAUCUGAUCUAAAGAGAAGGCAAGGAAGAAACACAAUAACUUCUUUUAUUAUUAAUUUCAAAACCCAAAUCACGUUUAUCACAAGUCUGAUUAUUAGGAUAAGAAAUAAGGAAACAGAAAAAGUGCAAAUGUUAGGUUGCAAGUUUGCAGAGCUUUCCAGGAAAAUUACAAGAAUGCAGCAAGCAGAUGAAACAAUUUUUAAAAAAAAUUUCUUUAAUAUUCUUGUGGUGGCUUUGCUAUUUAAUAAUGGGAAUUAAGGAAUUAACAUAUGAUAAUUUGCGCCUGAAAUUUUUACUCAUGUUCCUCAUGCAGGAAGUAAUCAUUAACACAGAGUGAGCGGGGCCUUGUUUCUUUUAGGCAAUCAAUCCUGUUUUCACCAUCAUGUCAGACAUUAUAUUGAAAAGAAAAAACUACAAAAUCAAGGUGCUUAGCAGCAUGGUAACAUGUGAUUGUUUAUGUGAAAUGAUUUAGGUCAAAGACAAGUUAGACAGCCAAAUACAAACACUUUUUUCUACUUUUGAUGGUAAAAGCAUGCUGAAAUUUCAGCUUUGGUUUCAGAACCAUUGUAUGAAUUACCUUAUUAUAAAUUUAGAACAUGUAUGGUUGUAGGGUUUAAGCAAGUUGGGUUCAAAAGAUUCUGGGUCCUUAAAAAGCGUAAAAAAUGCUGCACUGAGGCGGCUCAUUCUUGGCUUUUAGCUUCAAAUUGAAGCUCCCAUGCAUGAAAAACGAUAAAACCAGACGCUGAGGCCUCAACAACCCCAUCUCCCCCCAAAUAAAGAAAACAGAAACAAUUAUCCAUAGAGAUUAACCCGUUGACCAAAUUCCUCUGUUUUCCCCUGUUCUAUCUCAAUUUUGAAACAGAGGAAAACACAGCCAAUUUGAAUACCAUGCGAUUACCAAUCUUAACCCCUCAAAGCCCUAUUUUCACAUUCCUUAUAAUCUAUGCUUUCCUCUUCUCUUCCUCUAUUUCAGAACCCCGAAUCUCCGAGGCCGGUCGAUUCUGUGGACAUGCCAAGCAUAACUCCAGCAGCAACUUCAUUCCAAACUUCAUAACUGUAAUGGACUUCAUCUCCAAUGAUGUCAAUGCAAAACGCUGGGGUGAGUACACUAUUGCGUCACCUGCACCGGAGGUCUACGCCUUUGCUCAAUGCUACGAUGACCUCUCACCUAUCGAUUGCGCCGCUUGCUUUGCAGUGUCUAGAACAAAGCUCCCUCUGUGCCUUCCCUCUACCUCGGCACGUAUAUAUCUUGACGGAUGCUUUCUUGGCUAUGAUGACCACGAGUUCUCCCACCAAUCUUUGGAUGAAGAGCACAAGAAUGUGAAGUGUAGCGGCUCAGCAAUCGAUGUUUCGAAGUCCAAAACAGAAGAGUUUGCUAGAAAGGUUGAGGAUGUGAUUGGAAAUGUGACAGAAAAGGCCGUGAGCCAUGAAGGGUUUGGUGUGUUUGAGCAGAGAGGAGGGGUGGAGAAUGUGUAUGCAUUGGCACAGUGCUGGAAGACAAUCAAUGAAAGCGGGUGCAGAGAGUGCUUGGAAGAAGCAGGGGCUAGCCUCCGUCGGGAAUGUGUGCCUGGGGUUGAAGGCAGGGCUAUGUUUGCAGGGUGUUAUCUGAGGUAUUCUACUGAGAGGUUCUAUGGAAUUGAAUCUGAUUCAGAAGAUUGUGGUGAGGCUGGUUUCAAUGUUUCUUUCUCUCUCUCUUUUGAAUUUUUAUGUUUGCAUUGGGUUUUGAUAAAGCGGUCUCUUUUUCUUGUGCCAUGUUUUUUCUCAGUUAAAGUGGAACAUAUUGUUGCUACAAUUUUAUCUGCCAUGGUCCUUUGUUUGCUUGCUUUGUUUGGAGCUGUUAUGGCCUACAAGAGAUUAUCAAAGAGAAAUGAAGGUAAACAAUGCCUUGAAACUAUUCUCCUAACUGCUAAAAACCUCUAUUUUCUUUUGUUAUUUUUCUACAUUUUCUAAGUUGGUUCUUUUUCCUUCUUCUCUCAGUGUACAAUGGUCCUAUUCAGAUAUCAAUUUCUAUACACAAGAAUAAUCUGAAUUUCAAGUACGAAAUGCUCGAAAAGGCCACCAAUUUCUUCGAUGCCUCGAGGAAAUUAGGCCAAGGAGGAGCUGGUUCUGUGUUUAAGGGAGUUCUUCCAGAUGGGAGAACUGUUGCAGUUAAAAGAUUGUACUUCAAUACGCGGCAAUGGGUGGACGACUUCUUCAAUGAGGUGAAUCUCAUCAGCGGAAUUCAACACCAGAACCUUGUUAAGCUCUUAGGUUGCAGCAUUGAAGGUCCAGAAAGUCUUCUGGUGUAUGAAUAUGUACCCAACAAAAGCCUUGACCAAGUCCUUUUUGGUGAGCUGCCCAACCCUAGUAGAAGCAGUUCUUCAAAACCAACUUCUAAUUUUUUUUCUUUUCCAUUAAUAAAAGUUUAUCUCAUGCAGAUAAGGACACACUGCAUAUUCUAAGUUGGAAACAAAGAUUUGAUAUCAUCUGUGGAAUUGCUGAGGGGCUUGUGUAUCUUCAUGGAAGUUGCGGAGUAAAAAUUAUUCAUAGGGACAUAAAAGCCAGCAACAUUCUGCUUGAUGAGAAUCUCAUUCCAAAAAUUGCUGAUUUUGGGCUUGCCAGAUGUGUUGGUCCUGAUAAAUCUCAUCUUAGCACAGGAAUUGCGGGUACAUUGUAAGAAGAAAUGACUCCCAGUAAUUUUGUUCCACCUUUUAGAUAUGUUUACACUCAAUUACGGUAGAGCCAUGGGGUAAAAAUUAAUCUGAUAUUUUCGUUGUAGGGGAUAUAUGGCUCCUGAAUACCUUGUCCGAGGACAGUUAACAGAUAAGGCUGAUGUUUAUGCCUUUGGUGUUAUGGUUCUUGAGAUUGUGAGCGGCAGGAAGAAUCGUGUUUUCGCAGAGGGCUCAAGUUCAAUUCUCUACGCUGUGAGAUUCACAUCCCUGGUGCAUUAUUUGAUUGGAGCUCUAAGUUUGGACAAUGCAGACCUUAUCAAUAGAAAAAGAAUUCCUUUGAACCAAACUGCAUGGUUAUCAUUCAUUGUAAACAAAAUUUGCCCAACAUGCUUAAUGACAUGCAUAUUUUUGUUUGUGUGUUUUCUUUUUUCUUAUGGCAUUAGGUUUGGAAGCAUUACAAGGCAAGAAAUAUUACUGAAGCUGUUGAUCCCAUCUUGAAAGGGGGAUUCCCGGAGAGAGAGGCAUCCGAUGUACUUCGAAUCGGGCUUCUGUGCACACAAGCUUCUCUUGCAGUGAGACCAUCUAUGACUGAAGUGGUUCAGAUGCUGACUGAUAAAGAAUGUGUCAUCCCUUCACCAAAGCGGCCUCCAUUCUUGAAUGCUAGCAUACUUAGUUCAGAUGUCUCCAGAACUUCUAUGAAGUACUUUUUGUCACAACCAAUAGAUGGAGAGGGGUCUCCUCCUCGAAAGUCGUUCACCGCUAUGCCCUGCAACGAUUGAAGCAUCUGAACCAAGGUAUAAGAUAGGAUGCAACCUGCAUCUGUAGUGGGUGAAAUGCUUGAAUUGAAAGCUUUGUAAUUACAAUCAAUGCAAAUUCUUGUAAAUAAAUGAGGGAACCUUGUGUUAGACAUAGAAGAUUUUGCAAUGUAGGCUAGUAGAUGUAGUUCUCCUCUUUUUCUCUUUCUUUGUAACUUAUUUUGGUUCUUGUGUUUGUGUCCUGUGAUGAGUAAUUUCUUAAUGAGACAGUCACACCGCCACGUGAUGUUACUAAUCCACUUAUGUUAAAGCACGUAUAUCUAUAUAUUAAUACUAUAUUCUAUAAUCCAUUCAUAUUACAACACGUAAAUUAGUAAUAACACGUGUCUAUACUAUCGCUUAGUAAUUUUUUUUUUUUUGUUCGAAUCACGUUAGUAGUUUAUACAAUUAAAACAAGAACAAAAGGAAAAAAAGUUUAAACGCCCCUAAUGUCAACGGCAUGCAAUGCAGAGAGAGAGUUAUUGGGCCUUAAAAUGUGAAAUUUUGGGAUCACUAUACAAACCAACGGCCCAAAUGUUAAAAUUUGGCGCAUAUCUGGAAAAUCAUUUCUGUGGGAAUUCGAGUGGUUGACGGAGAAGAGGAAUCUCGGACUCAGACAGAUUCAAUGAUCAUGAGUCUUACCCUCAGUGAACAAGAACUUCUCUGAUUCUAUUCUUAUGAGUGCAAAGACAAAACCAAGCGAACACGAACGUCGUCGUAUUGGAAGCCAGCCAUGACUUUGAGCUCUGACCCUCCCGCUCCUCUAGACUGGAAAUUCUCUCAGGUGUUCGGCGAACGAGCUCCCGGAGACGACCUUCAGGAUGGUUAGACUCUCUCCCUCUCUCUUUCUCUCUCUAUACAUGUAUCUAUAUGUGUGUGUUGUGCUCUUGAAUUCAUUGAAAUGCUUAAUUGGUUUUGUUUUCUUAUGCUGUGUUUGGUUACUGAGAAAGCUCAGGAAUAGGAAGAUUAAUUGCUCUAAUUUUUACUUUCUUGCUUUUCUAACAUUUAUACGACCCUGAGCUGUGGGUUAGUUCAACUAUUUUUUCCUUUUGCUGAGGGGGGUUCCAUAAGCUCUGUUUUAAACAGAGAGAAUGCAUAAAUUACUUGAAACCUAUGGUUUUUGGAGUAAAAGUUGAUUUUAUUGUUUUAAGUUUUAAGUGGGAAUGCCGAUGCCGCUUUUAAUAUUUCAAAGAUUCAUUUUUUUAUCUUGGCCGUUUUCAGUUUGUUUCGUAUACAUUUUUGUAGAGAAGUAAACAAAUAAAUUCUGCUCUUGACUCCUUAUGUGAUGCUCUUUCCUGUAGUUGAUAUGAUAUCUGCGAUAGAAUUCGACAAGAGUGGUGAUUUCCUUGCUAUUGGAGAUCGAGGUGGCCGCUGCAUAAUAUUCGAGAGGAAGGAUGGGAAACAUGUGAGAAUUGCCUAUACACUUUUGAAUCAGUCGAUAAAUUUUAAAUGGAUACUUUUCAAAUAUGCAAGAAUUUUUUGAAUUCACUUGGGGCUAUCUUCCUUGUUAGGCUGGUGGCUGUGUUGGUUUGUUUUGGCAUCUAUUGUUGGAUGAAAUUGGGUUUACGUUCUUUUUACCCUUAAUUAUUAAUUGGCUUCUUAGACUUUAAAUCAGCAUCAUUCUCGACAUGAGCUGGAGCAGUUGGAUUUCACAUCCACCCAGCAUCCUGAAUUUCAAUUUAAGACUGAGUUUCAAGGUCAUGAACCCGAGGUAUGUAUUAGAAUCUUGUUUUUUACAAAUGCAAUGUAUUAUGGUAUGUUUUGAUGCAUGUUUUGAGUAUACCAGUGCAUAUGAUUUGUUUUGUGCAAUGCUGAUUAUUAUAUUAUCAUGUUAUUACCUUUUACUCAGUUUGACUACUUAAAGAGUGUGGAAAUUGAAGAGAAGAUCAACAAAGUAAGAUGGUGUGCAACAUCUAGUGGAUCCCAAUUCAUGCUUUCAACAAAUGACAAGACAAUAAAACUGUGGAAGGUACGAAAUCUAAUGAUGAAAUCAUUUUAACUUCAAGUGGUGGACACUGAGAUUGAUGGUAGUGUAGGACUUGGAUUUGUUGGGAGUGGGACAGAUAUGGUUAGUUUGGUCAUUGAUAAACAUCUGCUUCUAAGCAAUAGAAUUGUGUUCUUGGGUGAAAAAAUGCAUGGGAAGAUUGGAAAUUGGAAAAAUUAAAGUGCCAAGUCAUUAUACAUGAAAAAAAGAACACCGAAAGCGAGGAUAGAACAUUUUUGUCUUGAAAAUCAUUGGUAGUUUGCAUAUUUUAUUGUCUAACAACAUUGAAUAAUCACAACCACACUAGUUCCAUAUACAACUCUGUUAAUAUUGCUUGGGAAAUGUUAAUGUGGUUGCUUUCUGGUUUUGGGAUCAGGUCAAGGAAUGCAAGGUGAAGAAAGUAAAAGAAAUGAACGCUCAUCCAUUUGCAUGUUUAGAUAACAUGCUUCUGGCUGAAAGGAGUUUCGUCAGUAGGGAAGAUAAACCAGCUGUUGUGAAUGGCUAUCGCCAGGAAUGGAUGGAGACGAUCGCUAAGAAUGCCUCACCAUCUCAAGACAUGCAUUCCAAGGUUGAUACCCACAGUUUAGUAAAGCUAUUUUUUUUUAUUACUCUUGUGCUGUUAGAAUCAGUUUUUCACAGUGCACAAGCUUAUUAUGUGACUAGGUAGCUGACAUGGAAGACACUGCUCAUACAAGAUGCCGAAAGGUGUAUGCUCAUGCUCAUGAUUUUAAUAUUAACUCCAUCUCAAAUAAUAGGUAAAGUUUUGUGGGUAUCUUUAUCUCAUUUAGUUACUCUUCCUCUAGCUAAAAAUUUCCUUGCACAUAAAACUUAGGCUAUGAGAGAAGCUAUCUUUGUUUAUCCAUUAUGCAGACACGCCUCCUUUACUUGUUCUUAAUUUGAUUACUCUUAUUUGUUCUCCAAAUUGCAGAAACCAUUUUGUAAAGUAGAUAGUUAUACACUUGCAGAUGUAUGCUUCUUCUAAGAGAAAAUCUGUUUUAAACCUUGUACAGUGAUUGUGAAACAUUUCUUUCUGCGGAUGAUCUUAGAAUAAACUUGUGGAAUCUUGAGAUCAGUGAUCAGUGUUUCAAUAUCCUUGAUAUGAAGCCAGCAAACAUGGAGGAUCUUACUGGUAUUCUAUCCUCUAGUCUUUACAUCUUAUAAUUUCUGUGAGCUUAUAUAUACAUACUAGAACAUGCUAUAUUAUCUUCAAACUUUUUUUCUUUUUCCUUUUCUUUUCUGAAUGACGAUCUCUACCAGUUGUGAUCUUAUUUUUGUUUAGUUGUGUUGAUUUCAUGCUUUUCCAUGACCAAGAUAUAAGUCACAAUUGUGGAAAGAUGAUUUGAAUUCAAGAAAAUGUUUGCUCAAAGGGCAGACGUACGUCGUUGUUUUGUAAUCUGCACUAAUUGAUAAACUUUUAUUCAGAGGUCAUAACAACGGCUGAAUUCCAUCCCAUUCAUUGUAAUCUGCUCGCAUACAGUAGCUCCAGAGGUUUUAUUCGUUUAGUUGACAUGCGGCAGUCAGCUUUGUGCGAUCACAGUGCAAGAAUGUGAGUCUAAUCAGAGUUUCUUCUCAUUUUUGUGAUCUGUGUAUUAUUAGUUAUUAACUAAUGCACAAGGAUGUUCUGAUACUUGUUAUUUGGGAUUGGAGGGAUUGACAGAUUACAAGAUGGAGAUUCUCAUGGGCUGAAAUCAUUUUUCACAGAAAUUAUUGCAUCCAUUUCUGAUAUGAAGUUUUCAAGGGAUGGACGGCACAUCUUAAGUCGUGACUACAUGAAUCUAAAGGUAUUUUAUACUGGUUGAGGUUUACUUUGAGAGUUUAUAGUUUAAUUUUUAUUUAAGGACGGAUUAAAUGAGAUGUUUUAUAAAUUUAUUUGUGAUGGCAUUUUUAAAAUUCAUGUCCUGUUAUAUGAGUUUAGUUAAGCAGCGCUUACCCUUUUCAGCUGGUGUGGAUUUAUUUUGAUUGAUGCUUUUGUUUUUUUUGUGUUAGCUCUGGGACACGCAUAUGGAUUCUUCACCAGUUGCAAUAUACAAGAUUCAUGAGCACCUGCGCCCUAAGGCAAGGAAAAGAAUGACUGUUUUAACUCCAAAUUGGAGAUUUUUUUAAUUUUUUUAAAUAGAUGUAUGGAAUUAUGUUCAUGGACAAUUGGAGCAUAAACUUUCAACAUGAAAUUUUCUCCAUGUUAAUGCUUAAACAACCUGUGAACUGACCCAUGCAGCUGACUUAUGGUAUCUUUAGCUUUUACUUUUAAGUCUAAACGUGCAACCUUGCGUACCCAUAUCUUCGUAGUCCCUACAGCUGACAGCUUUUUUCCCCCUUGCAGUUAUCUGAGUUGUAUAACAAUGAUCGCAUAUUUGAUAGAUUUGGUUGCUGCUUCAGUGGAGAUGGACUUCAUUUUGCAACUGGAUCUUACAGGUAUGUCCUUUUCACAGGAUGUACUCUUGCAUAUAAGUCCCAGUACUGGUAUUGUCCGUCAAAGUUGCGCAACUUGUGUUUGCCCAACUGUUACAACUUUCUUUUAUUUUGACUUAGCAACCUAAUGCGCAUUUUCUCCGGUGGAGAUGGAAGCGAAGGAGCUACAAUAGAAGCUAGCAAAACUCCCAACAGGUAUGCUCUCCCUAAUUCCCCUCAAAUUGUAAAUUUUGGAGUUGGUGUAAUCUAACCUUAUAGUCAAGAGGGCAGGGUUCUAUUUUGCAAAUUUUUCUUUUUAGUGAAAUGGUCUCCAUGGACAUGAAUGAUUUCCUCUACCCCUCCCCUGAAAAGUGAAAUGGUCAUUUUGCUCUUACAAUAAGGAAAUAGCUACAGUACUUGAGAGUUGGAAUUGUGAACCAAUUCCAUUGUCACCUGGAAAAUGUACAUAAUUUCAGUGUUAUACAGUAUGCAGGUUCAGUUUUAUUUCUUGUCUGUAUCUUAUUUUCCCUAAUAGUUUGUUUUACUUCCUUUCUGAACUUUAAAGCAGGAAACCACUUCUCCGGACUGCUCCAAGGGCUAGGAGGUCAUCCUUGAGCAAUCUGGCACGAGGAUUUUACCGGCACGGUUGGGGUUCUCAACCUCAUUAUGUUUCUUUGCCUUCUUCAGACUCGAGUAUAUCUAUCUGCAGAUUAAAACCUGUCUUUUCUGAUUUUUCAGGGCAUGAAAAUUCAAGCUCGGGCAGUAAUGAAAGUAGUUACGACCUAAGCUCCAGGCUACUACAUUUGGCAUGGCAUCCAGAAACAAACUUGAUUGCUAGUGCCGCUGGGAAUAGCUUGUUCAUGUAUUAUUCAUAGUUGUGUGUAAAGUAAGCACUAGAGUUAAACUUAAGAAAUGUGAUUGUAAAAAGGGUCUCAGCUUUUCCUAUAAAGUAUGCAGUAACUCAAGGUCCUACCCCCCUUGUUUAGCUUAAGCCAGUAAUGGUCGACAUGGGACGGUAUAAUUGUGAUUAGACACCGCUAAUCUUAUGUUUUUCGUAGUAGGCAUGGUGUAUUAUUGUUAAUAACAAUCCCUAAGAUCUUGUGAAAAUCUAUAAAGUAAAGAUGGACAAUCCUUUCCCUUACUGUUUUAGCCAAAUUGAGUUACCAAAAAUCUCAAAUCUUCAAGAUCUCUAGACUAUUUUUUUCCCUUCAAGGAAAUCAUAUCAAGAAUCAUGAGAGGCGUUAUACCAAACUAAAAUGAGAUGUUAACUUUCAACGAAUGUCUUUACGUCGGAAGUUAUGUGCUCGGAUUCUUUCUCCCGAAUAUGACUUGUAUAAAAAAUGUAUAUAAAAAAAACUUAUAGACCAUAUCUUUAUCUUUUCUUAUAAGCAAAUCAAAUGAACUUCUCGACCUAUGCUUAAGGAAAAUUUUAAAAGAUCAAAAUUUUAAAAAUUAAAAAAGAAACUACAAGCAUAUUCCCUUUUUAAUGCUUUGGACAAAUGUGUGUAUGUGAACACACAUAUCUUACGUUACAUAUGCAUUACAUGCCACAACUACCACACCAAGAGAUAAGCUCAAGAGUAUCAAAACAUUGCAACUUGCAGACUUGUUUAUUAUUUGGGCAGCUCAGACAACGCUGCCCCAAAUCCUUCCUUCUAGGCACCAAGCUGCCCGUUGCCCGAAACCUUGGCUCCAGGUUGCCCUAGAAGACCUCAGAUCCUUGAUAAAAACCAAAGCAACCCCUUCAUUUUCAUAGCCAGCCUCUUUCGUUUUCCUCCAUUCUUCUUCUUCUUCUUCUUCUUCUUCUUCUUCUUCUGUAUGCAUUAGGUUAUAGGUUUUUCUUCUUCUGUAAAUAUUGUUUUAUCUGACUUCACCAUAGUUAUUUAUCAUCUCUCUGUCUUUCAUCACUUGGGAUGCUUUUAGAUAUAUAGAUGUGUGCUAGUAGAUGCUUGAUUAAGUUUGUGAUGUUCAUCAUUUUUUCUGAAUUAUUUUCACAUACAUAUAAAAUAUAUAUAUAUAUACACACACACGUGUGUGUGAUUGUUAGAAGAGUUUACGUGCAAAAAUCUUCCAUCCGCAUGCAACAGUUGAUGGGCAGAGCGGCCAUGUUUUGCACAGAUUGAAUUCUGAAAUUGAGUACUUUUUUUAUGUGCUUCAAUAAGCUGCUUGCUUCUUUAAGAGGUUAAUGUGAUCUCUGCAAACCUCUUUGGAUGUACUAGCAUACAUACAUUCAUACAUACAUGAUAUAAUUUUCAUACAUUUCCUCCAUUAUAAAAAUCGAUAUAUAUAUGAUCAUAUUCCAAGUUGGUCCUUGUUUGUUGGCCUUUAUAGGUUUCUUAAAAAGUCGGAACAAUAUUAAGAAAUCCUUUUUUCUUUCUAAAAAUAGCUCGUUAAGGAUCGCAUAACAAUUUGGGGGGCUUUCCGAAAAUGGCAUGUGUUUCCAAAUGGUUGGUUUCCAUGAAAAAGCAUUUGUCCCCUGUUGACCGAAAGUGACCCAAAAGAAACUGCCAAAUGGGCUUGAAGUUACACGUGCCCUAAAAGGAUAGGAGAUUGAACAAGUGCAUGGGCCGCUGCAGAAGCCCAUCCAGCUCUGUUUGGACUAAUUGGCCCCACAAACUUUUUUUCCUUAAAAAAAUUUACUUGUGGAGAGGAGUUUGAACUUGAAACUUCUUCCAAUUAAGUGGACUAGAGAUUUCACGACUAUAUAUUUCAACAAAGAAAGCUGAGAUUAACACCAUCAAACUAAACUAAUACAUUUUUGUUGUGGUUAACUAAUAUAAAGUAGAGAUUAACCACACCAAACGAAACUAAUACAAGAGAAACUUACCAUUCUUUCAAUCUUUUUCCUCACCUAAAUCAUUCUUUCUAUCUUUUUUCUCAAGAGAUGUAGAAUAAACGAAAACAAAAUGAUGUGUAAUGUUGUUAGAUGGAUAAGCCUCUAUGAAUGCUUCGCCGCUCAUCAUUUCUGAUUAUAACGUUACACUAUACCAAAGCCUCUCACAAAAGUUGUGGUCUCAAAAUCAGUAAUCCAUCCUGAUGCCCAAUUGCCCAUAUUAGCCUUAGGUAGGUGGAGGAAUUACAAAAAGAAAAGUGAAUUUAGGUUUUAGCCGCAAAAAAAAUUUUAUUUUUGAAAAAAACCAAAUUUUUUUUCAAAAAGACAGAAAAACUCCUUAACUUUCAAACCAAAGACAUGCAAAUGUAAAUGAUUCCUUAAGAAAUCCAAAAAUAAAUAAUUGCAUUUUUGUCCAUUUUGACUUCUUUUAAAAAUUGCUUUCUUCUCUCGAGAAAGCAUGUGAUCAAAAUCACCAAAAUAUAUAGUCCUCUUUUAUAUUUAUAUUGUCAUCUAUCACAAUUGAUGACAAACCCUAAUUCACGAAGAACUUCAAACAAGUAGAGGAAUUAAAAGCCUCACACUAUUCCAUGCUUCAUCUCCACAAGGCCAUGCGUUCAUUCUGGUUUUCUCAGCGCAAGAAUUACAUGCAACAUUGAUGGAUCCUUGUAGGGAAGAUUUCAGAAAACACUCGCAAAUUUGGCAAAUCAGUUGUUAGUUGAGAGAUCUAUUAAUUACAACAAAUUCCAUUACUUUUAAGAAAAACCUUUUGCAUCAUAGAUCUGAUCAGAUGGUCUGCAUCACAGGCCUGUGGAUGGUUUUACAUAUGGAUGUUACUGAGGAUAAAAUUUGAGGAGGUUAGGUAGCCAUUGUAUUCUUCGACCCAUUAAAAAAGGAAACUAGUAUUUGACCCAAAAAACAGAGGUUACUAGUAUAUUAAGUGUAAUAAUAAUAGUUAUUACUUUUAUAGAAUUUUAAACAUCCUUUGUACGUAUAACAUGAAUCAGAAACCAAGUCGGAUACGAUUUGUUAGCAAAUUAGGGAAGAUUAUUAUAGGCUUGUAGGUAGCAUUGGUACAAUGAAUAAGAGAGAUUUGAACUUAAAAUCCAAGUGUUCUGCACUUUUGUUCACUGUAAAUACAAGUGAUAUAAGAGAAUAACAUACAAAACAUUGAAUGCAUGAAUAAACACACCUAUUCAUUUGAGUUACAAACCUAAUAAGGCUCGUGUGGUUUAUAGAAAUAAGACUUGAGGAUGAGAAAUUAAUUGUUUUCUCAUGUUUAGUAAGUCCAGAUAUGGGAAAUGGUUAACUGGCACAUGGGAAAGUGAAGCCCUCUUUCAAAAUUGAGUAUUGUUUUCUCUCCUCAUUUGGAAAAUGAGCCAAUAUUAAAUGCACAUUUUUCAUGAUCAUUUUGUUCCCAUUAACAAUUUAGAAUUAUAAUAUAAUAAUAAAUGCAUGCUUUUUUAUUUGAUUUAAUAUGGGUAUAAUUGAAAAACUAUACAAAUUUUGUUUUCCUUUCAUACUCAAAACAAACAUAGGAAAAGAAAUAAAGUGAUAUCUCCGAUUAUUUUUUCGGCAUUACCAAAAGUGAGAAAUGAAUCUUCCAUUUUCUAUUCAUUGGAAAAUAAUUUUCCCUCAAAUCAGUUUCGUGUAAUAACAAUACACACCAUUUGGGGGUUUCAACUAAAUAAAGCCCCCAUUUAUGUUUUUUUUCUUUGCCCACCCACGUUUUUUGGUGGGAAGAUAUUUACAAAAUAAAAGUUGAACAUAUUUUAUGGAGAUUUGUGUGCGGUUAUAUUCAAAUGGUAAACUGUCCCCACCCCACCCCCCGCAAAAAAAGUUUUAACAAUCUGUGCCAAAUAAAAGACGUUUUAACAAUCUGGGAUUGUGCAUAAAACCGCCCAGGUUUCCGUGGAAUAGUUCCAAUUUCCAAAGACUGAGUUGGUGAAAAUCUUCAAAGCCCCCAAAUUUCUCUGAAACUUAUGUUGGGCAAUGGAAUUUCCUUGUUAGAGGUUUGAUAGUAUACAAAGAUUGAGGCUUUGGAGAGCAGAAGUUGGUGAAAAUUUUCAAAAGGCAAUGCGCAAUGCGCUUUUCGUCUUAGAAAUCUGAUAUUAGACAGUUUGGGUUGAGAAUAGAUUUUUUUAGUUCCAAUCGUUUACUGGUUACCACCAUGGCAGUGUCAACGCAACUCCAAUCUCUGACCAGUCUUGCUUCAUUGACUAACCGCACUAAGCUCAAGUUUCUAAGCAGCAGCUGCAUACCUUUAGCUCCCAACACAAAGCAAAGAAGCUCAGCUGCUCGAGUUUGUGCUCUGCUCUCUGCUUCGCCCAUUGUUUCUGAGAGAUCAAAGCCACCAAUAGCUUCUUUCAAGGAGGUACCAAUUGGGUUUCUUUAGGUUCAAUUUUCAGUGACUUAUGAUUUAUUUUAUUUUUAUUCUGGGAAGAAACAAAUUUGGGUUUGUGAGAUUUUGUUGUGGUUUUGCAGUUGAUCGAGUCGUUGAUUGAUCGCGUGGAUUUAUCAGAGGCGGAGGCUGAAGAUUCAUUGGAAUUUUUGCUGAGAGAUGCUAAUGAGGCUUUGAUAAGUGCUUUCCUUGUAUUAUUGAGAGCCAAAGGAGAGACUUAUGGAGAAGUAAGAAUUCUUUUUAAAAAGAAAAAUAUUCUCUAUUACUAAGAGUUUCGAGGUUUGUUUAUUUGUUUGACGUUCCGGUUCCUGUCAGGUAAUUUUAGAUUAUUCUUCUACUACUUUUUAAACUUUUGUUUGUGAACUUUUCUUGUAUCCACCAAAUUUUAGGAACUAUUUUGUGAUUAAUUAUUUCCUCCUUUUCUGUGAAUCUCUGAAAUCUUAUCAAUUCAAAUAUGAAAGGGACUGUGAUAUUGGGACUAAUUUGCAUACUAAAGUUAUGUUACUCAUGAGGGCGAGUGAGAUGGCCUCAUGCUAGGAGGGCUAACAACUUGUUCAAAUUCAAAUUAGAUGCCUGAAAUUUCCUGUUACUAGUGGUACAGAUGAUGAUUGGUGGUCAAUAAUGUUACUUAAAAUUAGGAAAAUUUACCCAGAUAACACUCACUUUGGUGUCAUUUUGUCAUGGUAGAUUGCUUGUUCAGGUAUGGCUAUCCAUCCAUUUCUUCUUUGUGUAUGUUGUUUCAGUUCAAUCCAUUUAUUUUCCCUUUUGGUAUGUUUUUGGAUUACUUUCAGAGCUCAACUGCACAAGAUGUUAUUAUUGAUGGGUUUGUGUUUAUCAAUGAUAGUGGAUUUAAUCGUUGGCAUGUUCCAAUUCGGUGAUGGGUUAUGUGUGAACUGUAUUUAUGUGGGUUGAUUCUUUGCACUUGUUUGCAAAGAUCUGAUGAGGGCAGUUUCAGCUAUUGUUUAUUGUUUCCUUUCAUCUGCAACUAUGAACUUUGCAUUUUUGUUGCCAUUACUUGAUACAAAUUUUCAAAAGCAAGUUUCUGAAACUCCCAGACAUGAAUUUUCUGAUGUUGUUAAUGCAAUUUUAUUUUUGUUCAACGUUUUUUCAAUAACUGUCAACUGUAGAUUUGUGUGGUAUGUAUGCAUUUGAACUCUGCUAAAGUUAUCUGCUUCAGUUUUUUGGAUUUGUUUGUAACAAUUGUUUCGCAUUUUUUAUCUGGGUCAAUAAUGCUACUUAAAAUCAGUAGAAUGGAAUGCAUUUGACCAGAAAAAGUAUGUUAAAAACAAAUAUAGGCUACAUAAUGGCAUAUUUAGAAUAGAGGAAGAAAUCAGUGAACUGGUGAUUGAAUGUGUGAGAGCCUGCUCUUGGAAAAAUAUGAACAAUUCUUCUAAUAGUAGGCAACCGUGUGACAACUGGGAUAUUCCUUUUUCUCGUAAGGGGCUGCAUGAUAACAGAACUUGAGUUGCUCGUUUUUCUUGGAUUCAGCUGGUUGUGCCAUCUUGUUGGUUUACUGAUCUUUGUUCUGUAUCCGUGGUGGUUUGGUUUUUUCAUGGUGUCUCUGUUGUCUUUCUGAUGAUCCUGUUGUUUCAGUAGGUUGUUUUCUUUUUUGUCUUUGUGUUUCCGUCUGUGGCUUCUACUUUAUUCACAAAGAAAAGGGAAAAGGAUGACUGUUCCUAUUUCCCCUGUAUAAUUUUUUUUACUGGUUUUUAUGAUUAAACAGAUUGUAGGAUUGGCAAAGGGGAUGAUGAAGCACAGCUUGAAGAUAGAUGGCAUAGAUGAUGCAGUUGACAUUGUUGGAACUGGUGGUGAUGGCGCAAACACUGUAAACAUUUCAACAGGGGCUGCAAUACUUGCUGCAGCUUGUGGUGCAAAAGUUGCAAAGGUAACAUCUAUCUUCAUUGAUGCUAUCAUGUUUUUGCAUUAUGUGAUUUUUAUCAAAAUAUAAUUAAUAUCUGAUAACUGUUGUAUCUCAGCAAGGAAGUCGUUCCAGUUCCUCUGCAUGUGGAAGUGCUGAUGUAUUAGAAGCUUUGGGAAUAAUAAUUGACUUGGACCCUGAGGUUGGUGCAUUAAACAUUUGGUUUCAAAUACAUGGAUUGAUGGUAUAGUGGAGUCUAGUUAGUACAAUCAAUGUCCUGGCUUCCCAUAAGCCUCAGGUGCAGAAAGAGAGGCAUGAUGAAUGCCUUAAACCUAGGUCUCCUCAAAACCCUUUUAUUGUCAUUAGUUGUUUAGUAGUAGCUACAAGAAACUUUAAAUUGAGGUGAAUAGAUCAGAUACUUUUCCUUUUAAAAUGUCAUUGAGAAUAGCCAAAAUGUUAAAUAAAAUGUGCAGCUGUGAUGUCAAAUUUGACUAGAAAGAUGCUCAUUCAAUUGUGAUUUUUCUUAAACCAGGGGGUAACUAGAUGUGUGAAUGAAGCAGGCAUUGGAUUUAUGAUGGCACCCAAGUAUCAUCCAGCAAUGAAUGUUGUCCGCCCUGUUAGAAAAAAGCUGAAAGUAAAGACGGUAUUUAAUAUAUUGGGACCCUUGUUGAAUCCAGCAAGAGUACCUUUUGCUGUUGUUGGUGUAUACAAGGAUGAGCUCGUAAGUGUUUAUUCCUAGAAUUUUGGAAAUAUUAGAAAUAUCAUUGUUUUCACAAACAAAUUUAUAUCUUGAUCUUAGCUUUAUUUUUGUAUCAUGUACCUUAGGCAUGUAGAUAACACGUUAUGCUAAAUUUGAUGAUUUGUUGACACACUGCUCCAGUGUGUGCAAUUGCAUUUUUCUAUAAAUACUGAUACUUUCAAUAUGGUUACUUUUGUUUUGAAACAAUUUUCUUAACUAGGGAUUUGUAUGCAAAGAUGACAUUUCUUGUUCUGUGAGAAAAAGAUGUUGACAAGAAAGCAAUUCUCAGAAUGAUCCAAAGAACUUCCACAUUGUUUUUGUCAAUGCGGGAAUAAUUUAUGUUUGAAUGAAUAACAUACGGCCAUGAUGACUGUCUGAUUUUCAGAUUUUGAGUAGUUUCCUUUAAGGCUCAUCAUCUAGAGUACUUUGGAUUGUCUAAACUUAGAAUGGAUUGUUGCUUAUCUUAUAGUGAGCUUAGAUGGUGAUUUGUGGGGGACAACAACAGUUAGUCUCCUACACUUCAUGUUAAAGGUGUAGAACCAAAUGAAACAACUAUGUUAUAUUUCUUUGUUGACAUGGGUUUUCUCUUCAUGUAAAUAGUUUUGGCAUCGCUUGUGUAAUGAUAAUAAUGUAUCUUGUUUAUUUAACACUUUAGUGGACUCAAGGUACAUCUUGUAGAAACUUGGACUUUAUCUUAUAACUAACUAGUGUGCAUGUGGCUCGUUAUAUUUCUUAAUUGUGUAGGUCUUGAAGAUGGCUAAAGCAUUGCAAAGCUUUGGAAUGAAGAGAGCAUUAGUUGUUCACUCAGAGGGAUUGGACGAAAUGAGUCCGCUUGGUAAAACCCCUCUUUUUAUUAUAGUCUAUGUUUAUACGGAAGUUGUACGAGGCUUUUUACUGCCUUAAGCUAAUACAUUAUCAUCUUUAUUUUGCUUCUACUUCAAAUAUAACCCAAACUUACAUGUAAUUGAUUUGAAUAUAGGACCUGGGCAUAUCCUUGAUGUGACUCCUAAUAAAAUUGAGGAGUUCUCCUUUGAUCCAUGUGAGAAUCUUUUGUUCUAGUUCUCCACUAUUAAUUCUUAUGCUUGUUGCUGCUUUCAGAUUUUCGGAUGAUUUUUCAUUGAACUUACAAGAAAAUCAUUAUUUUUAUGUUAUAGUGGAUUUUGGAAUUCCUCGCUGCACCCUAGAUGACUUGCGAGGUGGAGGCCCUGAGUAUAAUGCUGAGGCACUAAAGCGUGUAUUGUCAGGGGAGAAAGGUUCCAUUGCAGAUGCAUUUGUAUGUUUUCUUGAUUGUUACAACUAAAUAUGGAUUUCGUUACGUCCUUCCUAUGUUUGAGAUAUCUAUUCAUUACCAAAUUUGUUGGCCAGAUCUUAAAUGCUGCAGCAGCUCUCUUUGUCAGCGGUCGGGUGAACACCUUGGCCGAAGGAGUUUCGUUGGCUCGUGAAACACAAAUUUCAGGGAAGGCUAUCAGAACCCUUGAUCAAUGGGUAGACAUAUCCAAUGUGAGUGGUCUGACCAUAUAUAAUUAACAUCUUCAGGUUGUGAUGAAAAUUAUCAAUUCUUUUAAUCCGUUUUGAUUAAUGAUUUCAGACAAUGAAGAAAGAUACAAUUGUUUAUUAAGGAUGCCUCAGAUAUCAGUUUUGAACUCAUCAUGAUCGAGAGCCAUUGUAGAGUCUACACAUUUGAAAGAACAUAAUAAGGCAAACAGAUCUUUUUGUAAUUUACUGUUGAAUGCAAUGCAUUAGAUCAUCCCUUAAUAGGGCAGAAAGAUGUUGGCAAGAAAAAAGGGUAAGGGUAGCAAGGUGAAAUUUUGGACUUCAUGUAAAAAUAAAUAGACUUGGAAAGAAUUCCAACAUUUUUCAUCCUCUUUCAACUCCAAAGGCAAGUGUACUAUUUGCUUAUGUGAAAGUGAAACAAUGGAAGCAUAAUAACUUUCAAAAAUAUGUUUACAACUCUCUAUCUCUCUCUCUCUCUCUCUCUCUCUCUCUCUCUCUCUCUCUCAUGUAUGCAUGCAAGAAGCCAACAAUAUAUAACACGCAAGAAGCCAACAAUAUAUAAAUCUGACAUUUAGAUAAUGAGAUGCAUAACAUAUGGUGAUGGAUAAUGGUUCUUUGUAAUCCAUGCUAGCAGACACACCAGUGAUCCUGCAAACAAGUAACCAAAUUAGAUACCAAAGUUGGAUAAUUGGAAACUAAGUUUUUAUUUACGAGCUUGAUGAAAAGAUAAAUUUGAAGGUCAAUUGCAGUAAAAUGACUGAACAGCUGAAGAAGAUACCUAUUAAUGUAUAGCUGUCCACCACAGAAUAUGUUCUUGUUGAUGAUGACUUUACUGCAUCACACAUAAAGAUCAUCAAUAAAAUUAUUAAUUGAAUUAUAUAUAUAAAACAGAAAAUGAGAAUCAUGAUGAAGCUGUUAAUGUCUAACCAGAAUCACAAUUUGAUGUAGAAUUCAAUUUCCCACACAUGCACAAUUGCCUAAUGCCAUCAGUUCCAUACCCGCAGGUGCCACCAGUAGCCUCACAAGCCCUACAAAAUUCAUCAUUUUCUUGAACAGAAUAUUUCACUCGGAUCCCAUAAGACCACCCAUUAGCCCCAUCAAGCCUCAAUGGGGCAAGACUAUAGGCACUGCUGUACCCUUCACACUGAAGCCUGGUAAGAUUAAUGGCCUUGAUGGCCUCAAAUGGCACUGCACAGCACUCAGGUGGCCCUGACCCAAACAUGGAGCCCACCUUCCUAUGGCCGCCCAGCAAAUCCCAUGCUGGGCAACCGUAGUAUUCUUCACAGCUCAUGCCUGAAACGUUUCUACAUGGCAAGUGCUUUCCCGGAAAGCCUUGGAAGAGUGGUGAUUGAGCUGAGCAGCCUAUCAACAUGAAUACGUUGUCAGCCGUCGGAUUCAUGUACGGGGUCCGCCAUUGCUCGACGGAGAAGCCGUUACCCUUUGCUCCUAGCACUAUGUUGUCACAAGUUGACAUGUGAGGGUCAUGUAGAGUGAGGGCUUGAUAAGCAUAGUCUAUGUCUAGGACCCUGUAAGAUCCUGAGCUUAUGUGAAACAUAAGCACAUCGUUUAUGCAGUAUAGGAGUUCUCGAAAACCCGGGUGGCCGCAGCCCGAAUGGAGCGCAAAUGGGUAAUCUAUGGUGAGGUUUCCACAAUAGGAUCUGCAUGUAGCAUUGCCUGAAUUUGAUGGAAUUAAUGCUGAAAAUAGAAGGUAGAGGAAGCUGAGAAUGAGCAUAGUUGUACUAGUACUCAUGGGUUUAUCUGAGAAAGAGAGAAAAUUUGAGAAGUGGUUUGUGAAUUGGUGCAAACUGCAAUGAUACUUUGCUUGGAGGGUUGAGUUAAUGUCUGAUGUUGUGGCCUUGUGGGCAUGAUUUGGGGGACUUUGUUCACAAUCACAUGUAGUGUUGAGAAUCUUGGUGAAUUGUUUAUGGGUUUUGUUUCUCUUUUUGGUUGGAGAAAUUAUUUGUUUUUAAAACUUUAGUGUAGCUUUUGCAAUUUGGAAUUCCUGCAGCAAGCUUUAGCUUGCUUUUGGGUACUGCAAGGCAAUAAAAAAUGACAUGAAAUGAUUCUCCUUGGGUUGCUUUAUGUUUUUAGCUGUCAGUUCUUGGCUUCUCUUUUUUUUUUUUGGUCAAUGUUCUUGGCUUCUCUAUGUUUGCAAAAUUGUGGAUAAAGUUUAUAAAAAAUAUAAAUAAAUAAAAAAUCCCUAUAAUUCAUGAUUCAUCAUUGUUAGGAGGUAAAGUCCAAUUAAUGUAGAUUUGUUAUAAACUAAAUAGAAAUUGGAGAGGGAAUUGAGAUAGAUCAAGUAUAGAAAUCUGAUGUUUCUCAUUGAAUGUUUUUCUCACUCAUGUGUGUGUUUACAAAGGAAGGAUGUAAACCCUUUUGUAGGCAAAGCCUUCCAACAUGUGGGCUCCACCUUAUAAUUUACAACAAGAUUGAAUUAUAAGAUUAACCAAGGCCUAGCUAGCUGCAUAAACAUUUCAACCUUGAAACGACAUGUCGUCUGUCUGAUCCUCAUUUUGACUCUCAAGUUUCCACGUGCCACCUCACAGAGAAGUGAGAACUGGCGAUGGCGGUCAUUACCACCGUUCUCAUUAGAGGCGGACGCACGUUGGGACAAGAGGGGUCCGACCCCUUGGAAUGCCUGAAAUUUGGUUGUGGACUCCAUGGACGACCCCUUGGACAGCUGCGGAGCGACCCAUUGUGUGCACACCAGGUGCUCGAUGAAAGUCCCAGCUUGUCUCUGAGUCUGUGAUGGCUCUGUUCCACGAAGCAGAGACCGAACGCACCAGAGCUUUGUUAUUGAUAGGGUAGCGGAGCCUCCUUUAAUAAGGUUUUCGGAGUUGCAGAGGAGGCACUGUGUGUGCCUGGCAAGGAAGAUGAUGUCUGGGUUGUCUCGGUGCCCUUAUAAACGAAACACACCGUUUUGUGAUUAGCCUCCUUUAGUGAAACGGUGGGUUUAGUGUUCAACAUUAGGCUGCCUCGUCAUUGUCGAUGGGUUUAAUGGGCUAGUUUUGGUUUUAUCGGUUUUAUGAGGUUUGGCUUCAUGGUAAUGGGUGAAUUAUUUAUAAACUUUAUCCUAUGGGCCAAUAUAAUAUAAUAAAAGAUUAUCUAACAAACAAAAAAACUAUUUUAACAAUCAAUAUAAAUAUAUAGAAAUUUAUAAAUAUUUAAAUAAUGUUUUAAUUCGAUAAUGCAACAAUAAUUGAGGAAUUUAAAACUUCUAAUCUAAUCUUUACAUGAUAAAAUUUUAAAUUCAAAUAGUGUUAAUUUGUUUUGUAUUGUAUUGUAUUGCAUUUACUUGUGAUUGUUAUUUUAAUUUUUUUAGAAAAACAAAGCAACAACAGCUCUUGAAAUAAUAGAUAAGAAAAAUGAAAAACUCUCUAAAAUAUUUUUUUAGAACAUUUACACUAUGACCCCUUGGGUUACGGAUCCUGAAUCCGCCACUGGUUCUCAUGCCGCUUACCAUCUGUUUGGUUGCCCAGAAAAUACAACAGUAAUUCUAACUGCCUCCAGCUGUUCUCGCUUCCUCGGCGAGAAGAGAUAAAGAACACUAAUUUUAUUGGAAACCAAACACAGUGUUAUUGUCAGUGUGAAGAGCAGCAUACUAUUUGAUCAUGGAAGCUCUGGAGAAAUCAGAAGAAACCGUCUCAAACGUAAUUGAUUAUCUUCUCUGCUCACUUUACUUACUAAUAUAGUUAUAAAAAUGUGAACUUUUUUGCUAUUCUUAUACGAUAGUUCUCAAAAACCGAGCAAUAUGUUAUUAAUUAGGCCAUCAAAUAAUUGUUUUGUUCAUUUCUAGGUCAAGUUUUGGAUUUUAGAGACACUUGUUUAAUUGGGUCCUCAAAGUUGUUAAAUUGCAGAUUUUGGAAUUUGGGUUUUGUCUGUUAUGUGUUUCUGAAACUUGAGUGGUACUUCGUAUUCGAAUUGCCCAUCAUGUGUUUGCUAAAAUUCCUGUUAGCCUAACUAUGAUGUUGUUUUCUUUGAAUCAGCAUUCUCAAAAACUAGCAGGAACUGUCAACUGGGGCACAGCAACUGUGAUCGGAGUGUUUGCAGGCCUGUUUUAUGGUGGUAGCAAGGAGGCAUCUGCUUCAGUUGUAAGUUUGUAUUGUAUCAAAAUAACAAUGCUCCAAGUGCUUGUUUUGAUGUUUUGUAGUGAUUCAUAACAAUGUUUGAACGAUUGAGGUGUUUGAUUUUGAUCUCAAUCUCUGAAGAUGUUAGAUAACAUUACUUGUAAAGUGGUUUUGUUGAUAUUGACUAUUUAUUCAUCUGAUUGAUUUCUCUUUUUAACAUCUUGUUUGAACUGUAUUUUGUUGAAACUAGAGCAAGGAUGCAGAAGUAAUGUUGAAGCUUGGGAGCACACCAGACAAGCGUGAACAAUAUCGUAUGAUGAGAGAUGCAAUGGAGAAAAGGUUCAUACGAGUCACUCGGGGCUCGAUAGUUGGUGGAGUGCGUCUUGGAUUGUUUACUGCUACGUUUUGUGGCAUACAAAAUCUGCUUGCUGAGAAAAGGGGCGUGCAUGAUGUUUUCAAUGUUGUUGGAGCCGGUUCAGCCACUGCUGCCACAUUUGGUCUAAUAAGUAAGAGUCAUAUCUAAUCUUCUGAGCUUCUUUGUUAACUGGUUGUCGUCGUUGGCAUGCAUCGAAGCAUCGGCUUCUCGUUUGAUGCUUUCAGAAUACGAUGUAACAUUUGGUUUCUUCUUCAAUCAGUGCCAGGAUCAUUGCCAUGGCGAGCAAGAAAUGUGAUGCUUGGUGCCGUCCUAGGAGCAGCAUUGGGUUUUCCAUUUGGUAAUACAUUCAACCCUGUAAUCUUCCCGAAGUGUACAUUUUUCGAUCGUAAGCCGCUAACAUGGGUUGAUGCAUUUUGUGGCAGGGUGGGCGCAUUUGAAGCUGGUAGAGAAAGCAAAUGAAGGGAACCUGUCUGCACAUCCUGAUUCAGAUCAAAGAGAAGCAAGGAGUGGAGUUGGUGCAGCAAUUGAGAGGCUUGAAGAAAAUUUGAAUAAGUAGAACAUAAAAUUGAGCAAGGUUUGAAGAUCUCCCCAUCGUCUGGUGAGGAGGGAAGGAUGAAAAUCUCAGAGAAAGAGAAUAGGCUUCGUUUAUUGAGGAAUAAGAACACUCUAGUAACAAUUUCACAAUAUUUUGAAUGAUUUUUCAAUUAAUUUUCCAAUUUAUGAAGCAGAAUAACAAAGUCCCUCAUAUGGUGAAAUACCCACACAAAAAAAAAAAAUGUCAGGCUAGAUUUUCACAGUGAAAAAUUAAUCUUAAAACGAUAAAUCAAUUCUAUUGCCCAUCCCCGAGUCCUAUUUUCUCUUUUAUUUUUCUAGAAUUCUUGGACACGUAUUAACUUCAUGGAUUGAUUUCGGUAAAUAAUAACUCCUUGAUUUAUACGAUCUAAUAUGACCAUACUGUCUAAUACAAAUUUUUAUCUUCGAAUUUUGAGUAACAGUAAACAAAAAUUUCAAAAAACAAAUAAAUUAAGGUACGUAAGAAUUUCCUUUCAAGUGUUUUGUUCAUAAUUUUCAUAUGCCUUGUACAGGGUUUUUUCUUCACUCUUCCAUCAAAACUCAGAAUGGUGAGAAGAAAUUGAGGAACUGAGAUCUUCAAGAUGAACUCUCCCACCUUAGCCUCUUCUUCUUUUCCUCUUCUCUAAGCUGUCAACCAGUUGCAACCAUGGCUUAGUUAAACUUAUGCACCAUCCAAUUAUCCUUCCUUCCCUGCAAUACAAAGAGCUGUUAGAGCUGAGGAAGCAAAACACUAUAUCCAUUACAAAAGCCAUUUACCAUCGACUGUUGAUAGCACCUUGCUGUGUCAUGGCUUCUUUGCCAUCCUUUUAGCUGUCUCGUGGCUUUUUUGUCGUCCUUUUUGCUUCCCUAGCUGUAAUGCGUCCAUAGUUAAAGUUAUGCAGAUAUUGGUAACAAAAUGGGAUGGACAAGAAGAUUUAUGAGUACAAUCCUAGUUGGAAGACAGUCCUAGACAUUCUUUCUUCAACAAGUCAACAACCAGAUGUUUAUUCAAUUUUUGUGGAACAGUAGCAAUCAUCUGACCGAACAGGGUCAGAUGGAUGAACAUUUUGUCCUAUUAGAGGAUAAUCUAACUUGUGUUGUCCACGCUUACCUUUAUAUUUCCUUUUCUUGUUAGCUCUCCUCCUCUUUCUCUCGGCCUGUGUAAGUUCUGCUUCUUCUUUAAUAUCACCUUUGCCUGAAAACACUUCCUCGGGUGCUAGCAUUGCUGCAUCAGAGACAGCCACAGGUGCAAUCUGCCCAAGGAGAGAUAUUAUGAUUGUCAAUUUUCCAAAGACAUUUGUGAUAGAAAAAAAUAUAAAAAGAAAAUGGAAAUAUAGAGUUCACAUUACCUCUUCCAUCGCUAGAGCGGGGAUAUUAGCUUGUACAGUCAUAUCCUCGAUAACCUAUCCCAGAUACCAUAUAGCAAGUACAUGAAUGCCCACAAAUUAGAAACGUAUAUGAUGCAUAUAAAUAAAUAAAUUUUAUGAUUGAGAAGCAUACAGGUUUUGGAGUGAAGUGGAAAUGAGAAAGAGCAUCCAACUUCAAGCAAAGUUUCUUGAACAGCUUGCUUGCCUGGUCAAAGACAACGACCACAAGAAUAAUAAUUAGCACAUUUAGAUACAGAUAAGGACGUUAAAUUUUGAUUAGUAACAUACAAGAACAACAAUCAAAACAUGCACCUCUUCCUUCUGUUUGUCUGUGAAUGACAAUGGACCAGAAGCCACAUUCGUCUUUUGAACGUAUUCGUCCUGCAGAAAUUGAUAAAAAUAGCUUCUCAGCACAUUUUACUCAAAUUGAAAAAUAAUUUGCUAAGUAUCACAUUUAGAUGCUAAGACAGAAAUCCAGCCUAAGGAUAUCAAACUUUGGAAGGUUGGGCAGCAAAUCAAGUGAUUGCAUUUUGCAUCAGGAGAACCAUACCUCAUAGACUUCAGCUAGACCCUUCUUGCUCUUAUUCUCGUCCUAUAUAUUAAACAAAAGGAUUAGACACAUUGAACAAGUUACUUCAUUUUACACACAAUAAAUCAAAAUUCUAUCAAAAAGUAAUGCUUACCAACUCUUUAAUUUCUCUUGGUGCUUUAGAGGGUAAAGUCGGAGCCUUUUGAACAUCAUCAAAACGCCCCUAUAAAACACAACAACUGCAGUUUUAGAACUGGUUGUAAUCCACAAACAAACACAACGCGAGAGAGAGAGAGUAGAAGAAACAAGCAACAAUAUCAAAUAAUGACAGAAUGAGUAAGCUUAGAAAAAAAUGAGAACUGAAAAAAAAUAAAAUUAUUUCUAAUCUAUAGUGAUCAAUAUAAAGUGCCAAAAAGCCUCCAGUAGAGGUGAUUGAUGAAAAUGUGGUUCAUUAGAAAUAGCUGAACUUUGAACUUAACAUUUUAGAUAAGAAAAUAUGACAUGAAAAUAAAGUCCUGGAGCGUAUCUAUUAAAAAUGUUGUUUACCUGCUCGAUUCUUUUCUGGAUAAUAUCCUCAAUCGAUGCUGUAACCUCCUCUGUGAUUACAGGGGGAGGUCUAACAUUGUGUUCAAAAUCUAGAUCAACUUCUAGUGCACUGUUCUUUGGCCUUCUCUCUGCAGUUACCUGUUGUCGAAAGCCAUAAUUGAUAUAUGUAAUCCAUUAAAAGAUACAUGGGUAUCAUAACAUACAUAAUACGACUAAUAGUGUCCCAAAGAAGAAAAUCAGAACAGCGAUGUUACCUCUCCUCGCAUGGUCCAAUUUUUUGGCUCCAAAUUUGCUUUUUCCAUCUGGUCUAUUUCGGAACGAAGUUUCUGAAGCUUCGUUUCAUGGGUAGAAAGAGUUGUCUGAUUCUGUAUUAAAAAAUAUAUAUUGAAAUGAGAUGAAACUCAUUUGAAAAUAUGGAGAACCUAUGAACUGCAAGACCAUGCUCACAAAUUUUGUUAAACUACUUGAUUUUCAAGUACCUGCUCAUCUUUUUGUUCAUCUUCAUCAUCUUCUUCUUCCUCUUCUUCAACUUCAUCUUCAUCCUCAUCCUCAUUGUUUAUGCCCAAAUCUUUUGAUCCAUCAACCAAUUUUGGUUUUCGUUUAGAAGGUUUUUCCUUUUUUCCUCCAUAGAAGUCUUCAUAUCUGUAGCAGAGAAGCAGCAGUGAAGCAUAUUUAAAUGGAUAUAUAUAUGCAUGACCACAACAGAUAUGCACUGGUGAAUUACAUAAAAUAGAUAUAUAUCAGAGAAACAAAUGCAUAGGAACCAUGAAUUUGCAGUCAAUGAUCGAUCCAUAUUCAUAGAAUCAACUAAUUGUGGUACAAUAAACGUAGAAAGAAAAGAAAAAGAAAAUUAUUGGAUAAAUCAUAAAUGUAGCACCUUGCAAACUUGUCUGCGUCUUCUUCAUCCUCAUCAUCGCCAAUGUCUAAAUCUCCAAGCUAAACAGGCAAAAUGAAUCGAGUUAGAAACCAAAAAGACAAGCUUCAAAAUCAGCAAAAUUCUUAAGCCAAAAACCAAAUAACUAUCCAACAAAAAAUUUCAAGCAGGGCCUCACCAGCUCAUCUUCUUCUUCAUCCUCGUCUUCCUCUUCGUCUUCUUCAUCCUCAUCAUCAUCGCUACCUUUCUUCUUCUUCUUCUUCUUCUUCUUCUUCUUAUCAGUCUUCAUUAACCCAUAUUCCCUAGCUUCACUAUCCUCCAAAGACUUCUUCAAAUCCUUUAUCUUAAAAAACCCAUCCUCUAUCCCAUUAUUACCUUCACCUUCACCUUCACUGUCUUCUCCCUCCUCUUCAUCCUCACUCUCAUUCUCUUCACCUUCUUCUUCGUCUUCUUCUUCCUCUUCCUCCUCCUCAUCGUCUUCAUCUAAUUCAUCUAAUUCCUCAUCAAAACCAUCGAUUUCCUUCUCUAAACCCCCAUUUUCAGCUUCCAGAACCUUCUCUUGGCCUUGUACAAGCACCUUCAGCGCCUUAAUCUCGUCCGGGUUUUUCUCGAACCGUUUCAAAUCUCGGCGGAGGCUCGAGAUGAGCGGCUGCGAUUGCAGGUCGAUUUGCUGCCAUAUCUGCUCGGCGUCGAAGCCGUCUGUUAACAGCUGAUCGAAUGGCGAUUUUGGCGUGAACGGUCUGAGGGAGGAGAAGAGGUUCUGCAAGGCGGUUCGAGCCGUUUGGGAGAGCGCGGGGCUCGGCGUCAGUAACUGCGUUGGGUCUGUGAGUUUCAGGGAGUUCAGGGCUUCGCUACUGAUCGCCAUGGCCGAGCGAGAAUGCGAGCUCGGUUUGUGUCCUGUUUCUGGCAGGUUGGCUCCGGUUUGGGGUUUAGGGUUUUAGAUGGGCAGGAGGUACUGUACACGUGGCAAUCAGUAAUUGGAUAUAACUCGAAACAUUUGGCCCUACAAGAAAAAUAAUAUAAUAAAAGCAAAACGAAAUUCCAUAACUCAAUGGGCUCACAAUAGACACGACGCCGUUUGAUCUAUAGUGUUAUGGGCCUUGUGAAAUAGAAGACUUUGAUAUCCUAGCCCUAGUAGGACUACCAUAACGAAAUUCCUUUCCAAAUGUCUCUCUAUGUGGAUCCCUUUAUAUACGUCUUCCCUCGCAAUACACACAAAUAAAGUUGGAAUCUCCUACUCUAAAUAUGACAGACCUGCAAUCGAGUGAAUGGCUCAGAAAUCUCAUGGAUGAUGGUGUAGACCAUCUUUUGAAUGUACAAUGGCUCAUAGAUUUCAUGCCUACUCAACAUAUUUUUGACGAAGCAAUAUCAUUACCAGAUAUGGUCGAAUUUUCUCUCGUCAUGCCUUCCUUAGAUUACCAACAAGAUUUUAACUUGAAUUUGAGACCAAAGCCUGCAUCCCAAGCAUCGGUUGAGGCCUUGGAGAAGUUGGUGUUUGAUGUUGGGGUGCAUGGAUCGAGUGAGAGUGAGAGCUUUUGUGUGGUUUGCUUGGAAAAUAUGUUGAGUGGGGAUCGAGUCACUCGCAUGCCAUGCUCUCAUAUAUUUCAUGGAGACUGCAUUGUUGAGUGGUUGAAACAAGGUCAUAUUUGCCCUUUGUGCAGGUUCGAGUUGCCACAAAAUUAAUUAAUGACAGAACACAAUUGAUUUAAUCCAUAAUUCCGAGACUCUUCAAAAUCUUUACAUUGUAAGACAAUUAUGAUGUUUAUAUUAUAUGUUCCUAUGUGAUUGAUUUUUGUUGAGAAGAAUUGUUUUUUCAAUUCAAACUUUGCUCCAUUAAAGGUAAAAAAACCCUUCAUUACAUGUAAGUUUCUCAUUUUAAAACACUUUUCGCAAACACGUCAUCAGCUAAAAAGAUUAAACAAACAACUAUGCAUAAUUUUCAAAUUGAACUUAUGGAUUAUUUGUGCUUGUUUAUGUACUUGGACAACGCAUACUCAAAUUGAAUGAAAAUUUGGAUUGUACUCCGAUCAUCUAGGAUUUUCUUUUGUAUAUAUGAUUGUCGAGCGGGGUCAACAGUUGUGACCCUCCUCCUUCCCCUGUUUGGCACCCAAUAUCGAAACCCCAAGGAGAACUAAGACUGGUAGGUGAAAUUUAGGAAGGUUGAUCUCGACAGGAAAGGAAAAAAUCAGGAAGGUUUAUAGAAAACAAAUGAGCAGGAAUUAUAAGACAAUACAAAAUAUGAAUCAAACGAAUAUAUAAAAAAAAACCACAGGAAAGUCCCCGAGAUUAUUGCUUCAACAAUAAUAAUGUUUUUAUUUUCUUAAUUACCAUAGCUUAAUUUUUUUCUUAUUAAAAAAUACAAAUAAAUUACAUAUGCAUUAAGAACAAAAAUAAAAAUUCGACAUUGUCACACAACUCCACCUGAAACUAAAAACCACCUUUUUAUUUUUCUUCAUCAUCUUCUUCAUCUUCAUCUUCAUCUUCAUCUUCAAUUCAAACUUCGUUUGUCUCUCUCUGCCGACCUCCCGCCUCUUAUUCAAUCCUCGCUGCUACUAAAUCUCAAACGCUGAACUCACUUCACAAACCGGGCUGCCAUCAACUGCGGUCAUUUCCGUCGGAACUCCGUCGUCCAAUCGUAUCAAGGUCGUCGAUUCCUCCCAGGUCUACUUCUGACUCUUCCGACUCUUAUCUCUCAAUUUCAUCUGUAAAGAACUCGAAUUUAUGAUUCAUUGACUCUCCAAUGAUCAAUGGAGAGACGACUGCCGAGGCCGCCUCUCCCGAUCCGUCCCUUUCUUUCGAUCGCAAAUCGGACGGUGACGGUGGCGAUGCCUCGCCCCGAUCGCCUCCGUCGCGGUACUCGUCGUUCGGCGAGUCCGAGUACGAGCGCUAUUGUAGCGCCAACUCGGUUAUGGGCACGCCGAGCAUGUGCAGCACAAUCACAGUAUUCAAUGAUUUUCCGGAGCCCGAAUUCGGGUCGCUAAGAAGUUCGGGUUUUGUGGACGAGAGUGGUGGUUUGGAUAAUUUUAGUUUGGGAGGGAGGAUUGAGAGAAAUCGAGAGGAUCGGAGAGUUUCAGGUAGUGAUAGGAUUGAGUUUUGUAAGGAGGAUGAUAGUAUUGAAUGUCGGCGGAAUACGAACUAUGGGUCUAGUGGGUUGGAAUUGUAUGGCAAUGAGGAUGCUCAUGGAGUUGAUGGUUUAGAUGAAUUGAUGUCUUGGAAGCUUGAGAGUGGAUCGUCGGUUUUAAGGGGGGGUUCACAAUUGAAGUAUGGUUCGGAUAAUAGUGAUGAAGACAGUGAAAAGGGCAUGGAAGUGCAGAGAGGAGUUGCAGGAAAAGGGAAAGAUAGUGCUGAAUUUGAACGUGUGGUGGCCCGAGAGACUAAUGAUUCGAAUUGGGUUGGAACUAGUUCCCAAUUUGUACCCAGGGUUGAAGAGUUUGAUGGGGUAAAAAUGGAGUUCUGUACUUCGGAAUUUGAUGGAAGAGCGAUUGAUAGGGAAGAAGGAACCUCAUCUAGAAAUGAGUACUCAGAGGAUGAGGGGUCUAUGUAUGGUUCAGAUGAUGAGAAGAGUGGCUUUAGUCAACAGAGGAAUGUGCACUAUCAUCAGCAAGCAAAACCAGAGAAUGAAAAUCCGUUUCUUAUCAACUCAUCUGUAGCCUUUGGUUCGGAUGAUUGGGAUGAUUUUGUGCAAGAAAGCCAUGGAAGUAAUAUAGCUUCUUUAGCUAGGAAUGUGUUCCGGCACCAGAUAGAACAGAAGGUUGAAACUGAAAGGAAAGUUUCAAAUUCCACUUCCCUCGCUUCAGUCGAGCGUCAGAGUACAUGUCAGACUGAGCAGGGAAAAUAUGUGACAAACGUGCCCACAGAAAGCCAACUAGUUCAGGCUGAUAAGAAAUUGGCAGAAAAUGUUAAUAGUUCCAUGGUCCCUGCUAGUUCUCCAAAUAUUAUUGAAACAGAAAGAGUAGAAGAUGUGAGGGACAUUCCUGUGGCCAGUUAUCAAGUCCAAGCUAUUGAUGAUCCGAUUGAAUUUACCGAAAGUUCUUUUACAACCCCAACUAGUUUUCAAAAUGUUCAAGAACCAGAGCAAGAAGGUUCAAGAGACAUUCCUUUGACCAAGAAUCAAAAUCCAGGUCCUGACGAAGCAGCAAAAGAAAGUCCUGAUGAAAAUGGUUUAAACAUUAUGGAUGAUGGCAUUUCUAAUGCACAUACAUGUGUGAAUGCUGGGGAUGUCAUUGGGAUUGAUGAUGGUCAAGAUUUAGAAAACAAAAAUUUGGGGAAUCUAAAAGUUAAACCGAAUCCCCUUUCUGAUAUAUCAACUAAUCAGCUUAGCAUCUAUGCAACCAGACCUCCUGGAAAUAUGAAGGGGGAAUUCCUUGUAGACGAUAAGCCAAGCAUGCCGACAUCAAUUUUUGAAAAUAAAAUGAGGGAAAGUUCUGCUUCAGAAGAUCUCUUUGAAAACUAUCCUAAGCCCGUUAAGGUCAGUCAUGCUUAUUAAGUUUGUAGACUUGGUUAUGUCUCAUGGUGUUGUCCACAAUGUGUUUUGGUAAAUUAGCACGUUGACAACUGGUUGAAUUGCAUUUUGUGUGUGUGUGUGUGUGUGUGUGUGUUGUGGGGUGGCGGUGGGGAGUUGGUUUAAACUGGUGGACUUGUGUUACUUGUAGGAUAAUAUAACUCAUAGCUAUGAGAAGGCUCCAUUAUUGUGGUAGGCAUCAAAGUGAUGAUCUUUCAGAUUUUGUUAUCAUUAUUUUAUAUCAAGUAUUCCUGUCUAUAUUGAUCUUUGUAAAUUCAAGUAUUUACUAGGUUUUAUGUUGUGUUCUUGUUUAGUUCUGUAAAUUGCUUACCAAGACUUGUCAUGGGCAUGAUUUGUUUACUAGUUAUUGCACCAACUACCUUUUGCAAGAGAAUAUCUGGUUUAUGAUAUUGGUGGUUAUGUGCUAUGGCAGUCUGAUUUGAUCUUAUCCAUAUAAGAAUAUUUGUUUGUGAAGUUGUCUCUAGCUCAUUUCCUCUUUUACUAAUGCUGCAGACAGAUAAUUUUGAGCUAAAUGAAUUCUACGAUGAGGUUGUUAAUGAGAUGGAAGAAAUUCUGCUCGACUCUGCUGAGUCCCCAGGGGCAAGGUUCGCUCAUGGUAACAGGAUUUUACAGUCACAGCAAUCUCUACCGUUAAGAGAUGGUGGAUCGACUGCUUCUACUUCUGGCACAGAUGAUGCUUACUUGUUCAAUCAGAAUUCAUUGAGAAUUGAUGGGGUCGAAGUGGUAGGUGCAAGGCAGAGGAAGGGAGAUGUCUCAUUCAGUGAAAGACUGGUGGGAGUGAAGGAAUAUACUGUGUAUAUAAUAAAAGUGUGGAGUGGCAAGGAUCAAUGGGAGGUUGAACGUCGAUAUCGUGAUUUCUAUACACUCUAUCGUCGAUUGAAAACAUUGUUUGCUGACCAUGGCUGGAAUCUACCUUCUCCCUGGUCUUCUGUAGAAAAGGAAUCCAGAAAGAUUUUUGGAAAUGCAUCUCCUGAUGUUGUUGCAGAGAGAAGUGUUCUCAUUCAAGAGUGUCUGCAAUCCAUUCUCCAUUACAGGUUCUUUUCCAGUCCACCGAGUGCAUUAAUAUGGUUUUUGUCUCCUCAAGAUUCAUUUCCUAGCUCCAUGGCAUCAAAUAUGGCCGACUCUAAUACUAAAAGGGCAUACACUGAAAACUUUUCCACUUUAGGAAAGACCAUAUCACUUAUUGUUGAAAUUCGACAAUACAAAUCUUUGAAGCAGAUGCUAGAAGCACAACAUUAUACUUGUGCUGGAUGUCACAAGCAUUUUGAUGAUGGAAAGACUUUGAUACGGGAUUUUGCACAGACAUUUGGAUGGGGCAAGCCUCGACUUUGUGAAUAUACUGGUCAAUUAUUUUGCUCGUCGUGCCAUACAAAUGAAAUUGCAAUCAUACCAGCAAGGGUGUUGCAUAACUGGGACUUUACUCAGUAUCCAGUUUCGCAGUUGGCUAAAUCUUAUCUGGAUUCCAUACAUGACCAGGUAAUAUGAAGACUGUUGCCUUCUUUAUGAUUUAAAUUUUGUAUCUGUUAUGUCAAUGAAUUGCGACUACAUUAGUAAGCAACGUACUGAUAGAUUUUGUCCUAAGAACGUUCUUUGUAGCACUUUUGCUUUCGUAUUUAUGCUUCCACAUAAUAUGAUAAUGGGAACUUUUUUUUUUCCUUUAAACUUGCCACUGUACAGGGAAAAAAGAAUGAAUUAAAAGGGGUUUCUAGUACCAGGUACCGUAUGCAAUGGUUUUUUGAUACAUGGACCAAAUAUCUGUUGUAAUUGAUUCCAAGUCCAUAUAUAAUGCCAUUUCCUGGUCAUUUCUGUUGGGAUUCCAUUUGAUUCCAGGCGAUUAUGGAAAUGGUUAUGUUAAGGGAGACUACACAUACAAUGUUAAUCUUUGCACCAAUCCUGUAUCAUAAUGUAACUUAUUGUACUCAACCAAUUUAUGGAUCUAUUUGUGAAUUGAGAUAGACACCAGCAUAUUUCCUCCUUUCCAGCAUCAUUUUGAACAUUUUAAAUCCAAGUUAAUUUUUCAUGUAUUUAAUGUUUCAAGUGAUCUUCUGAGCCAAUACCUCAUGUACAUGAUCAACUUCGUUUUGCAGCCCAUGCUUUGUGUCAGUGCUGUUAAUCCAUUCCUUUUCUCAAAGGUCCCAGCCUUGCUUCAUGUUAUGGGUGUCAGGAAGAAAAUUGGCACCAUGCUUCCUUAUGUUCGUUGUCCAUUCCGGAGGUCAAUCAACAAAGGACUUGGGUCUCGGAGAUAUCUUCUAGAAAGCAAUGAUUUUUUUGCACUGAGAGACCUCAUUGAUCUUUCAAAAGGAGCCUUUGCAGGUUAGCUUCUAAUCACAAGCUUUAUCUUCAUGCAUGUGUGCCAUACUGGACUUUUUGUUAUUAUGAAAAUAAAAUAGAUUACUUGAUAUGCAUGUUUGUGUGUGUGUGUGUGUGUAUCUUUUCUGAAGGCUGACGUACUAUUUUUGUGGCAGUGCUCCCUGUGAUAGUUGAAACUGUCUCAAGGAAAAUUCUGGGCCACAUAACUGAGCAGUGUCUCAUAUGCUGUGAUGUGGGAGUCCCCUGUGGUGCACGACAAGCAUGCAAUGACCCUUCAUCUCUCAUUUUCCCUUUUCAGGUGGGCAUCUGUAAUUCUGUUGUACAAUUGUGGUUCCUGUUCACAUGGCUAAUAAGAUUUUUUUUCUUCUGGCUUUUAUUAUUGAUCUUAUGUGUUCCCAAAAUAUUUAUUGCAUCAAUUGGAGAACCAGAUUUUGGCCAUCAAAUUAGCGGGCACCACACUACUCGGCUUUAUAUCUUUCCAUUUUUACCAUCAAUUGAAUCAAGCACUUAGUUUCCGUAACCCUACCCUAAAACGAUAUCCUAUGGGCUUAUAGGUUUCCUUUUGAAAUGAAUAGCAUAUGUCUCACAAUGUUUGAUAUUUUUGUAACCAAAGGAAAUAUCUCCUCAUUCUGCAAAUCAUGUGAGCAUUUUGUAUCCUUUACUAGGAAACCUUGAAUUCCUUAUAUUGUAUUGAUGAAUUAAUAAGUAUAGUUGCUGCAAUCUGACUGUAAAAGUUAUUGGCAGGAGGAUGAGAUUGAAAGGUGUCCAUCUUGUGAAUCAGUAUUCCACAAGCAUUGCUUCAGAAAGCUCAUGGACUGCAUGUGCGGGGCACACCUUAGGGUGGACGAGCCGGCACAACUCAUUAAGAGGGCAACCUCUGGGGUUGGUGCUGAGAUCAGUGGGCUUCUAGACUUGUUUGGAGGAGGGUCGAGUUCUGGAUUACUCUCUGGCAUAUUUUCGAAGGUGAAGCCAGAGAAGCCAAGGGAGCAUAAAGACGGUGACAAUGUGAUUUUAAUGGGUUCUUUCCCCAGCACUUCCUUAUAAUUCUUCUGUAUCUGCAGUGUAUCGUAUAUGCAUUUUGGCUUGAUUUGGAAUGUAGAAACUUCAUUCAUUGCACCUUUUGAUGUUAAAUAAUCAAAACUGGACAUCCCAACUUUGUUGUAGCUAAAUUCUUAAGGUUGGGCAAGAAUAUAUUCUUUUUGGCUGGCCCCUUUUUGUAAUGUAGAUGCUAGUCAAUAUAAGUGCUCUCUUUCAUUUGCUUGCUAUCUGACUUCUUGAUUAUGAAUGUACAUCUCAACUCUUUGAUUGUUUGUGACUUAAAAGUUUGAAUUCCCUUGGAAUGAGAAUACCAAUAAAAGAUUGUUGGUGGUAUCAACUUAGUGGGAAAUUAAUAAAAAGUAGAUAUAAACAGUCUAUAUUGAAUAAUAGAAUAAUUUUAGAUUAGGAAUGAGAAUAUCUGUAAUGAACUUUUUUCUGAUGUCUGUGUAUAUGCAGUUGCAAGUUGCAACUUUAUAAGUAUGCCACUGUUAGGGAAAUGCUUGAGCAUCCAAAACUUAAUUUCCAAACUACAUUUUCCUUUAAAUCUGUUGAAGGCAUGGAUCCCCAUAAUUCUAAAAUCUGAUCUCUGUCCUUCUGCGUGCUCUCCUUCUACAAAGAAUUAUAGCAGUAAGCUUUUUUCUUUCUUUCUGGAUCCUGUACUCUAUAGGGUGUCCGGCUUCAGCUACGUACUCUUGCAUCGCAGCCCGAGUUAUCUCCCACAUUGAUAAGAUUCAGGGAACCGUGUUGAAUACAGUUGAUGUUUCAUCUUCAUUAUCAGAGCAAAAAUGCUGUAGCAUGGGAUAUGCAGCAGACCCACCGACAAGUACCUUCAAAUAGGGUUUGCAGUAAGAAGCAGCAUAUGUUAAGCAACCAACUGUCUAAUUAAAUACAUAAACUACCAUAUUUAGUUACAAGUUAAUGGAAAUUAGAAAAUAAUCAAGAGCUUAGGAUGCAUACCAUAGUGGAACAUAUGGAGAUGACAAGUCAAGAAAUGGAUAGGGCCACCUGUUUUCGAAACACAAAAAUCAUCACUACAAGAAUAUGGCCAUUAUGGUUUUUGUAAUAUGGGAAAUCAAAGAAAUGAUGAUUUACCAAAGUUUGAAAAAAGCAUGAACGAGCCACUGGAAAACUACAUAGGUGACUGUCCACAGGAAGAAAUAUCCAAUUCGGAACCAGGGAAACGGCUGAAAAUCGAAAAAUUUAUCAAUGUUAGUCGUAUAUGUAUUCAUGAGAAGAAUUGGAAACCCAAAAGUGAUUUGAAUUUUGAACUUGCAAACUGCAACUUACCAAGCUGUUCAAAGCGGUUUCGCCAAGCAAGAAAACAGCAUUGAUUGUGUGCAUGUUUAUAAUCAGCUGUCAUGAAACGGAUGAAACCUGUUAUUUUCUAUCAUAAUCAUAGAUUACAUAAACUAAUCCUGAGGUUAUGGAAUGAUACGAAAUCCAAAAUAGACAGAAAAGAUGAACAAAGUAUUAUGUGGCUAGACAUGUUCUUAAAAGUCACCCAAGGUCAAGGCUGUAUAUGAUACUCACAAAAUUCAAGUUGUAAUCUUUGAUGGUAAGAAAUGGAACGAUUAUGAACCAAAAGACGCAGUCUGUGAGGACGACAGCACCCGCAUUCAUCUGUUUACAAGCAAAAGCAUGUUCAAUAAGCUAAUUAAGCAUUAAUAUGACCAACUUAUGAGUUGAAGUUAUAAAACAUUAUACCUGGAAAAUUAUUUGGAAGACAUAACCCCAAAAGCCAGCAGGUUGGCGAGCUUGAGGUUGUUCUACAUGGGAGCCUGAGGCUUUGUCUGUGGCAGAGGUACCGGAAUUAACUCCAAGCGGAGGAGACACAAAAGUGCCUUGCUCUGUAUCCACCUCAAAACUCUCAACCUUAUCGCCGGCAGUUUUCUUAUGGUAUUGGUAACAUCCCCGCAUGGAGAGCAAUGAUCCAAGCUAGACAUGGAGCAAUUGAAAAAGAAAUAAACAAGAAGGAAAAAGAAAAUUCAAGCAGAGAAAGAGGAAGAAUGAUUUAGUCAAUAGAGAAGGUUAAGCUCUUUGAAGCUGUAACAACUUACCCCAAAGUAAAUAGUAAUCAAUGUAAAUGUCCACCUGUCCAAAACCAAAAACAUCACCAAUUAGAAGCCAAGUAAAGGAUUUGGUGCUGUAUCUUCAUAUUAAUUGUAAUUAAGAACAAGUUUCACCAUUAUCAAGCAUUGUAAUUAACUUCAUUUGCAUUACCAUGCAAAAUCAGAGAUUGGUUUCAAGAAAUGACAGCUUACUGUGUGUAGAAGAGAAAAAUGCCACCUCCAUCCACAAAAGCUGUGAUGAUAAGCAGAACCAAAAGCACAAAGAAAGCAAAUAUUCUAAAAGCCAGAAGCCAGGCUGGGUGAAUGCCUUUGAGGCACGGUCUCCAAGUUUCAUCCUCAUACAAAGUUCCUGCAGAUAUUUCUUGCUGGGUUUCUCUGCUGCGACGCUUCGAACUACCUGGCCCUUCAAAUUUGCAUACGAGAAUAACUGAAAGAGUCAUUGAAGUCAGAACCCAUAUGGUACAAAGCAUGACCCUCCAGUUGAACCAGUAACUUGAGGUUGUCGUAUCUGCAGUCAUGAUUGGUUGCCAAGAACCUUUUGGAACUCCUGUUAAAAAACUCAUGAUGUUACUUUUACUCCCCUGUUUGUUUUCACUCACAAUGAAUUGGGAUGCCUGGAAAUUUGUUCUGAAAUCUUCAAACAAUAAAAAAACAAAUGGGAAAUUUGAGGAAAAAAGGCAACUAUAAUCCCAAUGAAAUAAUUUUUAGUGUGGUAAGUGAUUAAUGCUAAGAACCCAAAAGGCAGAAUAUGUUUUCAAAAUCAGAGCUUGAAAAAAAAAACUCAACUUUGACGCGCUUAUUGCAGAAAAAAACAAUCUUAGAAUAAAGUAGAGGAAUAAAUAUGAUGAAAAAGUAAAGCUGAAAUGCUCAAAGCAACAACCAAAUGACAAACAAAUUUAUGAAAACCCAGAUCCAGAAAGGCAGAACAGAGAGCCAAGAUAAGAUAGUACUGAUGCAAAGAAACCACAUUUAAGGGAAAUGGGAAGUUCUAGACUUAUAGUUAUGCAGAAGAACUGGUUUUGGGUUCACAUGGAAACUCAAAAAAACAAAAAAAACAAAACCCCUGUCCUAUAUGAACACAUUAAUGCUUGAGACUCAGCAGGGAUUCCAAACUUUAGGUGGGUUUUUGCACAGAAAGCUACAAAACCGACAUUUCUAUUACAAUUAUUAUUAUAAAACAAAAUGAGAUAAAAGAAGUAGCUGAAUUCUAAGCAAAGGAAAGGUUGAUACUUACAAGGGAAAGCAAAGAAAACGUGGUGGUGUGUUAGAGGAAGAGAUGCGUUGCUUCUUUGCUAUGGAGAGAAAACUAAACGACAGACUCUCAGACAGAGAGAGAGAGAGAGACAGAUAGAGAGAGAGAGAGGAGAAAAGGAUGGUAUGCUUUGAGCAUAAGGCAUAAGCUUCACUUUCCCUUUCUUAUAUAUUAUUAUUAUCCCAACAAAAUCUUGUAAACAGAGACCAAACUCCUUUGUAGUUCCAUGCAAAUAUAAAAUUACAGGGAAAUGUGUGCUUUCACCCCCUUUCCUGGACAACCAAACUUUUAUUAUGUCUUUUUUAAGUUACCAAUAUUAAAACCAGACCAACCAGAGAACAAUUGUCUUUGCAUGUUUUUUAUUGGAAUUAAUGCUUGAAGGUGCCUUUUGAGUCAUUUAACUUCCCCAAAAAAGGAAAAAAAGCAAUUGGGGUGUGGGUGGAAAUCAAUUAAGUUACCAUGACCUGCAACAAGACCUAAGUUUGACCAAUGAUUUUGGACCCAGGAAGUCAUGAUGAUUUCAAUCAAAACAGAUAUCAUGAAAAUAUUGGGAGUAGGAGAAUUGGGACCCAUUUAUUUAAGGAGCUAACUUUGCAUGGUUGAUUGGAAACGUCAUGGGGUCUUUAAUAUGCAAAGGACAAUGAUCAUGUUAGCUUUCAGUUAAGGCAUGAGAUUGUUGCUGCUCAUAGAACUUGCCUGUUAGACCAGAAAUUCACUAUGAUCUUAUUAGUUUUUUUUUUUUUCAUGUUCUUCUGGCCUGGAAAUUAAUGAAAUUUAAUUAAUAAAUAAAUAAUGGAAAAAGAAAAAAGAAAAAGAAAAACAUUUUGUAAGCCACUGGGUGAUGGGUUCCUCUGUUUUACAAAAGUAGAACCAAAAUUCACCGCCCCUAGUGGCUUUAUAGCUUUCAUCAUCAAUAAAGAGAAAAAGAAAAAGACACCAACGAAAGAAAAGAGUGAGAAAAUUAAAAAUAAAAAUAAGGGGGAAAAAAAUUAACAGUGCAGAUUAAAAAUAAUAUUCCAUUCAAAACGAGCAAAAGCUGCAGACCUCUUUCUUUUUACUGUUUUGCUUUUGAAGAUAACGUGUUGCACAAUCAGAUGUAGAAGAAGACACGUUCAAACAACAGGUGUCAAAAUAGCUUGUUUUGUUAAGGCGGUGACAAGUGUGGUCGCCAAGCAAGCGCAAAUGUAGGCAGACGCUACAGAUUACUUGGAGAACGCGCAACAAAAUUAGUGACUCUCAUCUUUCUGUACGUAAUGAAAAGAUCAGUGACUUUUAAGAGCCCGCAAAAGGGGUUAGGGGAUAGGAUGUGGAUAUGUUGGUGUAUUAUUGAACCUUUUCAAGAAGACAUCUAAUACUAGUUUUAGUGAUUAGUGUUAUAAUUAAGUGCUUAAAAAAUUAAACUAAUUGUAGACCCGACGCCUCACGACCAACACGGGCGAAUUGGUUAUGGUAAUUGUGAACAACACUAAUUAGUUUUUGAAAGAUCACUAAUUAGGUUGUGGAGCUAGAAAUUGAAGAACAAAAUUUAUAAUUAGGCCAAGGGAAGUGUAACUAGGGGCAAACAAAACUAUUCUCCAUACGUCAUGGAUAGAUUUGUACGGAAGAUUCCUCCUCCCCUUCAGUUAGUUGCAGUACCAAAAGCAUGAAUAUAUUAGCAGAAAAAAUAAGGAAUUGAGGUUAGUUGGUAGACAAUAGGCUUUUGGCAAUUCAUAGCACAUAUAUACUCUUAUAUUAAACUUAAAAAAUAGAUAUUAAAAAUUUAUGGAAAAAAAACCAACCUAGUUUUUUUUUUCUUUCCUUAUAGUGAAUAUUAAUUCCAACCACAGAAUAAAAAUUAUGGUAAAUAACACAAAUUAGAGACCCUAGUGGGGUAUAGCUCAAUUGGUUCAAAACCCCUAAGCAUCCAUGAACGUUUGUGUGUAAACAAAACAGAACACAAAUUAAAGACAUAAUUCUUACAUAUAAAUGUAUGUACGUAUAUGUAUAUGUGUAUUUUGAGAGAGAGAGAGAGAGAGAGAGAGAGAGAGAGAGAGAGAGAGAGAAACACACCUAUAAUGGAAGUUUUCAUAUCGAGUGGGCAGAGACAAUGAAGGAGAGCCCAAAAUUGAGUUUGCAGCAGCUGAUGAGUUAUUUGCUUAAAAUGAGUGACUAAAAUGACAGAGAGACUCCCAUUUCCUGAAGGCUCAUAUAUAAAGUGGAGAGAAAUAAUUAUAUAUAUAUAUAUAUACACACGGAAGCUAGAGAGAGAGAGAGAGGGAUGGAAGACUUGACAUGUAUAUGUUUCCCUAGCUAGCUAGUCUAUUAAAAUGGUUAGGCUUUGGCUGUAGACAUGCAAUAUACAUGAUCAUGAAAUAAGUGCGGAAGUUAAUAAUAAUUGAAUAUAUAUAAGUUUUCUUUUAUAUACAAAUAAAUAAAUAAAUAAAUUGGGACUUCCAGGCACUUGACUAGUGUCACUUCUGGGAAACUUCGGUCUUACACUCAAAAUAAUAUUUGGUUAAAUAAAUAAAAUAAUAAUAAUAAAAAAGUAGCCUCCUGGCUAGCAAUGUUAAAAAAAAAGGUGCACCCAAAUGGCACAGCCUACACGGCAAAAUAUUAACAAGCUCCAUAAACCUUGUGCAAGUUACAUGUCUAUAUGUAGGCUCGUCUGACUAUUGGUUAAUAUUGUCCAAUCCAUUUUCACCUGCCAUAAUUUUGAAUGGUAAUCUCCACCGUUUGCUUCAAAAGGGCACAUGAGCUUUUCCAAAGCCAGUAAAUUGCAAGGUUACUUUUUUGGGGCCUCAAAGGUCAUGGAUCACUAUGAACUACAGCUGUAAUUUCCUAAAGAAAUUUAUCUACCUUCAGCUAGAAGAUUUGUUUAUAGCAAGAACGUUACAUAAAGCUCGAGGGGGGAGUCGAGUAAAUCGAUCUUUGCUUAUAUAUGACACCAUAGAAAGAAGGGAAGUGUGUUGUUCAUUUGAUAGGGGUGAGCUUUCAACACAACACCGUCCAAUACAAAAAUUAACAGAUUAGGGUUAACUACACGUACCCGAGGGGCCGAGACCAAUACAAAAUAUUACAUUUUAAUGAUUAUCUGAAUUGAUAUUGCACAAAGAAAGAAAGAAAAAAAGAAUCAGAUUUUCUUUUCGUUGUUAUCUUUUUCGAUUCGUCAUCCUACAUUUCAUCGAACAUACUCGGUAUCUUCGAAAGAUAAUAGGAUAUAUGCCCAAAAGUAGGACGUAUCAAUCAAGUCUGCAUGUGGAAUGUGAGCAUGCGAUACAAACAGAACUAGGUAGCAUCUCAAGAUUCUAUCUAAUCAUUUAAAUGCACUGUUGGAAGAAAUUUGAAAAACUUUCAAUUGAAAUAUAACAUUUUUCAUUGUUCGGGCUAUGGUUAAGCAUCAUUCCUUAGGAUAUAUAUGACAUAUAAUCUGCAAUUGAAAAGACUAUGAUAAUUGCAUAAGCCACAUCAAGACAACUUUGCAUGGCUGAUUGGAAACAUUAUGGGGUCUCUCUAUCAUGUAAAGAGCAUGAUCAUGUUAGCUUUCAGUUAAAGCAUGAGACUGUUGCUGCUCAUAGAUAAAGACCCACCUUGAAUUGUGACAUUUUCAUUCACCAUGAUAUUAUUAGUUUAGGGCUCGUUUGAUAACCAUUUUUGUUUUUAUUUUCAUUUUGUGUGCUAGGAUAUAGAGGAAAAUGAGAGAAAAAAUGGAAGUGAUGAUGAGAUUGAGGAGGGUGAGAGGGGAAGAUGGAAGGGAGGAGUAACAAAAAUGAAAACAAUUUCAAAUAGAUUUCAGUUUUUAAAUUUUGUGAAUAUCCCAACCAAAGAAGAACAACAAUUGUGCUAAAUGACAACACAAAAGGACAUUUCUUAGAUGCAUAAUUCCUACAUAGAUAUGUUCAUGGUCCCAAAUAUAUGUAUAUAUGUGUGUGUUUAGAGAGAGAGAGAGAGAGAGUGGCCACACACAAUUAACAAUGGUACGGCCUGCAUGCACUGCAAACUAUUAACAAGGUCCAUAUCCUAUUAUGAUCUUGGCACUGCAUGUGUUUCUAAGCUUUAUUUUUUUUACUUUAGGCUUACUAAUUAAAAAAUAUAUUAUCUCUUGAUCUUAGCUUUAUUUUGUAUUAUGUAUCUUAGGCAUGUGAUAGAAAGUUAUGCUGCCUUCAGCUAUAAGAGUUGUUUAUAACAAGAAUGUUACAUAGAGCUCUCGAGGGGGAAGUCCAGCAAAUCUUUGCUCUUAUGACACCAGAGAAAAAAAGGGAAGCGUGUUCACUUUGAGAGGGGUGAAAUUUCAACACAACAUCAUAAUAGGAUACAAAUCAAACACACAAAUUGACGGAUUAGAGUUAACUAGCCUUAGCAUGUACCCAAGGGGGCCGAUACCAAUACGAAAUACGAAUAAUCUACACUUUCACAUGACUCUCUAAAUUGAUAUUGCACAAAGAAUAUAUCUGAUUCUGUUUUCAUUGUUACAUUCCCCGAUUUGUCAUCGUACAUUUCCGAUUUGUCAUCGUACAUUUCAUUAUUGAACAUACUCGGUACAUUCGAAUAUUUAUUGAGGCUUGUUAACUUAUCAUAGAGUUCACAUCAGGCAACCACGAUGGAAGCAAUAUGAAUGACCAUCAUAUAGGACUUGAAUAGCUAGAGAGUAAGCAAGCUUGGAUUUCAAAACACUUGAUCCAGGCAACCUCUAGGCUAUUGAGAAUUUUGCACCACCAUAUUCUCUUACAAAACUGUCACAAAAACCUAUACUUUCAUAUUUACAAAUUAAUCAUUCUCGUAAACUUGCUACAUAAAAAUGUAUUCAUUUGUAUACCUAUUCCCCCAAGAAUAGAAAUGAUUUUUGCACUUAAAACUUAAAAACUGUUGAAUAUAACGUACAAUAAUUAUAAAAUUCCAAUGCCUCUCGAAAUCGACUUCACAACUCACUUGUCAAAAUUCAAAAGGUGUCAAUGUCAUCUCCCAAUACUGAGAGGGAAAAUGGGGCAAUAGCCACGUUAAAUGAUUGUGAACUUACCCUACUAUUGAUGUGUUUCAUCUCAAAGUCACCUUCCUGCAUUGUACGCAAACAAUAAGUAUAUCAAUUUUUUAAGGUUGCAGUUGGAUUUACCGAUUUAAAAUGAAGGAUAUUGAUGUGCGGCUAAUCAAUUCAAGUUUGUUUACAUCAAAAGUUCAAAGCACAAAAAUGGAGAAGAAAACUCUAUUUCUAAAUGAUUCAUAGAGUAGAUUUUAAAUAACACCUUUUGCAUGAGUAUUUGAAAAUAUUCAUAUUCAAACAAUCAAAUUUACAUUAUUUACUCGUGAAUCGUAAGCAUACAAAAUUAACACUUCUAGAGUCUCGUUAAACAAUUCAUACUAAGAAAUCAAAUCCAACUAUCUUUUUCUAAAUCCACAAAUCCGAGCGCAACACGAGUAUUUUAGUUCAAAGAAGAAGAAAUUCAAAUUAUUUGGAAACUAUCAAUGAUGAUCAAAUGAAAUUUGAAAAUUUAUUUUAAAACAAUGGAAGGACGUGAACAUAGGUUUUAACAGAAGGAUAUUUUCCUCCUAGCUAUAUUCAUUGCUCAUUAGAUCUGAAGGUGAUAUAUUAAUCUCCAUAACCACUAAAUUUAGGCAAAGAACUUUCAGUAUAACAGAAGAACAGGGGACAGCCUCACAAAACGCCAUCAUUGGAGUCUGCUUAUAUGUGCAACAUGCCAAGUUACUCUUGAUGGGUUUAUACCUAUAGGUGACUCAAUUUGCAUGGACUGCAACAAAUCCAUACUCCACGGCACAUAAGCCCUUAAGUAGGGAAUAUCAGUCAAGCCUAUAUUUGGAAUGCGAUGAAGCAAUACAAACAGAACCAGGUAGCAUCUCAAGAUUCUAUCUAAUCAUUUAUAUGCAUUGUUGGAAGCAACUCAAUUGAAAUUUAACAUCUUUCAUUAGUUAACUUCUCAUAGUUCAGGCUAUAGAGCUUUAUUUGAAAUAUUUAUCCAAUAUUAAGCAUCAUUCGUUAGGAUAUGACAUAUAAUCUGCAAUUGAAAAGACUAUCAUAAUUGCACAAACCAAAUUCGAGAAACUUUGGCCUUCUUUUCCUUUCCUUUUCUGAUUGUCUCAAUUUACAAGACCAAUAUAAUAUACUUUUUAAAUAAGUUUUCAUGGAAGAACAAAAGAAAAAAGAAGGGCCCCAUCUUACCAUUCUUCCGGUGGGAGUGCUUAAUGGGCAGGCAGAUGAGUAUUCAAAACUAGCUUGAGGAAGAAUAACGGGCUGUUCACCGAUAACACCAAUCCCCCUACGAUGAGCGAAAAAAACAGACACAAAAUAUUUGGUUAAAAAGAAGAAGCAAAUAAGAGAG
rnacentral:lncRNA from 1 species